rnacentral:lncRNA from 1 species
UUUCAAAAAAAAAAAUGUGUUUUAACAUAUAUUUCUUAAAUACAAAAAUUAUUUUCUUGUAUUUUGGAUUUUACAACAUGUUUUUAAAUUUCAAAAUGUUUUGGCCAUUAUUUAAAAAUCUUAUUUUUCAAUAAUUUAUCCUUAUUCACUAUCAAUAUUUGGAUACAUAAAUCUCACAUGGUUAAUAUUCAAAUAUUAUUGGGAAUAAUUUGACCCUCAAUUAACCAUUAAACUUUUAAUUUUCUUCAAUUCGACCCUCAAUUGACCAUUAAACUUUUAAUUUUUUUCAAUUUGACCUCUGAUUUCAAUCAAUUAAAUCCUCAUAGUUCGAUGCAUUUUUCAAAAUGGUCAUUGGUUGUGAAUUUCUUCUUUUUAACCCUUAAUUCACCUCCUAAAAAAACUUCCAUUUUCAUGCGAUUUUACCCUUGGUUUAAACCAAUUCACUUUGUAAAAAUUAAGUUUGGUCUCCAAAAAUUUCAAUCUUCUCAAUUAAGCCCAAAUUGGGCUUUCAAAUUUAAGUUUUCACCAAUUAAGCCCCUAAUAAAAUUAAUUUGACUCAUUUACAGUAUAAUUAAAUCUUAGCACCUAAUUAAAUCCUUCAAUUGGACCCAAAAUUAAUUCUUAAAUAUAAUUAAACUUUAAUUUGACCCAUGAUUAAAUCAAAUUGACCUAUUAAAAAUCUAAUUAUGUCCUUAGGCUUAAUUUUUAUGUAUAUUCGUUCAAUAAUAAUUUAAUUUGACCUUGAAUAUGCAUUGUUUCUUCCGUUGUGGGUAAAAUAGGGUACAAUUAGGUUGUUGAUUCUAUCUAAAAUUGCAGCUUAAAUUUCCUACAUUUGAAAUCCUUCCUCAAUUAUUUUUUUCCAUUUCGUUAGUCUCUUUAUUGUUAUUGUUUUAUUUUUAUUUUGAAAAGAAAAAAAAAUAAAUUUUAAGAAUAGCCCAAAAAUAAAUUAUGACAUAAGAUAUCGUUUAUUAUCUUAAAACAAAAAACACGGAGACAUGGAGAAUGAUAUAGAAUAUAAAACUUAGUCUGAGUUGUACUUGGAAAUGGUAUAUAAGACAAGUUGAAUAUUUUUAUUUUUUAUUUGGUUGAUGAACGACAAGGUAAGAUAAAAUACGAAAAGAGCUUGUUAUAUUAUUGCUAUCAAACUUACAAUGUUUGGAACAAUAAAUAAAAAUCAUUAUUUUUAUUUUAGUUUAUAAUAAGUAUUAAUUGUUUUUUAUCUAACUUAAAAUGGUAAUAUCUCCACUCAUCAAAAUCAUGUUAAUUUUAUUUUUUUUGUAAUCAUUGUAGAAAAGAUAAUCAUUUCAAAAAAAAAAAAUAGUAUAGUUAAAUUAUGUUUUGCUCAAUCAUUAAACAAAUAUUAAUUGUUAAAUAUUUCUCAACUUUGAAGUGGUUCAAUCAAGUGUGAAGAUAUUUAUUUCUCAAAAAACAAUGUUCAAGAAAUAUUAGGCAAGUUCAAAGUGAAUAAUUGUAAUUUAAUUAGUACACUAAUUGAAUUUGGUUUGAAACUAAAUAGAAAUCAAGAAGGAAAGAAGGUGAAAGACACCCUUUACAAGAAAGAGAAUUAUAGGGAGUUAAUUUGAUGUAUCUAACAAAUAAGAAGGCUAGAUAUAAUGUAUGCAAUAAGUCUUGUUAGUAGAUACAUGGAUAAUCCAAUAGGAAUUUAUCUUUUGAUGACUAAAAGGACAUUUCGAUACUUAAAAUGUAUUAUAAGUAUGGAUCACUCUACAUGAAAAGAGAAAAGUCUGAUUUGAUUGCCUUUACUGACAAUUAUUAUGCCGAAAAUCAAGUUGAUAUAAAAGGCAUUUGUAGAUAUGUUUUUAAACUUGGUUCAGGAGCUAUUUCAUGGUCAAGUAGUAUGGUUAAAAAAAAUUAUUGAAGAACUUUACUUGAAGAGACAAGAGCCUACAAUAUUUCUUUUGUGAUAAUUAAUCAAUAAUUAAACUCUAAAAUAAAUAUAGUUCAACAUAGCAGAUGAGUGCAUAUUGCUGUAAAGCUUCACUACUUAAGAGAAUUGAUAAAGAAUGGAAUGAUUGCAAUCAUCAAACAAGUUGCUAAUAUAUUCAGUGAGACUCUCCAAUUGAAGUUGUUGGUGAAACACAUAGGAUUACAUGGUAUUUGAACUCAAGAAGACCUUGUUUGAAGGAGAGUCUUUAAUUUACUAAUACGAGUGUUUAAGAAAAUCAAUUUAAGUUUGGUGAUCAGUUUAAUAUAAGGGGAUAAACAGUGUCACUAUAGUAUUUUUAGAUUUUCUUUUAGUUCAUAGUGUUAAUUUGUAAAAUUGAUCUUUAAUUCUUGUGUUAAUUUUCUAUGAUACAUUAUUUAUACAAGAGCAAGCAAAUUAAAACAGAAUCCAACACAUCAAAUCAAGCUAAUAUAACUUAUAAAGAUGAAUUGAAAUGAAAUAACAUUAAAUGGUUGAAGUGUAAGAAAAUUUAAAAAAACAAAAAACAAAACAGGGAUCUAAUAAAAAAAGGAGUGCAAAAACUAGACUGAAUUGUUGAAAAAAAAAAAACAGACCAUGUUUGUUUCCGCGGCUAGGCCAUGUUUUUCAAAAAAAAAAAAAGUAUUUUUGCUUCAAAUUAUUUUUAUAUUAUUUUAAUAUAUUAAUAUUAAAAAUAAAUUUAAAAAAUAAAAAAAUAUUCUCUCAUCGAACAACCAAGAAAAAGUUGUUCUUAUAUUAGUUGAUAGAAACUAUCCUCUCCCCUACAUGACAGCAUAGCUAGAAACCUACCAGAGAUUCCAUCUCAAAAUCAAAAUAUCUGCAGCUAUACAUCAAGCUUUCUCCAUCUCUACAUCCCAAGACAGAUGUUUCCCUGGGUCUACUACGAGUAUCCAUGCUUGUUUUAUUGAAUUCAGUGGGGUUUAUGAUCAAGAUUAUGAAUUUUUCUUGUUUUUAGAAAACAAAUUAACAAUGCAUAAACAUUUUUUUUUUUUGUUAUUUUUUUUUUAUGUUGACCCACGAAGUAACAUGAACCAACUUUCUAGUUAACAUAAACUAAAAUAGUGUAAAUUCAUGGUUCAUCUUCUCAAAGCAUUAAAAUAGUAAAAUAAUGAAUUCAUCAUUUAUUUUUAAUAUUAAUUUUAUUAAGAACUAAGUUUGUAAUAUUAAUUUUAUUAAAAAUUAAAUUUGUAAUUUAUUUUAAUUUAUCUUCUGUAUAGAUUAUGAUGUCUUAAUAACAACACUCUAACCCAGCAACUCCAACCGAAUAAUGUUCAACAGUUAUAAAGUGUAUUAUGCAUGAAUUUAAUUAAGUGGUAUAUCAUCAAUAUGUCUAAAUAAAAAUAAUAAGACUCGAACUUAAAAUUCUCCUUCCUAUCAUCAGAAUUCAUCCAAUAACUAAAUAAUAUAUAACGUGGGAAUGAAUCUAUAUGGAAAGAUUUCAAGAGUUUGAGGUAUCUUUAUAAAAGUUAAGUUGAAAGCCAAAACGAAAAGAAAAGAAAAGGUAAUAGCAUAAAAUAAGCUGAUAAAGUUUAUAUUGAGACAUAUCAUCAAACCAACACAGAAUACAGCCAUGCUAAUAGGAGUAAUCAUUUUUUAUUCGGUUUAAUUCGAUUUUUAUAUAAAAAAAAAAUUAAUUUUUUUAAAUAAAAAAAACCAAAACCGGUUUCGCUUGGUUUUUCAGUUUGGCUCGAUUUUGGCUCGGCUUUUUCCGGUUUGGCUUGGUUUUUGCGGUUUGGCUCGGUUUGUUUUGGGUUCGAUUUUUUCGGUUUUAGGCUUAUAAAACCAAAACCAAACUAAACCAGUCGGUUUUUUCAAAAUUUUAAUCAAUUUAAUUGGGUUUUUUUUCACAAUUUAGUUUUUUAAUUAUUAUUUUUCAUGUUUUCUCGGUUUUUUGGUUUUUUUCUCACGCUUAAAACCAAUAUAUCCUUGUGGGUCUCUAUUUCUCUGCUUACAAAUUUGUCUCUUAAAAAAAAACAAACAUUAAAAAAAAAAAUAUGUCAUUAAUUUCAAAAUAAUUAAGUUAUUAAUUAUUGGGUUUUGCAUCUUGAGAAUAUUCCAAACAAAUUUGAAGUUCAUCGAAAGAUCAAUUUGAAGUUCAUCGAAAGAUCAAUUAUUUCAAAUUUAUCUACUAAUUUUUUAGUUUGAUUAGAAUUCAAAAUAUAUCCUAUAAAUGAUUAUAAAACUUAACAAUAUAUUUUACACUUUAUUUCAUACACAACAUACAUUUUACAUUAGAAAAAAGCCAUAAGACAUACAUUGUAUUUAUUUUAACAAAACAAGAGCUAUUAAACUUGGACAUUUCUCUCGCAAUAAAAUAAAAGUUGUAUUUAAUCUUCGCCACAUUUAAUCUUCGCCACUGCGAUCUGCAUUGAUCUCAUCAAGAAUCACCACAAGAGCUGUUAUAAAGGCAUAAUCAACAUUAGGAUACACAGUCACUCCAAAACUGUCUGUAUCCAAAAUAGUACUUGCGAGAGAAUGUUUUCUAUGCAUCUGCAUUUACGUGAAAAAAACAAUAUUAGUAUGAGCUCUUCUGAAGAUAAAUUUCAUGAUUAAAAUAGGAUAUAUUAACCAAUUAGAAGCCUUUCAAUUUGCAGUAAAUAAAGGGUAGGGCAACAAGUUCCAAAUUAACCAAAAUGUAAAACUCGAAUAUUAUAAGUGCGGGUGUGAAUAAAAGAAAUUCUCAAACAAUAUUAUUGUUCUUAUUAAUCGUUUAACUAUGUUAUGAAAGAACAAAAAAGGUAAAUUGAGAAACGUAAAAUAGUAUAUCUAAUGUGAAAAUAUUUCUAAAAACUUGUAUGGUGCCCUAUUUUAAAACCUUACCCAUCAAGUUAAGGGGUCUAGGUUGGCCAUGAUUUAAUAAAAAUAAAAAGAUAAUUAAUUUAGUAUAAUCUUUUUAAAAACACAGAUAAUCCCUGACCCUGUUAGUCAAAGUAAAACUCGGUCAUAACUAAUUGAUUUUUUUCUUUUUAGUUAUUUUUCAAACUAAUAUAAUUUUUUUUUAUGAAACAAAAAAAUUUAAUUCACCUCGAGAUCUAUAAAUUUCCCCAAAUCAAGUUUACAAAAUUAUAGCAUCAUAAAUAAAAUAACAAUAAUUGAAAUUAAAAAUCAAUUGGAUGCAAACCACUAUAUUUAAUGUUUCUUAGCAAUGGUCCUUUGAUACUAUUUAAAACUAUAAUUAUUGAAUUAAAAAAAAAUCUCCUUGAAAAGUUACCAAUUAUUAAGGGUGUCUUUGGUAUUGCGAUUACUGUUGUGGUUGUGGUUUUAAAAAAGUUGUUUUAUAAAAAGUACUUUUAAUUGAGAUUGGUUUGGAAAAAUAUAUGUUUGGUUAAAACUGUGGUUGAAAUUAAGGUUGGACAAAAAGUAAUUUAAUGUGUUUGAUUAAAAAAAAUGAUUUUCAAAUUGAGAUUAUAAAAUAAUUAACAUAUAUAUAUAUAUUAAUGAUUUUUAAUUUAAAUAUUAUAGAUUUAACUACUGUUAUUACAUCAUGAAAUAAAUAAUAUUGAUAUCAAAUAUUUUUUAUUAUUCCAUUAAACUAUGUGCAAUCUCAUUACAUAUAAAAUCUAUCCAACAAGGACUAUAUUUUUCAUGGUUUCUUAAGCGCACAAUAACAAAAACUGAAUUUUUUAAUUUAUGUAGUGUUAUUAAAUAAUAAAGAUUGUGAUAUCUUUAUUAUUGGAAUUGCGAUCAAAUUCCACAAAUGCUACGUCAUCAUGCGAUAUCUUUCUAAUUUAUAUAGUGUUAUUAAAUAAUAUUAAAUACUAGUUUUUCGAGUAAAACACAAUUUUUUUAAAAAACAUUACAAUUUCAUUACGUACAAAAGUCAUUCGAUAAGAACUACAGUUUCCAUAAUUUUUUGAGCGUGCAAUAAAAUAUGUAAAAUAUUAUCAAGAAUAAAAUUAAGAUUAAAGUACGAGUAAAUUUAAUUCGCCUUAAACUAAUUUUUUUUUUAAAAUAUUGUUCACAAUUAACUGCACUGGUUUUUCGGGGAAAAAAAAACUAAACUUUUCUCAUUGGUUUUUCAAAAAAAUAAAAAAAUUGAACAUUGCGACAAUGGAGCAUGGCUCCACUGUUCAUUGAACAGUGGAGCCCUAAAAAUAAUCACAAGAAGCAGCAAAAUGCUGCUUCUCCAAUCCUAUAGCUGGACAGCAAAAAUCAGUGGGCCCUACCAAGUAAAAUCAGCUUUGUUUCCUUUACUAAACAUUAAAAUGUGUGGCUGCGGGUGAACCUCACCCGCAACCACAUUAACAAACAACAUUUAAGACUCAAAAUACUAUUCAUUAUAUAGUAUAAGUAUAAAAUCACCCUUGAAAAAAAUAAAGCAUUGAAUUAAGCAUUAAGGAUCAUGUAGUCUUUUCACAAUGACAUAAUUAUCUUUUACAAAUUUUAUGAAGUUAGACAGGCCAUUUCUAUUUUGUGCACAUUAAAAUUAUUAAUUUAACCCUAUAAUAAAAAAUAUAUAAUGCCUAUUAUUAAGGGUUUUUUUUUUCUUUUUAAUUUUGUUUUAAAACAGUGUAAUUAUUUUAAUAUCUUUGAUAACAAAAUCAACAUCUCUCUUAUAUAGGUGUUUUUUUUUUCAUUUCACAUUAGUUUUAUUAUAAAUUCCAAUGCUAUUCAAGGGCAUUGUUGUCAUUUAUAUUAAUUAAAUGUAAUUAAAAAAAAUUAUUGACACGUGUAAAUGACCCCGCAUUGUUUGAGCAACGUGUAUGGGUUCAUCUAGCCACCUAACAAUGUAUUUUGAAGUGGCGUUUAAAAGGUGUUAACUACUUUGAACUUCACGUCCGCAAUUAAUUUGGGUGGGCUCCAAUAAUGUUUUUCCAACCUUUUUCAAAUGUUUUUUUAAUUUUCAUUUUCAUUAUUUUCUUUACUAGAUAUUGAACUUUAUCUAUUUUUUUUUUAGAGUUAUCAUAUUUCUAUUUAAUUUAUUAGAAAUUGAUUUUUAAUUUUUUUUUUAUAUUUUUUCAAUAAGAUUAUCUCAUCUCAUGUGAAUGUUUUACAAGUUAUUCCAGUUUAAUUAGGGAAAUAAAUUAGCUUUAAACUAUUUUUAAUAAUUUUUUUUUAUUAUUUUUUUGUUUGUUUAUUUAUUGUUGUUAUAUUUUUAAAAAUUAUUAAUUUAACCAAUACCUCGUAUCUUGAAUUUAUUUUCUUGUCAUUAUAUUUUUUUUUAUAUUGAAUUUGUUUUUGUUCCACCAGCCACAAAUCUAGUUAAACAAUAAUUACCUAUUAAAUAGUUGUUGACUUAGGACUAAAAACUGAAUGAGAGCGUCCAACUUACUUGUGCAAGCAUGGUAUUGGAAUCUCCAAGAAGUAUAGAGCAGGAACUCUCGCUGUAGCCUCCUUUGACCUUGAAAUCAGGGACCUCUCCUUUGUUAUUACCCAAGAAUACGUCUAACUCAGUCUUGAAUUGGAACAGCUUUGAUUUCUUGGCUGUGAAAAGCAAGUCUUUCUCCUCCUUGCUUUCUCCUCUAAAAGCUUCCCACCUUCGAUGCAUGGUCAUUAUCUGGAGAAAAGGAUAACACGCAGCAAGCCAUAUCAUUGAAGAAGAAGAAGAAAACAAAUGAAAUGAUCAAUUAAGCAUACCUUCUGCCUGAGAUUGACAAGGGUGUUACCGGCUGCAUCUUUCAGAAAACGACGAUCAUGCAAGCUUAAGAGUUUACUCUUGACUUGGAAGAUGAGGGUGCCAUUAAUGUCAGACACCUUAAAAUCAUUCUCUCCAAGACUCCAUAGCUUUGUGGAGACGGCGAGUUCAACAGGGUACUGUGCCAGGUACUGUGGCCCUAUUACCACCACUGGAUGCUCCACCGGCGGGUAUGUUCUCAUAGCUGGAAGGGGGUUGCCUGAUGCUUGUCCAGCAGCCAUAAUCACAGAAACAAAAUAUUACUCGAAGAAAUAAACAGAAAGAGAAACAGCUAAUUUCUAUAUCAUGCAGGUCUUGAUGGUUUUUAGAAGUAGUCUUUGAGGAGAAUGAUGGAUGUGUUUUGUAGUGCCACUUAACAUAUGGCAUGUCGUGUCUUUAAAUAAAAAAAGGGGCAGUCUUUCUUUCAAAAUGACAACAAUAAGAAAGGCCUCUUCUUUUAGCAGUGGAGCUGGCAGACACGGUUUUAUGAGUUUUUUUCUUGUGAACAAAUGAUGGCACCUAGGACAGUUUGUUGUCUUCAUCCCUAUUUUGUGGUUUCUUACAAUUUUAAUCCUUAAAUGUUUCUUCAUUUCUAUUUCAUCCUUUAAUGCUUCAAAUUGUCUUUUUAAAUUUAUUUAAUAGGGGAUUUUUUCGCUUUAAAUUUAUGUGCUUCAUCUCUCAUAUCCAGUUUUCUGGGAACUACAAUUACAUCCCACAAAAAAUUAGAAAUUAAGGACCAAUAUUACCGUGUGAAACAAUGAAAGGAUGAAUUUAGAUUUUAUUUGACACGGAGAUAAGGUAAUCCCAAAAGCCAAUAUAUCGUCGCCAUGUCUGCAACCUUAUCUCUACAGCAGAGAUGGGGACAGAAAGUGGGGAGAGAACGAGUAAAAGACUUCAAAAAAAAGAAGACAGUAAAGAGGGGGUAGAGUCAUGGAUUGAAAGGACGGGCAUUAGUGAAAGGUGCAUUAGCGAAAAUGGUCUGGAGUAGACAUUGGGUUUUCUUGGUGGAGCAUUUAAUGAUUUUUUCUUUUUCUUUUAUUUUUUAUUUUGGAAAAAUGAGUUGUGCUUUUCAAUUUAGGUGCAGGGAAAUCAUACCUGCUCUUGAAAUUCACAGAUAAAAGAUUCCAUCCCGUUCAUGAACUCACCAUCGGUGUUGAAUUCGGAGUUCGCAUGGUCACCAUCCAUGGCGUAUGUACUUUCCUCUUUUUUUCUUUUUUCUUUUGUCAUUCCCACACUCUCAGUUUUUUCAUUCCAUCAGAGGAAGCGUUGGAAGCCAAAUAUGGUUAAAACAGGGAGGGCCCUUUUGCAAAGAAAUGCCUCACGGGACUUGCAAUGCAGCUGGUAGCUAUCAUUUCUUGGUAAUGUCCAUGGAUGCUUUUGUGCAAAACGUGGUCGUGAGGUAUGCGUCAGAGGCCAGUCAUCGUGAUUAAUUAAAAUUUACAAUCAAGAAUCAACUAUGAAAUUUAAAAUAUACCUGAAAAAAACUUAAAAAAGAAAAUUUAUUAAAAUGAUUAUAUUUUUAUAUAUUUUUUAAUACCAGUAUUUUAAGAUUAUUGAAAAAUAUUUAGAAAAAUAAAUCUAAUAUUUUUUUCAAAUUAAAUCUAAAAUGUAAAUAGCUCAGUUGCCUUGUUUGAAACCGUUGACAUUGGCUUCUAAAUAAAAAAUCCAUCUCCUUCCUUGAUUGUGUUUACGGGCCAGAUGCCUAUAUCUUUUAAAAGGUCAACACAAGAGAGAAAAAAGGCGUGUAGAGAAAUGAAAAAAAAAUAGUGAUGAUGUACUAAAAUGUAAAUAGCUCUGUUGCCUCGAUUGAACCUUUUUUUUUUUUUUUUUUUUUUAAGUAAAGGGGUAAAGUCUUUGAUGGGUUGUUUAUUUUUUUUCUUGGAUUAGAAGAAGGGCGGAAAUCCCAGGAUAAUUUAUCGAAGAACAUUUAUUUAGUGGUGUGGAUCAAGGUUGUUAAAAUCAUGAUUCAACUCGUAAAAUCGUACUUUUUUACGAGUUAAUAUAGGCUUCACGUGCUAAAUUGCUCAUAAAACUCGGAAAUCAGUAAAAUUGGGUCAAAAUCGGGUAAAAUCGUUAAAAUCGGAUGAAAUCGCGUAAGAUCAUGAUUUCACCACCGAUUGAACAAGUUUACCCGCAGGGAAUAAACAUUCAAUGUUGCUGUCAGGUGUCGCCUUCCUAUUGGCUUUAACAUAUCAAAUGCAAUUAAGAAAUUCACCGAAUCAGUCUUCUCUCUUCUCUUAACGUUCACAAGUCACGUUCUCACUUCUCAUAACAUCAAAGAUUCAAAAUCCCUAAAUUGAAAAUCCCAAAUUUCACAUUCCCAAUGAUUCAGUCUCAGUCUUUUAAUCUCUUGCUCUUAGCCAACAAUCAACCAUCGUCCAACAGCCCUCGCCCCUCAGCUUUUUUAUUAUUCCAUCAUCGACGGCGUUCUUUGCACCAGCCACCAGCCACUGUGAGAAUCAGCGUCCACACAGCAACAACGGUCAACGACGUCUCUCCAGUCUUCACGAGGUAAGUUACACUGUUUAUCUUGUUUCGCCUCCCUCCUGCAAAAAUUCAUUAUAUGUGAAUGGUCAGUUGGUCGCGUUUUUUGUCCCUGUCCGUUUCUUAGUCUAAUGUUAAUGUUAGUGAAUCCCAGUCUUUACACAACUGUUUGAAUUUUUUUGAAUUGAUGGGUCUAUCAUCUUUGAAUGGGUUGCUCACCGAAAACAAUUCUGUGAAUGGGUUUGCUAAUUGUUUAUGAAUGGGUCUGUCAUCUGUGAAUGAAUGGGUUUGCUAAUUGUUUAUGAUUGGGUCUGUGACGUCUAUCAUCUGUGAAUGAAUGGGUUUGCUAAUUGUUUAUGAAUGGGUUUGUGAAUGGUUUGAGUCUGUGCAUUUGUUUUGAUAAAAACUGCCACUCAUUUAUUACCGAUUUUGUGGUUGUACUUUGGAUUAAACAAUUUAAUAUUUAUUUUUAAGGCAGCGAGGCAUUUUCAUGUCUUCCCGAAUUGAAGAAGAAUAUAAUUGGGUUCUGAUUUUGAAAACAAAGUUUGUGAUUGUGAAUGGUUUGAUAGAAAACUGGGUUCUGAUUUUAAAAAUGGUUUGUUUACUGAUUUUAAUUAGUUUCUGAAUUCAGUAUUAUGGUAAUUCUUUUUUGAUAGCUAGAUGUUUAGUAUCUAAAAUGUUUAUGAAUUCAGUAUUAGUUUCUGAAUGCAGUAUUAGUUUGUUUUUUUUUUUUUUUAUAGCUGGAUGUUUAAUAUCAAAAUUAAUUAUAAUCAUAAAAUAUUUGGAUUGAUUGCAGGGUUUAUUGAGUUGAUCUUUGAAUUGUUAAACUUAUGGCAUCUAGAAAAAAUGCUUUUGGUAAUAGGCUUGAUGUGGGAUGGCAGUAUGGUAUAGAUGUUUUAAAAAUUCUAGAAAAGUUUUGUGCAAGUAUUGUCAAAAAAUUAUUAGUGGAGGUAUAUUUCGUUUCAAACAGCAUUUGGCUUGCACUCGUAAGGAUGUUGAGCCAUGUCAGCAAGUGCCAGAAAAUGUUAAGCAGAUGAUUUUGGGUGUUUUAGUAAAAAAUCUUGAGGCAACUAAAAAGAAAAGAAAGCCCCUUCAAUAUAGUGGAAAUGAUGAUGAUGAUGAUGAAAUAAAAGAAAUUAGCUCCAAGGAUAAAGGAAAGAGAGUAGCUAGUGGGAGUGGAAGUACACAAACAACUCUAAAUCAAUUGCUAAAAAAUGAUAUUAGAGAAGAAGCAUGUCGACAAAUUGCUAGGUUUUUCUACACUAGUGCAAUUCCAUUUAAUUGUGUAAAAAACCCUGAGUUUAUUAAGGCACUUGAAAUGGUUGCAAAGCAUGGGCUCGGUUUCAAGCCUCCAUCCUACUAUGAUAUUAGAGAGAAGUAUUUGAAGCAAGAAGUGGAUUAAACAAUGAAAUUGCUUGAGGAGUACAAGCUAGAAUGGAAAAAGACAGGUUGUUCAAUAAUGUCUGAUGGGUGGACAUAUAAAAAAAGACGUUGUAUUUGUAAUUUUUUGGUUAAUAGUCCUAAAGGGACUGUUUUUUUUAUCAUCGGUGGAUACUUCUAAUAUGUCCAAGACUGCUGAUAAGGUAUUUGAGAUGUUAGAUGCCAUUAUGGAGAGGAUUGAGGAGGAAAAUAUUGUCCAAGUAAUCACCGAUAAUGCUGCAAAUUAUAAGGCAGCGGGACAAUUAUUAAUGGAAAAAAGAAAGAGUUGUUUUGGACACCAUGUGCUGCCCAUUGUAUUGACUUGAUAUUAGAAGAUUUUGAGAAGAAGUUAGAGGUUCAUCAAGUAACUAUUGCUAAGGGCAGGAGAAUCACCUCAUAUAUUUAUUCAAGAACCAUUCUUAUUUCCAUGCUAAGGCACUUUACGAAAGGAAGGGAUUUGAUUAGGCCUGCUGCCACUCGGUUUGCUACUACAUAUUUGACUCUAGGAUGUUUGAAUGAUCAUAAAAUUCAGCUGAUGACUAUGUUUAUUUCCAACCAGUGGAGUUCAUGUAGGUUUGCAAGAAUAGAAGAAGGGAAACGAAUUCAAAAUUGUGUUUUAGACAACAGGUUUUGGCAUGAUGGCACUAUAUGUAUUAAGGCAGCAUAUCCUCUAAUUAAAGUGCUUCGAUUAGUUGAUUCAGAUGAGAAACCAGCUAUGAGUUUUAUAUAUAAAGCAAUGGAUGAAGCAAAAGAGAAGAUACAAGUGAAUUUUGGUUUUGUGAAAAAAGGUAUAUAUUUUGCUAAUUUUUAUUUCAAAUGUUGUCAUCUAUUAAUAUGAAUGUUUUCCAAUUGAAAUAUUCCUAUAUUGUAAUGAUAUUUUUAUUGUUUUUUUUUUAUAUAGUUAUAUACCUAUAUGGAAUAUUGUUGAUGCAAGAUGGGAACUUCAACUCCAUAGACCUUUACAUACAGCAACUUAUUAUUUGAAUCCUCAUUAUCAUUAUAAUCCCAAUUUUAAGGUUAAUGCCAACAUUAAAAUUGGAUUAUAUCAAUGCUUAGAAAGGAUGGUGCCUAAUGCAAAUGAAAGGUGCAAAAUUGACUUACAACUUGAAUCAUUCAAGGAUGCAAAAGGGUUGUUUGGCAUUGACGCUGCCAAGACAGCAAGAGAUAAAAAAAACUCCAGCUCAAUGGUGGGAUUCUUAUGGGGAUGAAUGUCCAGAAUUACAAAGGUUUGCAAUCCGAGUUCUAAGUUUGACUUGUACUUCAUCUGGAUGUGAGCGUAAUUGGACUGCAUUUGAAAUGGUGAGUUUUUUUUUUUUAAAAAAAUAUUGAAAUAUUUGAUAAAAAUCUUAUAAAUUUGAAUUGCUUAUUUAAGUUCAUACAAAAUGAAGAAAUCGUUUGCACCAAAAAAAAAUGAAUGACUUGGUAUUUGUAAUGUGCAAUCUGAAAUUGAAUGAUAACCAAGUCAAAAAGCAAGCUGAUGAUUUUGGUAUAGAAGAUGAUCUUUCAUGUGAUGAUGAUUGGAUAACCGAGGGAGAAAAACAUCCAAACUUUGAUUUGCUUGGUGCUAUUGACAGUGCAACACGAAGACAAAAUGGUGAUGAAGAUGAAAGUGAUGAAGAAGAAAUUUCUAAUGAUGUUGAAACGGAGAGUCAUGGUAUUGAAGAUGAUUUGGAUAUUUAAAUUGAUAAUAUUGGUGUUGGUACUAGUAGUAGACUAAUGUUUAUAAUAUUGGUGUUGGUACUAAUAGUGAUACUAAUAAUCCUCUUGAUGCUAAUGAUAUUGAUGAAUGCUUGAUGAAUGAUGAGGAAGAUGAAGGGAAUGAAGCUGAUUUUAGUUUACAUGACACCCCAACAGAUUGUUUGUUUUAAAUUUGUUAAUUAUUGGUUAAUGAAAAGUUAUUUUAAAUUAUGUAUGACUUUUAUUUGAACCAUGUAUUUUAAGAUGUUUGAACUAUGUAUGAAUUUUUAUUUGAAGGCUUGAAAUAUGUAUGAAUUUUUAUUUGAAGCAUGUUUUUUAAGGUGUUUGAACUAUGUAUGAAUUUUUAUUUGAAGUAUGAAUUUUUUUUUAUGUAUUUUAAAAUUUCUUAUGAUUUUACGAUCCAUUUUUACGAUCCGAGUUUGUGGGCGGUUUUUUGUGCCGUGUUAAAAUCGUGAUUUUAAUAACCUUGGUGUGGACCAUGCUGAAAAAGAUUUUUAAGUAUGUAAAGGAAACCAUGAAGAAAUUCAUAUUUAAAAAGUCUUAGGUGAAAGGAAUCUAUUGGAAGAAUCCAUGCAUACAAGGAGCUCGUACUUAAGACGUUUUUCUAAGAGGCCAAGGAAAGUGAACCUAUGGAGAAUGAACUUAUAGUUUGAAACAUUAUAAGAGGCAAAAAUGGAUUCUAUCAAGGAGAAGUCAUACUUAGAAAACAUUCUAACAAGGCUGAGGGUUUAACGUCUAUGCUUAGAAAAAAUUUUAAAGGGUCGAGAGGAAUCCAUGAAGGAAAAGCCAUGUUUAGAAAAAUUUAUAAAAUGACGAGAGUUUCACGUUUAUACUUGGAAAAAUUCGAAUCUAUAGAGGAGAAGCCAUGUUUAGAUGAAAAUUCUAAAAGGCCAGGGUUUCAUGCACAAACUUGAAAAAAAAUAAUUCUAAAAGGCUAGAGAACCCAUGAAGUAUAAGUUUAUACUAGGAAAUUGAGAGGUUGAGGGUAAUCCUUGAGAGUUGUUUCAUAUAAUAUCUUAAAUGAUCGUUGUUUUUUAAAUGAUGCAGCUAGUAACACCCUUGUCUAUCUCAAGCAAAAUGUAUGUUUAAUUGAAAUUCUUUUUCUUUAUUUGUAUUUUUUGUUUUCUUUUUUAUAGUUGAGAAUUACUGAAUGUCUUAGGUUUAGCCUUAGCCAACCUUUCCUAUUUAUAUAUGUAGGGCAGAAUACAGUAGUAACCAUAGGGAUUACAACAUUGGAUUAAUCCUACAUUACAUUAAUAUCCUAUGUAUAGAUAUACAUGAUAUACAUUCUAUAAUAUGCCCCCUCAAGCUGAGGGUGGAGGAUCGACCCGAAGCUUGAACCUGAAGGCAGUAAAGGACACAGCGGAAAGUGGUUUGGUGAAGACAUCAGCAAGUUGAUCCUGAGAGGGGAUAAACCGAAUUUGAAUUUCCUUCUUUGCUACCCGGUCAUGGACAAAAUGAUAGUCUACCUCAACAUGCUUAGUACGAGCAUGAAAGAUAGGAUUUGCUGAGAGAUAAGUAGCACCAAGAUUAUCACACCAAAUAGUAGGAGCCGAGAUGGAGGGAACCUGAAGAUCUCUUAACAAAUAUUGAAGCCAGAUGACCUCAGCAGUACCAUCUGCUAAGGCUUUAUACUCAGCCUCAGUGGAAGAGCGAGCAACUGUACGUUGCUUGCCGGAUUUCCAUGAAAUCGGUGUUUGACCAAAGAAAACAAGAUAACCACCCGUAGACUUGCGAUCAUCAAUACUCCCAGCCCAAUCGCAUCUGUAAAACCAUGAAGAGCAAAGGAGGUACCUCGAGUGAUAUGAAAACCAUAAGAAGCCGUUCCUUUGAGAUAGCGGAGUAUGCGUUUAACAGCAGCCCAAUGGAAAUCUGUAGGAGCAUGCAUGUACUGACAGACUCUGUUAACAGCAAAACAGAUAUCUGGGCGAGUGAAUGUAAGAUACUGAAGAGCACCACAAUUUGACGAAACCGUGUGGGAUCAGAAAAUGGAUGAUCGGCUGUAGAGCAAGUUUAGAGGGAGAAACUGGAGUGUCAACCGGUUUGCAGGAAGUCAUACCAGCCCGAGUGAGGAUGUCAAGAAUAUAUUUUUGUUGGCGCAACAUCAGACCCAUACCUGUAGACUGAACUUCAAUACCUAGAAAGUAGUGAACAUCACCUAAGUCACGUAGCUUGAAUUCAGAGCUUAGUAACUGGACUAGAUGAUGGAGCAUGGCAGAGUUGCUGCCUGUAAGCAGAAUAUCAUCAACAUAGACGAGAAGAUAGAAGAUAUUAGUGCCAUCAGAUAAGAUAAACAGGGAAGUGUCAACCUUGGAGGCAAGGAAACCAAUAGAGAGUAAAAAAUCACUCAGACGAGUGUACCAUGCCCUUGGUGCCUGUUUUAAACCAUAUAGUGACUUGUGCAACCUGCACACAUGAGAUGGAAGAGUAGAAUCAACAAAACCUGGAGGUUGUUUCAUGUAGACCUCUUCAGUAAGAACACCAUUGAAAAGCAUUAUGAAUAUCAAGCUGAUGAAUCUUCCAAUUGCGGGAAACUGCAAUGGAAAAGACUAAUCUGACGGUGGCCUGCUUAAUAACUGGGCUGAAAGUUUCAGAAUAAUCAAUGCCUUCCUGUUGAGUAAAGCCUCUAGCAACUAGACGGGCUUUAUAACGUUCGAUGCUGCCAUCAAUACGACGUUUGAUACGAUAUACCCAUCGGCUGCCCACAACAUUCAUCGAUGGAUGAAAGGGCACUAGAGACCAAGUAUGAUUGGAUCGUAAAGCCUUGAUCUCAUCACACAUGGCAUCAUGCCAAGCCAUAUUUAUCUGCAUCAGAAAAGGCAACAGGUUCAGAGGAAGGAGAGAGCAAUACCCGAGAAACAGCUGCAUUAGCGGCAGCAGAGGACACCAUAUUGGCAUUUUUGGGCUGUCGUGAUCGAAGGAUCAUAGGGUGUCGGCUGAGAACUGGCUGUGACGCAGGUGAAGGAGGCAUGACAGAGGUGUCAUGAUGCAGGAUAGGCUGAGAGAUCCACCACCAGAUUUAGUCCAGGAGACGAAUCCGGGAAGAAGCUGCCGCAAGUGGAGAGCUGGCAGCAGAGGCAGAGUCGGCAGAAGCCGAAUUGGUGGCAGAAAAAGGAGCUGAAGACGAGCCAGAGGAUCUCCCACUAUGCGCAAGGACUUCGUGCUGGAGAACAGGAAACACUGAGCUGCAACCUGUAGCUGCAACAGUAUGGUUAGAUAAAGAUGCAUGGGGUGAGCGGCAAGGGAAAUAUGGAGGCUGUGGUGCUUGAGUCGGCAGUAAGGGCAGGGCAGAGGCAGAGGCGGGUGGGGAUGGAUUUUGAGCUGUAAACAGUGGUGAGGGUUGAGAUUUGGGAGGAUGGUAAUAGGGGAUGGUGUAUGGGUUUGAGAGGGAACCUGUGCAAUCUGUUCAGAUUUAUCAAACGGAAAAACAUUUUCAUGAAAACGAACAUGACGGGAGAUAUACAUGCGAUGAGAUUCAAUAUCAAAACAUCGAUAACCAAGGUGAGAGGGACUGUAGCCAAAAAAUAUACAAGGAGAAGACCGAAAAUCUAAUUUGUGAUUAUUAUAGGGACGCAAGAAAGGAAAACAUAGACAUCCAAAAGUACGUAAAAAUUGAUAAUCAGGAGACCGUUGAAACAAACAAUCAAAAGGAGAUCGAUUAUCAAGAACAGAAGUAGGCAUACGAUUAAUGAGAUAAACCGAAGUAUCAAAUGCAUAAUUCCAAAAACGAAAAGGAGCUUUACAUUGACCUAGAAGAGUAAGACCGGUUUCCACAAUAUGCCUAUGACGUCUUUCUACCAUUCCAUUUUGUUCGUGAGUAUGUGGACAUAUCAGACGAUGAUGAAUACCAAUAGUUUCGAAGAAAGUGGAGAGUUUGCGAUAUUCACCUCCCCAAUCAGUUUGAACAGAUUUUAUUUUUAACGAAAACUGACGUUCGACAAGAGUUUGAAAUUGAUGAAAGAUAGAGUAAACAUCAGAUUUUGCAACAAGUGGAUAAUACCAUAUAUAUUUUGUGUGCGCAUCAACAAAUAUAACAAAAUAACGAUAACCAUCCGAAGAAAAAAGGGGAGCAGGACCCCACACAUCACUAAAAAUUAAUUCAAGCGGAGCAGAAGUUUUGUGACCAGUAGGUCGUAAAGACAAACGUGACGAUUUUCCUAAGGGACAACUUUGGCAUUGAAAAUUAAGACUUUUGUUGUUACAAAUGAUCUUAUUUUUCGAGACUAAAAAUUUAAAAAUGGAGGUAGGAUGACCUAGGCGACGAUGCCACAAAUCAGCAGAGGCAGAGGUGCAGGGAGACCAAUAGGCUUGAGGAGUUGACAGGACGGAAGACCUGAACUUGGAAAGUAUAGAGACCAUCUUUACUCUGACCUGAGAGAAGGACUUCAUUGGUGUUGAGAUCCUUGACAUAAAACAGAAAAGGGUGAAAUUCAAAAUAAACAUGAUUAUCGAGACAAAAUUUCUGAACAGAAAGCAGAGGUUUCGUGAUUGCAGGAACAUGUAGAACAUUAGAUAAAGUGAAUGAACGAUGUGGGUUAUAUAUUUUUGUAUGGCCAAUAUUAGAUAUGGAAAGUCCCUUACCAUCACCAACAUGCAAAUUAUCAUUACCAUUGUAUGGUUCUGAAGCAGUCAAGGUUGCAAGGUCGGGUGUGACGUGUUGGUUUGCACCGGUGUCCGGAAACCAUUCAGCAGCAGAGGCAGAAUUAUUGAAUGCCAAAUUGGCACUGUGUUGCGGGCCAUGACUGCGUUGCUGAAGUUGGGAACACUGAGGAGCAGUGUGUCCAUAAUUGUUGCAUAGCUGGCAGCGGGAAUUUGAGCCUCGGCGCUGCCAAUUUCCUUGCCAGCUGCUGUGCCUAUUUUCGUGCCAUAUGAGGAGCAGAAUUAUAAUUAGUUGGAGGUUACGAAAAUCAGACCUGUAGGAAUUAUUUCGUUGCCUCGGUAGAAGGAGAACGCCAGCUGCCACGCCCCCUAUGUCUUCCAAACUGAGCAGAAUUGUAGCGUUGAGACAGUAGUGCUGAAGGUGGCGUGGGCAGCAAUGGUUGGUUGGCGUUGGCAGCAGAUCCCAUAGACAAAUGAGAGGUUUUAUGAAUAAAUUCAUGAGUUAGCAGAUGACUAAGCAAAUCUGCAUAUGGUAGAGGAUCCGCCCUUGUAAUAAGACUUGUUACUAAGUCCUUAAAUUCUCCGCGAAGGCCACGAAAUAUAUAGAGAUUAAAAUCGGUUAGCGAGAUAGGCCGGCCAGCAGCUGCUAGCUCAUCAAAUAAAGUCUUAGCUUUUUGCAAAAAUUGAGUUACCGAAUCAUCACCUUGUCGAAGUUCUUGAAGGGAACCAUGUAAUUGCAUAAUACGAGAAUUGGAUGUAGAGGCUAGCGCUUGCUCAAGUGUGAGCCAGACAGAACAUGAGGUUGGACAAUCAACAACAAGAUGAAGAACUUCCAUGGACAGCGAAGAGAGCAAGGCACUUAGAAUUAAUUGAUCCUGUUGUUUCCAACGAAGAAAGGAUUGAGAUACCUGAAGAGUAGCACCAUCGGCAGCAGGAAUAUGUGGAGAGGGGCAGGAGUUUAAACCAUCAACAAAGCCGAAAACUCCUUGGCCUAAGAGGUAUGGUUUCAUCUGCAUUCGCCAAUACAAGUAAUUGGUAUUCGUUAAUUUCAUAGAGAUGACCUGAUGGGUGUGUGAGAGGGACACAAUUGCCACGGCAGAGGCUGCUGUAAUUUCAGCAGACGAAGAUGGCAGCAAAGGAGCAUUGUCCGGAUUGAGAAGAGCAUGGCCAAUAUUAGUGUGUUGUGGGCACUGCAUAAUUGAGGCUGAAGAAGAGAGCUGUCCUGCGGUUGAAGAAGAAAAUUGUAGCGAAGGAGGUGGGACAACAGGGGUUGCUGCAGAGGAGAAGAAGGCUGCCGGCUGAGAAGAAUCCAUUGUUGUAGAGAAGGAGAAGGCUGCCGGCUAAGUGUUUUAAUUUAUUUUGGCUCUGAUACCAAGUUGAGAAUUACUGAAUGUCUUAGGUUUAGCCUUAACCAACCUUUCCUAUUUAUAUAUGUAGGGCAGAAUACAGUAGUAACCAUAGGGAUUACAACAUUGGAUUAAUCCUACAUUACAUUAAUAUCCUAUGUAUAGAUAUACAUGAUAUACAUUCUAUAAUAUUUAUUAAUAAAAAUAUUAUUUUAUGAGAAACAUAUAUAUAUUUUUAAAUAAGAACAUAAUUUUAAAAUAAACUUUUAAUAAAAAACAAAAAAAAAUGAAUCAUAAUUUUUACACACGAAAGUGUCAAAAAAAUAUAAGAAUAGUCAACCGAUGGAAAUGACUGUAUUUAUCCCCCAACAUCAACUCACCUCACCUCAUUUUUCUUUAAAGAGCAAAAUCAUAAUGUUACCAUAGCUAUGAAUAGUUUUUUUGUGUUUGAGGCACGUUUUCAUGUUAAUUAUUUUGAAAGUAAAUAGGUCGGUUGCCUUGUUUGAAACUAUAGACAUUGGCUGCUAAAUAGAAAAACGCAUCUCCUUGGUCAGGUCACCAUGGAAAAGGGUUAGCUUAAUAAUUAAUUAACACCAUAUUGCAACGGGAAGCUGUCCACUGCAACUGGAAAUGGAUCAGACACGGUUUGCAAUUUACUGUCAUUAUCUUUCUUUAUCCAUUUUGAAAUGCAAAAGUUGCUCCAAGUUGCCUUAUUUACGAAUAAAACAGAGUUGCCAUUGUUGAUUUGCUUCUUGAAAUGAUUUGCAGCUGACUGUUUUAGCAAAAAGAGAAAGUAGUUAAAAGCAUAAGCUCGUACCAAUAAUUGUUGGGGGCAAAAGGUGACAAGUGGAUAUAUAUGGUUAUAUUUUAUAUUCAUUGCUUGCAUUCUGAAAUGCAAAAGAUGCUCCAAGUUGCAUCAUUUAGGAAUAAAUUAAAUUGUGUUGCCAUUGUUGAUUUGUUUCUUGAAAUGAUGCCCAGUUGACUGUUUUUUUUUUUUAAUUUAUUAUUUAAAGACACGACAUGCCAUAUAGGCUAAUUGGCACUAUAAAAAACAUCCACCAUUCCUCUCAAACACUACUUCUAUAACCACCAUCAAGACCUGCAUAAUAUAGAAAUUAGCUAUUUCUCUUUCUGUUUAUUUCUUCGAGUAAUAUUUUGUUUCUGUGAUUAUGGCUACUGGGCAAGCACAGGCAACCCCCUUCCAGCUGUGAGAACAUACCCGCCGGUGGAGCAUCCAGUGGUGGUAAUAGGGCCACAGUACCUGGCACAGUACCCUGUUGAACUCGCCGUCUCUACAAAGCUAUGGACUCUUGGAGAGAAUGAUUUUAAGUGUCUGACAUUAAUGGCACCCUCAUCUUCCAGGUCAAGAGUAAACUCUUAAGCUUGCAUGAUCGUCGUUUUCUGAAAGAUGCAGCCGGUAACACCCUUGUCAAUCUCAGGCAGAAGGUAUGUUUAAUUGCUCUUUGUCAUUUGCUUUCUUCUUUUUCAAUCUAACCAUCACAACAAUGAUAAAUUCUAAAUUUGGUUGCCUUUUACACGAGACUAGAUAUGAUUCAUUCAAUAUAAACAUCGAGGAUUAUUAUUAUUUUUUAAAUGUAAUUUAACUGAUAAGGACCACACAUAAAAUAACAAUGAUGAAAGUUGAAUACAGUCAAAUAAGUUUACUAUCAUUACUGUCCAUAUAUCAAUGAGAUGGCUUACUGCGUGUUUACCAUUUUCUCCAGAUAAGGACAAUGCAUCGGAGGUGGGAAGCUUUUAGAGGAGAAAGCAAGGAGGAGAAAGAUUUGCUUUUCACAGCCAAGAAAUCAAAGUUAUUCCAAUUCAAAACUGAGUUAGACAUAUUCUGGCUAACAACAAAGGAGAGGUCCCUGAUUUCAAGGUCAAGGGAGGGUACGGGAGAGUUCCUGCUCUAUACUUCUUGGAGAUUCCAAUACCAUGCUUGCACAAGUAAGUUCGAUGCUCUCAUUCAUUUGAGUCCUAUCUCUUUGCAGGUUUUCACACUAAUAUUUUUAAAUCUUACAUAAAUGCAGAUGCAUAGAUUACAUUCUCUCACGACUAUGAUCUUGGAUACAGAUAGUUUUGGAGUGACUGUUUAUCCUAAUGUUGAUUAUGCCUUCAUAGUAGCUCUUGUGGUGAUUCUCGAUGAGAUCAAUGCGGACCGUAGUGGCGAAGAUUAAUACAGCAGCUUUUGUUUUAUUUCAAGAGAAGUUUUCAAGUUUUAUUGCUUUUUUAUUGUAAGAAUAAAUACAAUGCAUUCUUUAUUGCUUUUUCCUAAUGUAAAGUGUAUGCUUUGUGGAUGACAUGAAGCGUAAAAUAUAUAAUGUUUGUUAAGUUUUAUAAUCAUUUAUUUAAUGUGUUUUGAAUUCUGAUCAAACUCAAAAACAAAUAACACAUAACUUGAGAUAAAUGAUCAUUAUAUAAACUUAGCUUUGUAACUUUAGUAAAAUUUAUUUGUAUAAAUUUGUUUGGAUCAGCGCUUGCAAAAGUUGGUGCUUGAUUCGGUAAAAAGAAUGUAAUUUUGCUGUUAAAGAAAUAUUGAAACUUCAAGGAUCAAAUAUAUAAACACAUGAGGUGAAGAUUUUAAAAAUUUAAUCCUCAAAGGUUCUUUAUUUUUAUAUCUUUUGUCACUUUAGCUUUAGAACUUUAGUUUUUUAUCCAAAACUUCAUUUUGUUUGUCUUCUUUUAAAAUUCUAUGUUAAAGAGAUAAGAGAGAAAAAAAUCAUGACACUUUUUUUUAUAACAUUAGCACUUUUUUUAUAGCCCUUCGUGAUUUUUUUCCCCUUAAAUUUUAUUUGGUAGAUUUCCAGCACAAGUCUAUUUUUAUUAUUGUAUGAUUAAAAUAAAAUAGAUUCUAAAAAUAGAGUUAUUAAACCCAUUUGAGUUCAAAACUCUAAUUAUAAAUUUUAUUGUUUAAUCCAAGUUGACUCAAGUCGAUUCAAAACAUUGUCAUCUCAAUAUUUUUUUUAAAAAAUAAAGUUGAACCAAUGUUAUCUUGAAAAAACAUUUUUUCAAUAAAUCUAGGUUUUUACCAGGUUGUAUUUGGAUUCACCAGGUUGAUCGGGUCACAUCGAACCAACUUUCACCUGUUUUGAUGUUAUACCUGGCUAGACAUUAUUUAUUUCUAAUGACAAUGGAAUGAAAUUCAUGAGAAUUUAUCACCAUCGAUUCCUUUAAUACUUGGAACGCACCCUAACUCUAUAACCCUGGAUCUAACCAAAACCAUUCAAAUUCAAAAUAACCAAAGUAUUAUAAAUUCAUUUGUUCAAACUCAACGGAAUCAUAACAUGACAACAAGAUCCAUGAAUCAAAUAAUUAAACCCAAACAACUUCAUAAAGUGAUAAAAUAUCAUCUUCCACAAACCUUUAAACCAACAUGUGUGUGCCAAGCUAUAUCUCAAUCUCAGCGGCGUAAUGUUAUGUCAAAUGACCUCACUACCAUCUUGAAGCAUACCACCUUCAAAUUGCACCCAUGUAGGUUGUAGAUGGGUGUUUAAAGUGAAGAGAAAAUCUAAUGGUUAUAUGGAUAGAUUGAAAUAUUGUCUUGUUGCAAAGGGGUAUAAUUAAUGCCCCGGACUUGACGAUAAAGAAACAUUCAAUGCAAUAGUUAAACUUGCCACCAUUAGAUCAAUUUUAACUAUUGUUGUCAUGAAUGGGAGAGAGUUGAGGCAAAUAGAUGUUAACAAUGAUUUUAUACAUAGGAAUUUAACUAAAGUAUUUAUAUGAUGGAUUCCAUGCCCUAAGUAUCAUGAAAUCAGUGUGAAAAGUUGGCAAAAAAUCAUUUCUGCCCUCAUUUCUUUUGUUCUCCUCCUCCAGCCUCCCUUUCCCCCUCUUUUUCUCCACCUCCAGCGACACCACCACCUUUGGUCACCAUACACGUACGAUCUUCCAUGAACAACCACGAACCCUUCUAGCAACCCUCUUCCUCCGGCCAAACAAGGUUGCUAUGUUUUUGUUUUUUUUUCCACUUCAAAACCCCUCCAUUUAUGAUUUUCUCGCAUGUUUUUCUAUUAAUUUUGUAAAAUAUCAGGCUGUAAUAUAGAUUCAAUAUUAAAAAACCUAGUUUUCUCUGAAAUGCUUCUUAAAAAAAUUUGAAGAUUAAAAAAAAUCUCAAAAUUUUUUAAAUUAAUUUCCUCUUUCAAAAUAAUAAAAAAAUAUUUUGUUUUCAUGCAUACGGUCAAAUCCUAAAAGUUUUUUAAGCAUACUUUUUUUUUUUUAAAAAAAACAUCUUUCUCAUGUUUUGAAAUGAAAAAAUAAAUACCGUAACUAGUUUAUGAUUAUCCCUUAGAGUUUGACUAAAUAUCAAAAAUCCUUCACCAAUCAUUUUGUUCAUUUUAUAUUUAGAGUGUUAGGGUUUAGCUGUAGACUUUAAUAUUCAGGGAUGUAAAACUACACAAUAGAGUACACCCUUAGGUAUUAAAGAUAAAAAGUGAAAAAUAAAUGCAAUGCUAAAAUUUAGACUUUUGAAUAGUUAUGAUUUAGCCUGAUAAGAUAGAGACCUCUUCACGAAAAAAGAUUUGCCUUGAACGUUAGAUAUGACCGACGAACAUGAACAUGACUUAUAAUAACAAUCAAAUAACAAUUCAGCUUAUUAAUUUUAGGUAGGGUGAUGUGCCGCGCCAUUUGAUGCCCCCCACCACACCUUAUAUAUAAUAAAGGCUACAACUUAUUUUAACAAUCACAACAAUAUGCAAGUCUCCUCAAAUAUUCUUAAUAUGAGUGCAUCCUUAGGUUUUUUUUUGUAAAGAAGCCUAAAUCACCCUUCAUCGAUGCAUUAAUAAGCAACAUGUGUGGCACGAAAAUUGAUUACCAUCGAGCAUAAAUUCUAUAAAAGACAAAUUAAGAUCCACAACUUCAGUAGUACUACAAUAAUAAAAUAUUGAUAGUGUUCCAAAAUUUGAUAUACUAAAAAAUAAGGUUAUUUGUGGUUUACAUAGUGGUUAAUCAUAUAAAGAAAAUCAAGACUUUGUAACAAUAUAGAUUUACACUCAUCUUAUCUCUUGUAAAUCUUCUAUCCUCAUGUAUUUGAAUUUAUAAUAAACAAUAUCUUGUACAAACCUUAUAAAUAGGAGUUUUACUUAUAAAAUAAGAAAAGCAAUUUAAUUAAGGAGAGCAUUUUUUAGAGUUGUAUAUCAUACCCCGAGGGUGCUUGUUUAAGCCUAUAGAUGAAUUUUCUUAAUAUACACACAUUAUUAGGAUUAAACAUGUCUUUAAAACAAAGAAUAGACUAUGGUUAAUCUUCCUUCUAUUUCUCGUUGUUUUUUUUUUUUUCUAUUUUUCCACUUUCAGCCUUCUUCCAGUCCUCUAUUUUCUUUUGUGCUUCUGCUCUCCCUUUUCUUUUUUGUCACUAUAUGUUUUCCUUUCCUCACCCUCUGUUUUCUUUCUCAUCCCUCUGUUUUUCUUCCUCUCUCUCGUUUCCUUCUUUCCUAAAAGGAGUUUACAAAAACUACUAAAGUUUUGAAACAACUUCUAUCGGCAAAAGAUGAAGGCUUUCUUCGGGUUGUCAGAGGCAAUGAACAAGGUAGGGACUACCCGUCGGUUUGUACUUCAUUUGUACAAGCAAGAUGUGCAGGUAUAAGCCAAUUUAUUCUUCUUUGUUAUAUUUAAACUAGGCAUUUGUUGAUUGUUCUGUUCCAAACCUGUUUCUCCUUUUGCUCUGAAUAUUCGGUUUCUGUGUGGACAAAGGUUAUAUGCUCGCCUACUAAUCUUUCAUGGCUUUGAGUUUAGCUUAUUGUUUAUGUUAAAGGGGUGUUUCUUUACUCAUUCCCCUACCAUGAGAAACCAUGAGCUUCAAAAACCCUCACCAUUUUUUUUCUUUAUUCAGGUACCUCCCUGGUUUUAAGAUUCUGUAUAGGAGGAGCUGUGCUCCUAAAUGUAGUUUGUCCAGAGGAUUAAGAAAACACAAAGAAAGUUCCUUUUUACUUGAAGUAACGUUGGCAUGUUCUUGGGAGAUUCACGUUUUUUUCUUCCCUUUCUGUUCGCUGGAGAAAGGAUAGCCGACCAUGAUGUUGUUUUUGGUUUUUAGUUUGUGAUAUACAUGAUAUAAAGGCGUGCUCCCCAACGUUUUCUUUCUGUUUGCAUGAAAUGAGUAAGGCAACUCCCAACUUAGGGAAAAAGGGUGGGGUUAUGAGGCACGAACAUAAGAUUUUAAGGGGAUAAACAGUGUCACUAUAGUAUUUUUAGAUUUUCUUUUAGCUCAUAGUGUUAAUUUGUGAAAUUGAUCUUUAAUUCUUGUCUUAAUUUUCUAUGAUACAUUAUUUAUACAAGAGCAAGCAAAUUAAAACAAAAUCCAACACAUCAAAUCAAACUAAUAUAACUUAUAAAGAUGAAUUGUAAUGAAAUAACAUUAAAUGGUUGAAGUGUAAGAAUUUUUUUUUUAAAAGAAAACAAAACAAAACAGGGAUCUAAUAAAAAAAAAGGAGGGCAAAAACUAGAGUGAAUUGCUGGAAAAAAAACAGACCAUGUUUGUUUCCACGGCUAGGCCAUGUUUUUCAAAAAACUUGAAUUUGUUUUUGCUUUAAAUUAUAUUUUUUAUAUUUUUAUAUUGUUUUAAUGUAUCAAUAUUAAAAAUAAAUUUAAAAAAUAAAAAAGUUGUUCUCUCAACGAACAACCAAGAAAAAGUUGUUCUUUUUAGUUGACAGAAACUAUCCUCUCCCCUACAUGACAGCAUAGCUAGAAACCUACCAGAGAUUCCAUCUCAAAAUCAAAAUAUCUGCAGCUAUAUAUCAAGCUUUCUCCAUCUCUACAUCCCAAGACAGAUGUUUCCCUGGGUCUCCUACGAGUAUUCAUGUGAAGUUGCUGGAAUGGCUUGGAUUAUGCUGAAAGUGGACUAUUCAAGGCUGUUCUGGUUAUUAUUUGGUGUCUUUUCGUAUCAGAAUCUAGGAAGGCCUCGGAUCAUCUAGCAACUAGCUAACCUCUUGCAAUCCCCACUUCCAUAACCAUUAUAUUCUGUAGUGUGUGUUUAGUAAUAAGAACUAUUGCGUGCUAUACUUACAGCACAUAAACUACUAUAACAAAGCAGCUUGAACCAUGUAUACGACUCGAGUUGGAGCAUGUGUUGAUGGAGCUAAGGCACAGCUUGGAUAUGUUGAGACCGACCCUUCUGGUCGUUAUGGACGUGUAAGUCAAUUGCUUGCUUAAUUUUCUUCGUCGAAUACACGCCAUAAGAUUUUUCCCGAUCCAACCAAAGACUCCGCCUCCCCCCUCCCUCGCUGCCAAAAAAAACUAAGAUGUCUUUGUUUACGCGCAAAAAUGAACUUUCAAAGUAGGACAGGGCCUUUUUUUGUUUUAUUUAAGGACAUGAUAUAGGGCUAAGUGGCACUAUAAAAUACGUACAUCAACCAUCAUCAAGACUUACAUAAUAUAGAAAUUUAGCUGUUUUUCUUUCUGUUUAUUUCUUCGAGUAAUAUUUUGUUUCUGUGAUUAUGGCUGCUGGGCAAGCACCAUUCAACCCCGUUCCAGCUAUGAGACCAUACCCGCCAGUGGAGCAUCCAGUGGUGGUAAUAGGGCCACAGUACCUGGCACAGUACCCUGUUGAACUCGCCGUCAACAGUGAUUUUAAGGUGUCUGACAUUAAUGGCACCCUCAUCUUCCACGUCAAGAGUAAACUCUUAACCCUACAUGGUCGUCGUUUUCUGAAAGAUGCAGCCGGAAACACUCUUGUCAAUCUCAGGAAGAAGGUAUGUUUAAUUGCUCUCUGUCAUUUGCUCUCUUCUUUUUCAAUCUAACCAUCACAACAAUGAUAUGAUUCAAUCUGAUAUCAAUUUCUUAUCGCGUGUUUAAUUUAUCAUUUUCUCCAGACAAGGACCAUGCAUCGGAGGUGGGAGGCUUUUAGAGGAGAAAGCGAGGAGGAGACUGAUUUGCUUUUCACAGCCAAGAAAUUAAAGCUGUUCCAAUCCAAGACUGAGUUACACGUCUUCUUGGGUAAUAACAAAGGAGAGGUCCCUGAUUCCAAGGUCAAAGAAGGCUACAGCAAGAGUUCCUGCUCUAUACUUCUUGGAGAUUCCAAUACCAUGCUUGCACAGGUAACAUUAACAAAACUUAUUUCUGAAAUAUGACAAUCUUGAAUAAAUUUAACCCAGUGGCGGAGCUACAAAAUCGGCAAGAGGGGCAAUUGCGCGCUUUUUUUUUUUUUUUUCAAAAUAUUUUUUUAUAUUAAAAUAUUUAUAUAAUAACUUUACAGGGUUAAUUUUCUUUGUUAGCUACUAAUUAAUCCAAACCUUUUUUUUUUUUUACUAUUGUCCCUGCCUCUUUUUUUUCCUAUAAAAUUUAUCUUCAAGCCCUAAUCUAUUAAUUAAUUAAGCAAGUAACCUCUUAUAUUUUAUACUUUAAGGAAGUUUCUUUCAUCUUUUUUAUUUGUUUCAUUAUCUAAUUUUAGUUUUAUUUCUUUAUAAUUAGUUAUUGAAAUUGUUGGGGUUUAUAAUAAUUUAUGAGUUUAUUGAAUUAAUAUAUGUAUGGGUAAUAUUAUAUGCUAAUGGAUAUGAAUUGAAAUAAAUUUUGAUGAAUUGAUAAGUAUUUUGUUAUGAAUUUCAUAUGAAAAAUGAUGGUGAUGAAUUUACUAAUGAUUAAAAAUGAAAUACAGGACAACUCAAAAAAUUAGGGACAUAAUAAAUAAAUUAAAAAAGAAAACAUUUAAUAUUUAUGUUUAAUCCACUUGUACAAAACAACAAGUCAGCAAGAACAAUAUCAAUUUAUGACAAUCCUUUUAAGCCAUGAUUUUAAAUGUUAUGUAUCAUAUGUCAGCAUAGAAUUGUUGUCAAGAACUUUCUUAGUCCUUGGAAGAUUUAUAAAUAGAUAAAUGAAAGCUUAUUGUAUAUAUUGAGAAAUAUAUAAGAUUAAAAAUAAAAUUAUUAUGAAACACUUUUAAAAUAUAAAAUCUCGAAGAGAAUAAUUAUAAUGUAAAUUGUUUUAUUUUAAAAAUAUUCUUAAAUUAGUUUUACUCAACUUAAGUUGGUAUAUAUAUUUCAAAUUAAUAUUUUUAUAUAACACAUGUCAAUAUAGUAUAUAAUAUCAAAUAUUUAUUAAUAAUUUAUCCCUUUAUUUAAAAAAUCUUGAUUCCGCCACUAAAUUUUGACCACAUCAUCUUCUCAUAUAGAACUAUAUGUCUGUCGCUGAGGCUGCCGUAGAAAUACCCCAGAUUUCAUUGCAUCAUUUACAUUAAAACCGAUUAUUGUUUUAAUGAAGAAAGUUGUCUUCAUAAUUAAUAUCUCUUGCCGGUAUUUUUCUUAUUAUGGGAACGCAGGUGCAUGGAGGACACACUCUCGCUAUUAUGCCUAAUGUUGAUUAUGCCUUCAUAGUGGCUCUUGUGGUGGUGAUUCUCGACGGGAUCAAUGCGGAUGAUGAUGUUGGGGACGCCGUCAUUGACGGUUUUGUCAAUGGAAUUGUUGGGUCGGUAUAAUGUAUUGGCAGUAAAUAUUUUGCAAAUCUCUAUAAAAUAUUGACGGUCUUUGGCUGUUGUUGUAGACAUUAGUGAUAGUGACAUAUAUAAUAAAUAUUUUUCAAUUCUAUGUAAAAUACUUACGGAGUCCAUCUGAAAAUCCGUCGGUUGUGAUUUAAAAAAAUAAAAAAUUAUUUAGAAUAAAUAAUAUAAAAUUAUGUAAAUUAAUAGUAAAAAAAUCAAUUAUGCAAAUAAAAUUAUAGGAAACAUUAAAAAUAUAAAAAUAAAGUUAAAUAAUAUUUAUCCAAAUAAUCAUUAUAAAUUUAAUGUGUUUCAAAAAAAAAAUUAAACUAGAACAAUGGUGGAGCUGGAGGAGGAGGAGGAGGAAGUUGGUUGUUACCGGGAUCAAACAGCAAAAAAAAGGACGCACAUGUAUCACUCAUCUGUGAUCUAAUGUCCAUGAUCAUUUAUCGGAGUUGUUCAUAAUCUACCGAGAGUCCCUCCUAUUGUUGUUUCAACCCAAUGAACUCCUCAGAAUAGUUGCUCUACACUGAUUGGGAGCUCCCAAUAAUUGAGACACUACGGGCCGCCCGCAAGUUCUCAGCUGUAGUGUUGGAGAGCUCGUACACCUAAUUUUUAUCAGGUCCACCAGACGGUCCUACCUUCAGCCACAAAUCCGAAUCGAAAUUUAGAUGGGUCGAAGGAUCGUCCCCAUAUCUCUCCCUCAAUCGGCUAUUAAAGGUCUCUUGAAAAUUAAAAAAAAAAUCAUCAUUUUCAAUUCAAGAAAAUAAUAACUUACGAAAUAAAAUGGUCGAACGAACAUACCAUUAAAUGUUGAGCGCGGUUAUUCACGAACUAUUGCACCCCCUUUUGGUGAUCUGCACUUCACACGUGCAUCUCUACAACCAGCUCCAUUGGGCUCAACUCACGUUCAAGAGACGUAGCCUGUAAGAAAAAAACUAUUGCAAGUUAAAUAUAUUUAUAAGUAACAACAAUUAAUUAUUGAUAUAUUUUAUUUAAAUUAAUCUUACCAUUCAUUUCACAUGUGCACUGAACGGAACGGAGCCGCUGGUGUGCGUAGUCACCGAACCAUGAAUUUGCCAGUUUCGGUUGUCAAAACCAGACUGUGAGCGUCGUGUGAACCACUCAGAUGUCACGUGCUCAAUAUAUUGCGGCCAUAUAUCUCCCGAGAUGUAUUGUGGUUUGAAAUCUCUCCAAACUGCCACGUCAUUCUAGCCUUGUAGACCAUUACCUCUCGUAUAUUUUUUUGGCUUUUUUUGUGUGUCAUACCAAAAAUCAUACAACCUACUUCCAUAGUGACAAAUUAGAUUUUAAAAUAAAAAAUUAUAUUGUUUUCGAUGUUACUUAGUUGUCACGUGACUCUCUCACACUCUCCUCACAGCAUUGUCACGCGCGCUAAUUUGUAUUGUGCAUAAAUAAUUUAUUUAAAAUAAAAAUAGUACCAAAUAUAAAAUUAUAAAAAUAAUUUAUUAAAAAUAAGUUGGAAAUUAGAAGUUAACACCUACCUAAAAUCUUUGAAACCAUGCAUCGAUAAAAGGUCUCCAAUCAGGAUGUCUGGAAAGCUGACUCCAUUGAAAUAUGGUCUCCAUUGAUGAUUUAAACACCGAUGUUAUUACUCGAGCGGCCUCAAUGUUUGUGAACCUGAAAAUAAAUAAAAAUAAUAAAAUAAUAAUUAGUUGUUCAUAAAUUAUGUUAUAAGUAAAAACACUAAAACCGAAACAAACUUACAUUGAAAGGUCGUCCUUCCAAUGUGUUUGUUAUUUGCAGGUGGAAUUGACCCGUUGUGAAGGCACACUAUCUCUGCGGUGUGAAAUUGCGUUGGAAGAGGCAACAUCAUGAGUGGGCGCAGGUGCCUCUUCUUGAUCACACAUAAGGAUAAAUCAUUCUCUCUGCUAAAAGAACUAGCUGCAACUAUAUGCUGACGACGUGUUGUUGAUUUCUUUCUACGCUUUUACACAAAUUUAUACUUAUAUUACAUAAUUAAAUUUAAUUAUUUAAAAAUAUUCGGCAGCACUCUCCUAUACUGGAGGACUACCUAAAAGUUUCCAACCUGCAAAUAUUGAAAAUAGCCACAAACCAAUUGACUCCAUUGAAAAUCUUAUAUAUAACCUAACAUCUAUACAAAUUUAACAAAAAAAUAAAGCAAAAAAAUAACAUUUAAUUUUAUAUAUUCAACUAACAUCUAUAGAAAUUCAUCAAUAAUAAUUAAAAUUAAUGGAAAUAAUCAAACACGUAUCAAGCAUAAUAAAGUAAAAUGGAGAUAAAAUAAUUAAAUUUAAUCCUAUUUUUUCAAUUACUAUUUACAAGGUAAAUUCAAUAAUAACAAUUAAAAUUCAACAAGAUAAUCAAUUAUUAUGGCAAUAAAAACAAUAAAAUAGGCAACAAAUUAAAAAAAAAACUAUAGGCUUUAGGAAUGAAAAAUGCUUACCUUAAUAGUGUGUUUAUUUCUAGACUUUAUCUACAUUAAUACAAAAAAAAAAACAAAAAUAUAUUGUUAAUAAAACAAAGAAAAUAUGAAAAAAAAAAUUUAUUACAUAUAUUGAAUCAUAAUACAUAGUUUUUAAUUUGUUGAAGAUAAAAAUAGAACCACAAAUAGAGUUUAAAGGAUAAAAAAUAGAGAGAAUUAGAGAUUGAAAGCUGAAGAAAUGAAGAAAAGGAAAAUGAACUGAAGGGCGGUCGCUGGGAUUUGUACUGUAUUUUUAUCGACAACAUAUUUAAAUAAUAUUAUUUUUAAUUAUUUGGUUGGUGAAUUUUCAAAUGUUCAUCGUUAAAUUUGAAUUUCCCACUAAAAGUUUUAAAUGACCCUCUAGAAUUUUCACAGUCCGUCAGUAUAUACACGUAGUCAGAGAGCCAUUAAUGCCCGCGCUUUGGAAUUUGCACAGUUUGUUGGUAUGUGUCAACUGUACCAACAUAGAAGUCUAACAGUCAUGCAAUGUUACAUACUGACUGACGAUAUCUGUUUGUAUAGAUGUUCGUGAUUGUGGCAAAUGUAGUAUAUAUUUCAACUCUCGGUAAACUACAGAUGGACGGUAUUCGUCUGUAUAGACGUCAAUGAUUGUGGCAAAUGCAGUAAAUAUUUUGUAACUCUUUGUAAAAUACUGACAGACUUUGUCCGUCUCUUUAGAUGUUGGUGAUUGUGGCAAAAACAGUAACUCUCUGUAAAAUAUCAACUAAUGAUAUCCGUCUAUAUGGACGUUGGUGAUGGCACACUGUGCGUUACAAAUUAUGUUUCUAUUGCUUAUUUAUUCUCCCGCAAUGCUUAAAUUUCAAACUUCAGCACAACACAAUAACACAGUGAACAAUUAUAAAAUAAAUAUUUUGUGUUACAAAAUAUCAUCCAUAAUAUUACAUUAUAAGAAAAUGUUUUACACUUCGUGUUCUGAUAGUUAGUCAAAUUUUCUUCUUCUUCAUCGUCAAUUGAAUCUUCAUCACCUAUAUCGCACUCUUCAAUGUGGAUAUCAUCAUCAUCUUCAUCGACAUUUGCUUGUCCGCUAGAGCUCAGAAUAACAUUCAACUCCUUUCCGUCAACAUCAACAAAACUAUCAUUGAAACACGAAAAUUUAAAUUUUCUUAUAAUUCAAUCGAAGGAGCAACUCGAUAUGGUUCAACUAACUCACUAACUUGAAAGACUUCAUCUUGCACAACUUGUGUCUUUGUUCUCAUCCUGAACAACCUCGACAUGUCCCUGGAUUUUGUUUUUAAAAUUGAUUACCAAUCAACUCUUAAUCAGUCUUUUCUAAAAAAGAGGUGUAUGUGUAAUAAACUUGUGGCAUUGCUUUGCGAAAACAAGACAUUGUUUACCUACGGAGUCUAGCUUUUAAGUUGAUUUCAAUGACACCAUAACAAGGAUCUACUUUGAUUCCUCUAUCUGGUAUCAUACCAGUUACAUUUGAAUAAAAACACUCUAUUCUGCUCGCUAUGAUAUUGCAAUUCGACGACCUCUUCUAAUUUACCAUAAUAAUCAACUUCAAACUCACUACAACUCGAUCCUUUAACACAAACACUGUUAUUGUAUAUCUUUCUUCCAUGCCUGUAUUAUUCAGUAUGAAACACAUAUCCAUUGACAAAAUACCUAUUGUAGCACUUAACUUUUCUUUUAGGGCCCAAGGUUAGUAAAGACAAUGAAAUACCGCACUUCCUCCCAUUUAAUGAACCUUGUCUAUCAAGUACAACAAUAAUCAAUAAACAAGAAUUAUGUAAUAUUGAAGUACAAUAACCUUGCAAGAGAUAAUGAGUUUGUAAUAAUACUUACAUGUAUUUCGAACCACGUGAUAAAUUGUUCAUCUUGUAUGACGCCACAAAAAAUAAGAGGGAUCCUCACGUUCACCCUCAAAAGUUUAUCUGGAAUCCACCAAAAAUAUGAGAGAAGUCUCAAAGACUGUAUUGAAUAUUUUGGAUACCAAGUGCCUGUAAGGCAAUGCUUACAUUGUCUAUUUAUUCUACUUGUAACAUGCAUGAUUAAUUAUAUCUAUUGAAUGCUAUUUAAAUCUUAGCGUACAAUACUCAUGACCUUUUCACCUUCACUAUGCACCUAUCAAUUUUUGCUUCAAAUUCCCUGCCAUGCGUUCUGCAUCACACUCCUCCACUUUGAAAGAACUCGUCUCUGAGUUAUCUUCAUAAUAAAGAGCUUCAUCUUCAUGAUACUCAUACAAAUCUAUAACAUUAAAAGUGCUUGAAAUUCCCAUAGAUGCAGACAAGUCAAUAACAUAGGCAUUAUCAUUGAUCUUCCUCAAAAUCUUAUAAGGUCCAUACUUGCGCGGCUUCAGCUUGUUGUAGGUUCCAACGGGAAUCACUCCUUUCUGAGAAAAACCAUCACAUAAUCUCCUUCAUUGAAAACUUUAGCACACCUAUACUUGUCUGCAGUAGCUUUGUACCUAGCAUUGAUUUUUUCCAGCUUAUCUCGCACUUUUCUUUAACCUCAAUAAUGUCUUUAGCCAUAUGUUGAGCGCCUAUGUUAACUCCAUGAGCUUUGGGAAGUUUUACCAAGUCAACGACAUGGUUAGGAACUGAAGUAUAUACCAAAGAGAAAGGAGACUUUCCUGUGGCACUGUGAACUGUGUUAUUGUAAGCAAACUCCACUUGUGGCAAGGCAUUAUCCCACUUCUUUGAAUUAUCAGUACAGACACUUCGAACCAUGUUGCCAAGCGUUCUAUUAGUCGCCUUUAUCUGGCCAUUUGUUUGUGGAUGUGUUGUAGUGCUAUGCUUCAAAGUAGUACCGAAGAGCUUCUAUAGAGUAAUCCAAAAGUGACUCAGAAAUUUGGUGUCACGAUCAGAUGUAAUAGUUUUGGGUACACCAUGCAAAAGCACCACCUCCCUCAAAAAUAGUUUGGCUAUGUGAGUAGCGUCAUAAGUCUUUCUACAAGCUAUAAAAUGUGCCAUCUUAGAGAACCUGUCAACCACAACAAACAUAGAAUCGACCCCACUUUGGGUUCGAGGAAGCCCCAACAUAAAAUCCUUGGACAAGUCUUGCCAAAUAUCGCUAGGAAUCGGUAAAGACAUAUAAAAACCAGUAUUUUGAGCUUGACCCUUUGACACCUGACAAACAUAGCAGUUUCUCACAAUUUUGCCAACGUCAUUCUUCAACUGAGGCCACAAAUAAUGUUUUUCAACUCCUUCAAUGGUUUUGCCUCUUCCUAGGUGCCCGCUCAAUCCACCUCCAUGAAUAUCUCGAAUAAGAUUCGUAAGGAUGAGCUGGGAAUGCAUAACCUAUUGCCUUUAAACAAAUAUCCUUCUCUCAUGUGGUAGUCUAAAACAGGUUGACUCACACACUUCACCUAAACUUCUUUGAAAUCAAGAUUAGCUUCAUAUAACUCCUUUAGAAAUUCAAAUCCCACAAUCUCUUGUGCUAAAGUAAUCAACGAGUCUGCUCUCUGACUCAAAGCAUCAGCAACACGAUUGAGAGAUCUGGAUUUAUGCUUAAUCACAAAAGAAAAAUUUUGAAGGAAAAUGGUCCAUCUAACAUGCAUUUUACUCACUCUUCUAGCUGUUGAUGAACUUCAAGGCUUCAUGGUUAGUGUAAAGAACAAAUUCUUGUUGCACUAGAUAAUGCUCAUAUUGCUUCAACGCGUACACAAUUGCAUAAAAUUCCUGAUCAUAAGUACACUUUUGACAGGCUUCACUUAAUUUUUCACUAAAGAAUGCCAUUGGUCUUUUCUCUUGAGACAACACAGCUCCCACCCCCAAUCCACUUACAUCACAUUAGGAAGGGGCAAAACUGGUGCAGUGCUAAGCUUUUCUUUAAUCAACGCAAAACUUUUAUCUUUUGCUUCACCCCAAUGAAACUUCCCUUGCUUGAGACAUUCAGUAAUAGGGGCUGCAAGGGUACUAAAGUUUGUACAAAACGCCUGUAAAAAGUAGCAAGGCUUUGGAAACUACGUAACUCAAUUACAGUCUUUGGAGUUGGCCAUUCUCUGAUUGCACGUACUUUGUCCUGAUCCACAUGAAUUCCAUCUUCGCUAACAAUAUACCCUAAAAAUAACAGUUUAUUUGUGAAGAAUGUGCACUUCUUCAAAUUAAUAUAAAACUUAUUCUGUUUCAAAACAUCUAGAACCUGUCUUAAGUGCACCAAAUGUUCUUCUUUGUUUUUACGGUAAAUUAGAACAUCAUCAAAAUACACAACUACACAUGACCCAGUAAAAGGACGCAAAACCUGGUUCAUGAGUCACAUGAAAGUACUUGGUGCAAUUGAUAAUCCGAAUGGCAUCACUAGCCAUUCAUACAGACCGUCAUUGCUCUUAAAUGCCGUCUUCCAUUCGUCCCCUGGUUUAAUUCGAAUCUAAUGAUAGCCACUACGCAAAUCAAUUUUCAAAAACACCUUGGAACCCUCAAGGACAUCCAACAUAUCCUCUAACCGCGGAAUUGGAAAUCUAUAUUUGAUGGUGAUUUUAUUAAUGGCUCUACUGUCAACACACAUACGCCAAGUGUUAUCUAUAUUUUUGCACUAGCAAGACAGGAACUGCACAAAGACUCAUGCUCUAAUGAAUAAAUCCUUUUUUCAACAACUCUUCGAUCUUCUCCUUCAAGAUCACAUUUUCCUUUGGGCUCAUCCAAUAAUGGGGAAGAUUAGGUAGGCUUGCUCCAGGAAAUAAAUCAAUCUAAUGUUCAAUAUCUCGCAUAGGAGGAAGUUGUGCUAGUAAAUCUUUAGAAACUAGAUCUUCAUACUCGCUCAAAAUUUCCUGAACUUAUUUUGGAACGUGACUUGAAACAACAUUUGUCACCAUAAGCCCCUUAAGUACAAUUGGAUACAUGAAUCCAACUUCUUUAAUAAUGUCUUCAAACUCGUGGCUAUUAUUGGAGAUAACUAGAAAAUUUGAACUCCCAGCUUGUGGUUUUUCUAAUUUUCCAGAUUAAUCAAUAGGAGCAACUGCAAUUUUAUGAGAACCCCACUCGAAGAUAAACACAUUAUCAUGCCCUUUAUGGGUAGCAUCUACAUCAAACUGCCAAUGCCUUCCUAGUAAUACAUGGUUGGCAUCCAUAUCAAUUACAUCACACCAAAUCUCAUGUUUGUAAGGCUUACCAAUAGAAAGAGGAACCCUGCAUGCUUCUGUCACCUUUACUGAUGGUUCUCUCUUCACCCACCCUAACAUAUAAGGAUUCUUCUGCUUCUCUGUUGUAAGUUUUAAAUAAUCAACCACUUUUGUGACAUAAAAUUCUCACAGCUGCCACCAUCUACAAUCAAUGUGCACACCUUCUUAUCAACAGAACAUAAGGAAUGAAAUAUGUGAUUCCUUUAUCCUUUUUGUUUAGGCAAAAGGAGAGCUCGUUAUAACACCAUGUUGAGCACUUCGUCUUCUUCAAUAGUAGUACGAUUCAUCAUCAAAUUAACAACCUCAUUAUUAUCUUCAUAUGCAAACUCAACCCUAUCAUAAUCAUCAUCAUAAUUUCCACUAUGAUCAUCAGCUUCUUCAUUUCCUUCUACAAGGUUCGCUUGCUUUUGCUUUGGACAGUUAUUGGAUCGUUGGCCAGGCUGGAAACACCUAUAACAGACAUCACUAGUUGCUCUAGCGUAAGGGCCAUGGUUUGGUCUUUGAUUUCGAUUAUGAUUUAUGUCAUUGUUCUGGCUGCUCUCUCCUCUGUAAUUCUGCCCUUUAUAAUUAUUUUUUUGGAUCAGCUGGAACUCUUCCUUCUUUUGUUAGGAACAGAAGAAUCUGCUGCCUUCCUCAAGUAAUUAUUGUUGUUGCCAUAGUUCAUUUUUUUAUUCUUUUGUUCACAUCCCUUCAGUUCUUUCUCUAACUAUUGUGCCUUUAUAGCCAUAUUUUGAGCCUCAUGGACGUCUUAGAAAACUUGUAACCCAAUUCUAUCAUGUAUUGACAUCGUCAAUCCAUUGACAUAUCUUGAUAACAUCUGCCCCUGAGUCUCAUUCAACGAAUUUCUCUAUGCCAACUGUAGGAACUCGUCAGUAUAAUCCUCUACUGCCCUGCUUCCCUGGGUACAAUUAUGGUAGAGGCAAUAGAGAUGUCACGCAUAAUCUAUUGGAAGGAAACGAUCCAUCAUCAAUUGUUUCAUCCUGCGCCAUGUCCUGACCUGUUGUUUGGCCUGCCUCUGUUGUGACUUUUGCAAAUUAUCCCACCAUAUAGUUGCACUCCCCUUUAAGCGAAAAGCCGCUAUCUUUGUCAUCCUCUCCUCUAGUACCGAUAUAAUCUCAAAAAAUCCCUCUACCUCCAUGUUGUAACCCAUUUUCGGGUCCCUAUAAAAAUAAAAAUAAAUAAUAAUAUUAAUAAAAUAAAUAGCCAAAAGAGAUUAGAAAAAAUAAUAGCAGGCAGAAGCGCUCAGAAGAGGCGCAUAAAUAGAGGGGCUGUAAUGUAUUGAUUCAGGGGCCUAAUUGAAGAAAUUGGCAGCUUAUUGAUCAAUUGAGGGCUCAAUUGCAUAAAUCAGAGGCCAAGGACCAAAGUGAAAAACGCGGCCAACUAUAGGGGCGGGGACUGAAAUUGGCAGGGAUGGAAUUGAAUUUAUUCUUAAAAUCGAGAUUAGAUUUGAGGACUUAAUAGAGCAAAGGAUAAAUUAAGGACUGAUUUGGAAAAAAACUUUCUGGCUCCACUUUUAAAUGAAACGAUGCGUUUUCUCCAAAACGAUGCCGUUUCAUACAUUAAAAAAAAAAAGACCGAACGGUGCCGUUUUGAACGGCACUGUUCCCCUUUCUUCUUCCCCCCGAACGUGCAGCAGGGGAAGAAGAAAACCUUUGUUUUUUUUUAAAUCUUCCCGCCUCUCUCUCCUUGCGUGCUUUGACCCGGAGCCCCGCGCCCUUGGCAGCGACGCCUGCCGACCAACCGACCAGCGCUGGCCCACUCCCCAUGCAGCCAAUAAAAGGCAAACCAAAAACGGAGAGAAAGCAACGAACCGAGAGAACACAGAACCAUGGAAAACAGCCGCAGCGCCGCUUAGAGCCGUCGUCUGUGAGCCACGACACCGCCACCGGCCUCCACCGCAGCACCGCCAAUGAAGCAGCCAGGCCAGCAACGCGCCGCCUCCUCCACGCCAGGUAACUCUUCCUUCCCUACCGCCUGUAAUUAACCUCCUGCAUGCAGAAUGAAAUAUCGUUCUGCAUGCAGGGGAUGGGAGGGGAAAAUAAUUCCCCUCCUCGUUUUCGUUUUUUCCUUCCUGGGCUAGACUGAUUCUGGCCCAGCCUUUAGGUCUGGGCCGGGUCCAGCCCAAACUAGAAGAAACAUGAUGAACUGUGGGGCCGAUAUCGGCCCAAUUCCUGCUGGGCUGAGCCUAGCCCCUUUAGUUGGGCCGGCCAAUCCCACAUAAUAUAUUAUAUUAGAUUAUAUAUUAUAAUGUUUUAUAUUAUGUAUGCAUAUAUAUAUAUAUAUAAAAUUAAAAAUAUAUAUUUUGAAAAAAUAUUUUUAAAAAAAUAUUGAUGAUUUUCCUGCAUAUUUUUGUCAAAAUGGCUUAAUAUUGGUUUGUAUUUUUGUACCAUAAAGAUACAAAUCCAGUAUUAAAAUACCCACAUUUCAUCGAAGCAUCAAAAAUUUUUAAAAUAAAAAAUGUUUUACUUUCAAAAAAUUCUAAAAAAAAUCCUUAAAAAAAUAUCGUUGAUUUUGCUUCAUAUUUUAUUAAAAUGGCUUAAUAUUGAGUUGUAUUUUUAUACCGUAAAGAUACAAAUCCAGUAUUAAAUACCCGAUUUUCGUCAAAAAAAAAAAAAUACAUAUAAAAAAAUGUUUUUUUUAAUGCAUACGGCCUAGUCUCUCUAAAAUAAAGAAAAGUCAUCGCAUCAUAUUUUCAUACGACAAAAGAAAUUUCGAAAACAAUAUAGGUAUUAGCAUGCAUUUUGGCUUUAAUAACUAGUUUAUUCAAGCCAUGAGAACUAGGCCAAUAUUUCAAAAAUUCCAAAAACAUUAUUGUGUUUUCUUUUAGUAUUUGGGGUUACGAUCUUAUACGUAAGACGUAUUCUGAAUAUUAAAUUCUUUUGUUAAUGUCAGAAUUACCUAUUAAGACAAGGAUCUCCUUACCGAGGAGGACUUUUCUUGAACCAUACCAACAACUAGGAAAGCACGAAAAGACCUUAGAUUUUAUCAGACAAUAAAACAAUACAGCUUACCUUAGGUAGGGCGUAUUUGGGGUGCUAACCCCACCCUUAGGUAGGGCGUAUUUGGGGUGCUAAAACAAUACAACCAGUCCCCGUACCCGAUCUUUGAGACCAGUUAGGGUUCCUAGUGACCAAAAUACUAGGUGGCGACUCCCAUUCCAUUUUCCACCAAUAAACAACAAGAAUUUCGUGUCUCCCCAUAUUUGCCAAAUAGAUAUAGAUAGAUUUACAUUGUAGAUUUAAAAUGGAAAACUUGUAAUUUUCGCCGCGACGCCGCACACGUGCGACAGAAUGACGACUCCACUGUGGACCUUGUAGACUAAGCUUUGUUUUUGUCUGAUUUGUUUGUAUUUGUGUGUGUUUAUUGUUAAUAUGCCUUUCCUUUUAUUUAUUUGCGUAUUUGUUUUUUUUAUUUUACACGUAUUAUUCAUGCAUUGAAUAAAAUUGUCUCAUGCAUCACUUGCUUUUAUUUUAAGAAGCACACACAAGCCUUAAGUUAAGUGGGGAAUUAGCGAUUUGCCCUAAGACUAUUGGUCAGGGUUCAGAUGCGUGAAACACCCAACUCAUAUUUGAGUGCCUGCUUGGUAAUGGUGGGCAUACGUUUCUUAACUAUUCCUUGCAACGCCCCCAUAUUGUCUUUACGAAGAACGUCACUAGGCAGAUAUGAGACCCUUCAAGACUAGAUAGAAAAACUACCCACUCCCACUUAAUAAAUAGAGCUUGUCCUUAGGUUAUGUAUCUUACUUUCAUUUGCAUCAUGAUUAAUAAUGUUAAAUUCAUCAAUCCAGGUUUUGAGCUAAAAUCAUGACUAAGGACCUUUCUUUCCAAGAAUUUGGACAAGAAUCUGAGUUGGCUCAGAUAGCUAAAAGAAAAUGUCCAAGAAUUGAUGCUAGUGGGUUACCAUGGAUUACCAAGAUAAAUCACAUGGUAAAUGACUUAGGGAAGUUAUUGUCUAUCAUGGAAUAUGUUGAUGAGACUCUUUUUGAAAGGCGAUACGGGAGAAUUGCACAAUUAAUGAGGUUGCCCGUACAAGCAGCAGCGAUCAAAGCCCUUCUAAAUUUUUGGGAUCCCAGUUAUCGGUGUUUUACCUUUAGGAACAUCAAUAUGACACCAAUGUUGGAGGAAUAUGAGAGGAUUCUAGAUUUUCCAGAUAACAGCCACAGAAUUUACCAUCGGCGAAGAUUUGAGGACACAGCUUCGGAGGUAGUCAGUUUAUUAGGCUUAGGAAAGAUCAGCCAAUGUAGAGUCACCGAAGGGGGUUUCAAAUGGAAGGUCAUUGAAGCCCGAAUGAAGAAAAAUGCUAAAGAAGGCAAGUUGGGAGAUGAAUGAUAUAGGUUGGUGGCCUUCGCCAUCUUUGGACUAGUAUUAUUCCCUUCCGAAAUUGGGGUCAUUAGUUUGGAAGCAGCAAGUGUGUUCGUAGAAUAUGAGCAUGAUCGGAUCAAUCCUUCCUCAGCCAUCUUGGGGGAAACCAUGUUAUCACUCAAUCACUGCAGAACGUAUGGAAAAUGAGCUAUGAGAUGUUGCAUCCCUAUGUUGUACUUAUGGAUAAUCAGUCAUAUCGAAACACCAAGGGACAUCUUCAACAACUUUUGGUGGUUUGAUCUGCGACUGUUAAAGAUUACCAUAGAUGAGACUUGAAAGAAUUGGGAUGAGAAAACAUGGAUGGAUAAGUAUGCAGCAUUGCCAAGGAGCAACUUCAAGUGGAAAGUGUUGUGGAUGAACAACGCAUCUGCACAAUGAGCUGUGGAAGCAAGAUAUGGGUUCCUUUGAUUGGUGUAACCGGUUACAUUAGUUAUGCGCCCGCCCUUGUAACAAGGCAAUUAGGAAGAAUGCAGUACACACUAAGAACCCUGGGUUUAGCUGAUUUCAUUGGUUUAUUCAAGCACCUGCCAUUCCUAGAAGAAAUAGAGCUUAUUCGUCAAGAUUGGGAAAGACCUCUAAAGGUGAAAAGGGAAGAAGGGGGCAAUUUUGAAACAUCUUUCAGCCAGAAUUAUGCAGUUUGGAGGAACGAAGAGCUUUCUGGAGUGAAGGGUUUCUCAACACAAGAACAGUCGAAAUCAGCGAUAGAGCAACAAAAAAAGAAAAAGAACGGAUGAUGAGGAAGAUUUAAGAAAGCAGAUAGAGCAGUGUAGAAUUGAUCUCAAUAAAAGUAAGGGGCAACAACAACUAUUAGAAAACCAGUUAGAGGAAGAAAAUACGAUGAGGGUUUUUUUGAACCAGCGGUUAGAAAAACAGGAUAAGCAGUUAAUGUCUUUAAAGGAAUGGCAGAAAAGGGCCGAGGUAGCUGAAGAGAUAACAACGGGUGUCCAGGCUGAGUUAAGGAAUCGAAUAGCUGAAUAUGAUGAGCUGGUUAAGAAGAAUGGGCUCAUAGAAGAAUGGGCUAAGGUUAAGAGAUCAACAAAAGGCAAGAUGAAUGUGGAUAAGGAGGUGAUGGAUUCUUUGAAGAAGGGAAGGAACCUUCUUUUAAAGAAAGUAGAAGUUGAAAAGGAGAAGAAUCGGCUAGCCAAGCUUGACAUAGAAGAAGAAAGGAAGGUCAGAGCUCAAUACAUGGUGCAACUGGAGGAAGAGAGAAGUGUGAGAAAGGCCGUCGAGUCUGAUAUGAUAGAUUACCAGAAGAGAGCUGAGUCUUCGAAAGGAAGGAUGAUGGCUUUACAAUCGGAGAUCGAGAUACGAGAAGAAGAGUUGAGGGAGUUAAGAAACCAUUACUUCGAGAUGGAAGAGGAGCUGAGUAAGGCUCAGCAAGAGCGUCAGGAAUGCCAAGACUACAUGGACAACUUUGCAGUUCAAAUUAAUUCCAAAAUAGCCGAGCUGGAUAUCGAAAAGGAAGAACUGUAGAGGAUAAGAGAUAAGCUGGCACGGUUAGAGGAUAUGGUUCGAGUGUUGGAAAGAAGUAACAAAGCCUUAGGAGCUAGCAACGAAGCGAUAAUCGCAGAUAACAUCGUAUUCCAUGACAGGAUAAGACAUAUGUCAAAACAGGUUGAGCAAGUAGCCCGUUAUGCGAAAAGGUUGCAACAGCAAGCCACCCAAGUUGGAAAUGAUGCUUCAAAGUAUCGAGAAUAUAUGGGGGCCAUGGCCUGUUUUAUUGGGGAUUUAACUAAUAGGAGAAAUGCUUUUUAGAGGUAGCAAUGUGUAAGACCCUCUUUUCCAUUAUCGUUUUGUAUGAGCAACUUUUUAUUUAUAAGAAGGCCAGGACAUAUUGCUCUUCUUAAUGUGUUUUAGUAAGCCAUUAUGAUAAGAACUUGGCAAACCCUCCUUUAUGGUAAUCGGGUCAACUCAAAAAUCUUGCCUAAAGGAUUACAAAAGUCAUGAAUCAGCUCAUAAAAAAUACACAUUACAUGUGGAUCACAUUUUCAUCACGCAAUUUGUUUUUAAUUUAUCAUAUGCACUCCAGAUCAUAAAACAUAGGUCCCAAGUCCAGAUUCCACCAAACCCGGUCCAGAUCAAGGAUGGAGAACGAAGAAAGAGCUCACUUAGAGUCACACUAUCAGACCGAGUUAGAAUCCGUAAAAAAUGAAGUUGCUAGGCUGACCAUCCUACUCGAGCAACUGUUAAGAGCUAAGAAUGGGGAUGGAACGUCAGCAUAACCACCUGAAGGAGCACCAGCAGCUCACGCCCUUAAGCAUCCCAAAACCAGGGGGCAAACUCGGCCAAUGAACAACAUUUUGUGCCUAUUACCCCUAUCCAACCAACUAAUGCUCCAAUCACUGUUGACUUAACAGCGGAAGGAACCCCGGAUAAUAGGUCUCCCAAUUUGAUGGACUAGGACAAGUUGUUUGCCUUGGAAGAAAGAUUAAGGGCAGUUGAGGGUAAUGACUGGUUUGACCCCAUGCAAGCAGCUGAAGUAUGUCUAGUACCAAACAUCGUGGUGCCAAAAGAUUUCAGGAUACCAGAGUUCAUUAAGUACACUGGUUUGGAAUGCCCAAACACUCACCUUCGAUCCUACUGCAAUAAAAUGGCGGAAGUAAUCCGCGAUGAUAAACUGCUAAUCUAUUUCUUUCAGGAUAGCCUCACAGGAUCCGCUUUAAGCUAGUACAUGAGGUUAUAUAGUGUUAGGAUCAGGAGUUGGAGAGACUUAGUGGAGGCUUUCCUUAAGCAGCAUAAGUUUAACAUGGAAAUUGCUUUUGAUCGAACAAGUCUAAUGUUAAUGGAGAAAAGGAGCCAAGAGUCAGUAAGGGCUUAUGCACAAAGAUGGAGGGAUGAGGCAAUGCAUGUCCAACCCCCUUUGAUAGAAACAGAGAUGGUGAAUUUGUUUGCCAAUACCUUCAAGGCACCUUAUUAUGAGCAUCUAAUAGGUAGCUCCUCUCAGCAUUUCUAUGAUCCGGUCCGAAUAGCCGAAAGGAUAGAGCAAGGGAUUAAAGCUAGGCGUAUAAUGGAGCUGUUGGAAAAGAAGGGUUUUAGUGGAAGAAAGAGAGAAGGCGAUAUUAACAACUUGGAAGGUGGGUAUAAGGGCAAGAGAGUAGAUUCCCCUAAUCCACAAGUACCUACCUCCCAAUUCCCCCGCGUGAACUUUAACCAACUCUUUCCCCCUAAUCGAACAAAUAACUAGUUAAAUAACCAAAUUCACCACCAAAGACCCCAUACGAGACACACUUCAGAACAAUUGCCGUCGUUACCCAUACCUUUGAAAGACAUGUACGCCAAACUAUUGAGCAUUGGACAUAUAGCUCUUAUCCCUACACUACCACUACAACCACCAUUCCCAAUUUGGUACAAGCCCGAGUUGACUUGCAAGUAUCAUGCGGGUAAUCCCGGGCAUGGGAUCGAAACCUAUUACGCUUUCAAGAAGAGGUUGUUGGAGCUUAUUAAAAUAGGAUGGGUAUCCUUUGAAGACAAGCCCAAUGUUAAUUCAAACCCGUUGCCUAAACAUGCUUCAAGUAGUAGUGGAAUAGGCAUGAUAGAAGUUGGAAAUCAAUGCAAGGCGUUGAAGGUGUCUAUGAAAAAGUUGUACGGCAUGCUAGUACGAUCAGGAUUUCUAGAGGCAAAUGUGGAAAGCCAUUUGGAGGGGGGUGACUAUUGUGAGUUCCAUGGAAGAGAUGGACACCAUAUUGAGGAUUGCAUCGAGUUUUGCAAAAAGAUUGCAAAAAUGCUGAGAAUGGGACAAUUGAGAAUUGAACCCAUGGAGAGCAGGUGUGAGGUGAGUAUGAUGGAAGGUCAAGAUGAGAUGACAGGAGCAUGCAGGGUCCAACAAACAGCUAAUGGGCCCCCAAGGCUGAUUUUGGUUAAACCGUCCUGCACGAAAGGGAAUCACAAUGCCAUGCCUUAUAAUUAUGGUUAUGCCUCCAACAUUCGAGCUCCUCUUCCUUUGUUCCAGACUGAGAUAAGUGAUUUGACCAGGAGUGGUCGUUGCUUUACGCCUGAGGAGUUGAGGAAGGAAAAGGGUAAAUAAGUGGUAGACCUAGAUAAAGCACUAGAAGUUAAUAAGCCGGUAACGGAAGAGGAGUCGAAUGAAUUCUUGAAGUUGAUCAAGCAUAGCGAAUAUUACAUAGUAGAUCAACUAAAAAAGACUCCAGUUAGGAUCUCCCUUAUGUCCUUGAUACUCAGCUCUGAGCCGCAUCGAAAUGCCUUGCAAAAGGUAUUGAAUGAGGCAUAUGUACCCCAAGACAUUGAACAUAAAACCAUGGAGCAUCUAGUAGGGAGGAUCCAUGCAACUAAUUACUUGUACUUCACGGCUGAUGAGCUUGAUGCUAAAGGUACCGGACAUAACAAUCCCUUAUACAUCACAGUUAGGUGCAAGGACUGCCUCAUAGGAAAAGUACUCAUCAAUAAUGGCUCGGCCCUUAACGUAUUACCAAAGCACAUUCUGGAGGAAAUGCCGAUCGAUGAAUCUCAUAUGAAGCCGAGUACUAUGAUGGCCAGCGCAUAUGAUGGCUCACCUAGGCCAAUAAUUGGGACUUUAGAAGUGGAGCUAUAUGUGGGACCGCAAAUGUUCCUAGUGACACUUCUGGUUAUGGAUAUCCACCAUUCCUAUAAUAUAUUGUUGGGAAGACCUUGGAUUCAUGCAGCGGGGGCGGUAGCUUCUUCAUUGCACCAAUGCCUGAAGUAUAUCAUGAAUGGGAUGUUGGUAACUGUCAAGGCCGAGGAGACAAUAUCCAUGAUAAAGAAUGUGGUUGUGCCUUUUAUUGAAGCGGAUGAUUGCAAGGAUAACAAUAUCCAUGCUUUUGAGAUUGUGAACACCGACUGGGUGCCGGAGAACACAGUACUGAGAAGGCCAAGGAUCUCAGAAGCAGCAAGGAUGGCAAGUCUAUGCUUUUUGGACUGGGGGAUCCCAUUUUAGUAUAACCUUAUUGUCGGGAUACCAGAAGGGGUUAAUCUGACAAGGAUGAAAAGAGCUGAUCAAAGAUUUGGGCUAGGGUAUCAACUUAACCAAGAGGAUUAUCGGUGGGCUGCUGGUCGGAGAAGGGCAAGAAGAAUGGCUAGAAUUAAAGGAAGAGAGCUUGAAGAAGAAAAGCUAGAAAUCCCUACCCUUAGCGUAUCAUUCCCAAAAGUUGCAUACAUAAUGCAACAUGAUAAAGGAGCUGAAAGCCUUGGUCAAGAACUGGCAAAUAUGAGCAUAAACACCUUGGAGGAGAAUGAGGAGGAAGGAGAUGACAUGGAAGUAGUAGCAGGAAAAGGAGAUGAAGUGCUGCGACAACUGACGGUCCAUACAUGAGAAGAAGUCUCCGCCAAGACUUUUGUGCGCAAGUUGGCUCAGGACGAGAAGUUUCAGAACUGGGUAACCCAAGAAGCCCCAGUAGUUUUCAAAAUGUAAACCAACCUUGUUUGCCUUAACAUGCUUUUGUCAUUGCUUAUGUUUGCUUUUAUUUCCUCUGGUUGACAAUCAAGGCUCAUGAUGUCAGCUAGAUUUUGUGUUUGUCAUGGAGCCCACAUUUUCUUUAAAUAAAUGAUGAGAUCAUGCACUUUUCAAAUUUGUUUUUUAUACAUUUACACCAAGCACUUCCUGCUUUCAAGAAUCCUGAAAGCGGAUCUCCUACAACAUCACAUACAUUUAGCAUCAAGAAUAAAUGGCCAAACUUGAACGAGCAUGUGAUAGCUAUGGAAGAAGAAGAGUGGGAUGAAAGCAAUAUCAGUGAAUUCACCAGGCUAGUAGAACAACAGGAACAGAUUUGGAAGCCUGCCGCCGAGGAACUCGAAACCAUCAAUGUAGGCAGUGGUCAGCUCAAGAAAGAGUUGAAAAUAAGUACCUUAAUUACUUCUGAACAAAGGAUAACAUGAUCACCCUAUUACAAGAAUAUUUAGAUGUCUUUGCUUGGUCCUAUGAAGAUAUGUCCGGUUUGGAUACAAGUAUUGUAGUACACAAGAUACCGUUGGAAGAAGGUUAUAAGCCAGUCAAGCAGAUCUAACAGUAAAUGAAGCAGCCAUGAGAUGUGUAUUGGGUCAGCAUGAUGAAACCGGAAGGAAGGAAAGAGCUAUUUAUUACUUAAGUAAGAAAUUCACUGAAUGUGAAUCUAGAUACACGGAGAUAGAAAGGCUUUGUUGUGCAUUGGUUUGGGCGGCAAGAGGUUGCGACAUUAUAUGUUAUACUAUACCACUUUGUUGAUUUCAAAAGUGGAUCCCCUGAGGUAUAUUUGUAACAAACCCUUUCUCUCAAGUCGAAUUGCAAGGUGGCAAGUUUUAUUAGCGGAAUAUGACAUAGUGUAUAUGACAAGGAAAGCCGUAAAAGGGAGUGCAAUCGCGGACCAUCUGGCCGAUAAUGCUAUUGAAGAUUACGAACCUUUGGAUUUUGAUUUCCCCGAUGAAGAUAUAUUGUUAAUAGAAAAAGAAGAAGAGAAGACAGAUUGGUGGACCAUGUUUUUUGACGGGGAAGUGAAUGUAUAUGGUAACAGGGCCGGUGCGGUAAUAAUCUCUCCUAAUAAAAAACAAUAUCCAGUUUCGGUUAAACUGCAUUUCGAGUGCACCCAAUACAGCUGAGUAUGAAGCUUGUAUCCUCGGUUUAGAAGUGGCAUUGGAGCUGAAGAAAAAGAAGAUAGAUCUAUAUGAGGAUUCAAUGUUGAUUAUCUGCCAAGUAAAAGGGGAAUGGCAGACUAAAGAGGAAAAGUUGAGGCCGUACCAGGAACACCUAUCCACGCUAGCAAAGGAAUUUGAAGAAAUUAGAUUCACCCAUCUGGGAAGGGAGGGGAACCAUUUUGCGGAUGCUUUGGCCACGCUAUCUGCUAUGACUACCAUUGAUCUCAAGUGCAAGGUACAAUCGAUACAUAUUGACAUUAAAAAUGACCCAGCUCACUGUUGCUUAGUUGAAGGAGAGAUAGACGGACAACCUUGGUAUUACGAUAUCAAGAAUCUUGUGCAAAAUCAUGAAUAUCCGGUGGGAGCUUCUAAAAUGAAUAAGAAAACCUUGAGAAGGUUGGCUAUAGACUUCUAUUUAGAUGGAGAUAUUUUAUAUAAAAAUCAUUUGAUGGAACCCUGCUAAGGUGUUUGAAUGAGGCAGAUGCUAGAAAGGCAUUACGAGAGGUCCAUGAGGGGAUUUUCUCAACCCAUGCUAGCGGGCAUAUGAUAGCAAGGAAAAUCCAAAGGGCUGGUUAUUUUUGGAUGACACUAAAGAAAGACUGUAUCGACUAUGUCAGGAAAUGUCACAAAUGUCAAGUUUACAGUGACAAGGUCAAUAUGCCACCAGCUCCUCUAUUUAAUCUAAUAUUUCCUUGGCCAUUUGCAAUGUGGGGAAUUGACGUGAUCGGUCUUGUUAACCCAAAAGUUAGCAAUGGUCAUAGAUUCAUCCUUGUAGUUAUUGACUACUUCAUAAAAUGGGUGGAAGCUAAUUCAUAUGCCCACGUAACACAGAAGGUAGUGAAGAAGUUUGUAGAAAAAGACUUGAUUUGCCGAUAUGGUCCUCCAGAAAAGAUAGUGACAGAUAAUGCACAAAAUUUCAAUGGCAAAAUGAUAGUGGAGCUGUGUACUAAAUGGAAAAUCAAGCAUUCGAAUUCCUCACCAUACCGACCAAAAAUGAAUGGCGCAGUAGAAGUCGCCAACAAGAACAUUAAAAGGAUUACUCAGAAAAUGGUAGUCACAUAUAGAGAUUGGCAUGAGAUGUUGUCGUUUGCUCUUCAUGCAUAUCGCACUACAGUCAAGUCCUCGACAGGGACUACCCCAUAUUCUCUUGUGUACGGUGUGGAGGCAGUGAUGCCUUUGAAAGUGGAAAUCCCGUCGUUAAGAGUGUUGAUGGAUUCUGAAUUAGAAAAGGCCGAGUGGGCCAAAGUGAGAUAUGAGCAACUGAACUUGAUCAGUGAAAAGAGGAUGGCUGCAAUAUGUCAUCACCAACUUUACCAGAAACGAAUGGCCAAGGCAUAUGAUAAAAAGGUUAGACCGCGGUUGUUUCAAGAAGGGGAUCUAGUAUUGAAGAAAAUAUUGUCGUUACCUGGAGACGAUCAAAGCAAAUGGGCACCAAAUUACGAUGGUCCGUACGUAGUAAAGAAGGCAUUCUCAGGAGGAGCGCUGAAGUUGGCUAAAAUGGAUGGAGAAGACCUAGCUCGACCUGUGAAUUCUGACUUUGUAAAAAGAUAUUAUGCUUGAUGUAGGCUCCUAAAUGAAUAAAGCAAAGUUUGGCCAUUGACUUCUUUGUUUUUUUGCAUUGAUCUCACAACAGUCAUUUUUGCAUUAAUCCUAACAGUGCAUUUUUUGUUGUUAUCGCAUCACUCACUAAAAAUUUUAUCAUUGGCUGAAUGAAUUUAUUCUCUAUAUAAAAGCCUAGACUAGGAUCACACCCAUACACUAGGGGCAAUAAGAGAUGUUUCAUGAAAAGUUUUACGUGUUUGAAAUUGAACGGAAGCCCAUAGAUUUGAAAACCAAGCUAAAGCAUUUGAUAAAAGCAUGACAAAGAAGGCAACAACAAGCCAUACAUUUUGAAAAAUAGUUUCCUGUAAAAAGUCAAAGACUUCUUCUCAAGGAUAUGAUAAGUAAAAAAGGGAGGCAGCACGACAAAUGAAUCUAGCAUGCGACUUCAAAAGUAAGCUCAUGACAAAAGGGAGAUUCAUAAAAUAGAAGAAGAUGAUGGGACCUAUGUUUCAAAACCAGGUACGAAUGCAUGCAUGGCAUCUAAUCGUAAAAUCAUUGCAAGUAUUGUUUUUGGGUCGUUACAGGAGGAGUCCUUAUUGUAAUCCAACAAGAUUGUGGAUGAAGAAAGAAUCAUUGAGUUGAUAAUAAGAAUCACGGUUUUGAUUCUGGAAUAACGAGAAGAUGAUGAAAGUUCCAAACCUUGCCAUCGGGAAGAACGACAUCGAUAUUAGCUUUGGUAAAAGGGAAUCGCCAGAUGGGAUUCCAGGUUGACCGAUUUAGUAAAUAGAUUUUUUUGGUUUUUGAUUAAAGGAGAUCGCCAAAAGGGAUCUCAUAUUUUCAGCGUUGGUCAAAGGAGGUCGCCAGAAGGGACCUCAUAUUUCAGCUUUGGUUAAAAGGAAUCGCCAGAUGGGAUUCCAAGUUGAUUGAGCUACAGGAGAUCACCAGAAGGGAUCUCGUAUUUCGAUAUUGGUCAAAGGAGGUCGCCAGAAGGGACCUUAUAUUUCAGCUUUGGUUAAAAGGAAUCGCCAGAUGGGAUUCCAAGUUGAUUAUAGGAGAUCGCCAGAAGGGAUCUCAUAUUUUGAUAUUGGUCAAAAGAGGUCGCCAGAAGGGACCUCAUAUUUCAUUUUGGUUAAAGGGAAUCGCCAGAUAGGAUUCCAAGUUGAUUAAGCUACAAUAAUAGGUUUUGGUUUAAGGAGGUCGCUAGAAGGGAUCUCAGGUUAACCCAACCGUAAUACCGAUUUUAGCUUUGGCUAAGGGAAAUCGCCAGAUGGGAUUUCAGGUUGGCCAAACUACAAAUAUGAUUUUUUUAGUUAAAAGAGAUCGCUAGAAGGGAUCUCGAAUGGAAUUCCAUGUUAAUCAAAUGGAAGUUAGAAUUCAGAGGAUCGCCAGAUAGGGAUCUCGAGCUGACUAAGUUUCGAUCAUAAUUAUUUGGGCUGAGGAGGAUUGCCGUAAAGACAAUGUUUUAGAUCGAUCAAGCUUCGACCAGAUCGGUUUCGGGAGUUCAAUUUUGGGUUUAUCUUUAUAAAACUUACUGCGCAAAAUCCCUGCUCUGUAAGUAUUAUAAAGAGGGGGCAUCUGUUGUAACCCAUUUUUGGGUCCCCAUAAAAAUAAAAAUAAAUAAUAAUAUUAAUAAAAUAAAUAGCCAAAAGAGAUUAGAAAAAAUAAUAGCAGGCAGAAGCGCUCAGAAGAUGGUCAGAAAAAUUGGUCAAGGAGGUUAAAAAUACAAAGAUCGGAUUUUUGAUAGUAUAUUCUUGAAUGAUGAGAGCCCUGUUGGGAAGGAAAAUUUGAAUUUUUAGGAGAAAAGUCCAAAUUUAGAUGUUUAUGGACUUAAUUGGAUUUUUAAUUGAGUUUAUAAAGGAUUUGAUUGCAAGAAAAAAGGCAAAGAGAGACUCUCCAAAACAAAACACACAGACCCGGCCGCUCAACCUUUUCUUCCCCCACACUGCACCUCCAAACAACGCAGCCCCUACCCCUUUUUUUUUUACCCCGGCCAAACAGCCCCCCCAAAAACCCCCCCCUCGGAUUAUUUUUUUUCUUCCUUCAGCCGCUCUCCCCUGGCCGACUCUCUUCCUCCCACUUCCACAGCCCAAUCACCCAUCUCCCCUCAGCCAAAAAAAAAAACGCAGCCGCUCCUUCAUCCCCUCUCAGCCGGUCUUCUCUGUCAGCACCGAAGGCAUCCCCGACCAAGGAGAAGCCGCCCCCCCCUCACAGGUCUCCGCCGAACAGCCUCCAGCGGCAGCAAUAGCCACAGACCAGUGGCCACAACCCCUUCGUCUCCACCCAUUUCUUUCUCCUUCAAUCGACCACCAUCAGCACAGUCCACCAACCAGCCUCCUCCCACCGAAGAACCCAGCGGCGGCCGACAGCAGCAACACCACAGAUCUUCCCAUCUUCGGCCCCCUGCAACAGCUUUCUAGUCACCAACAGCCGCUGAACCCAGAAGAAAGGAGAAACGGGGCAGAUCAAGAAAAAAGAAAACGAAGCAGAUUUUAAAAUAAAGGAAAAAAUUUAAAACAGACUGUUGCUGUGUUUUUUGUGUGUUUGCAGGUGAUUUUUGUUUCCCACCGACGACAAGGAAGGGAAGAGGGAAGGAGAUUAGCACAACCCCCUGCCCACAAUUUUUUUUCUGGGGGGCGCGUGCACCCACGCGCCGCCACUGUUCAGAUGGCACCAAGGCUGUGCAGCACUGUUCCCGAGGAUUUCCUUUUUCCUUUUUGUAAUUUCUAGAUGCUGUGUGUAUUUAGAUAUUAUUGUAUUUGAUUUGUUUUGAAUUUUUGUUAUUUGUUUUAUUGUGUAAAUGUGAUGUAAAAUAAAAUAAAAUAAAAUAAAAAAGAAAAGAAAAGAAAAAAUAAAUAAUAAAAAAAGUUGUGUGUGUGAUUGUUUUUAUUUAUUUAUUUAUGUUAUUGAAUUAUAAAAAUAAAAAAAACACAAAAAGAAUUAUUUGUUAAAUUUAAAUAUGGUUAAAUAUCUCAAGGACAAAUAAAAUCAAGUUGUAUUUUCCACGAAAAUGUAAGGACAAGUUUCUACAUAUAUUCGGGGAUUUAAUAACUGACUUAUUCAAGCCUUAGAAUUUAAUUAAUUUUGACAAAAAGAAUUGAUUGUUAAUUUAAAUAUGGUUAAAUAUCUCAAGGACAAAUAAAAUCAAGUUGUAUUUUCCACGAAAAUGUAAGAACAAGUUUUUACAUAUAUUGGGGAUUUAAUAACUGAUUUAUUCAAGCCUUAGAAUUUAAUUAAUAUUUUAAAUUUUCAAAUCACAUCAGAACAAAAGCAGCUUACCUCAGGUAGGGUGUUAGGGGUGCUAAUACCUUCCCUAACCACAACCAGUCCCUUACCCGCGAUCUCUGACAAGACCAGUACAUCAGGUUUCCUAGUAGCCUUCAAUGAAUUACUAGGUGGCGACUCCAACGAACGAAUUCAAAGCAAACGCAACAAACGAGAAAAAUCGCCAGCCGAUGCCGCGCGCUGGAUUUUUUUGGGGUGCGACAGAUGGCGACUCCACUGGGGACAGGUAUUGUUUUCAACUUUAUCGGACUAAGCUUUGUGUUUUGAUGUGUUCAAUUUUUUUUUGUGCUUUGUUUUGUUUAUUUGUGUUUUAUUCAUGCAUUGUAUAUAUUUCUCUCAUGCAUCACAAGUUUUAAUUUUUGAAAGCACACACCAGCUUUAGGUUAGGUGGGGGACUAGCAGCUUACCUUACGACUUGAGUCAAGGUUUAAGUUUGUGUAAACCCCAACUCUUUGUUGAGUGCUUAGACUGGUAAUAGUUGGACACGUGCCAACCAAUUACCUACUGGGCCCCUAUAUUGCCUUUACGAGGGCGAUCACUGGGACAACAAGAGACCCUUUUAGAGACCAAGUAGCAAACCUACCCUGUCUCACGUAAAAUAAAUAAAACAUGUCCUUAAGUUGUAUGUGCUAUCGUUGUUUGCAUCUGGGCAAACCCUUCUUGAAGCAUCUUGAACUCAAGACUUGUGGAUGACACAUUAGCCGUCACUCUGGAAAUUUGUCACUCUGGAAAUUUUCAUUGUAGAGUUUGAGCAAAAAUCAUGAUUCUUGCUCCAUCAUACAAGAGUUACGACCAUAUUGUCACCCCUCGAAGGGCGAGUUCAUCAUAUAGAUUACAUGUUCAUACAUUUAUCAUGCAUGUACCGGGUUGAAAAGUAGGUUCCCCCGCACAAGCUGUGCUGCAAGUGAUUAAAGAAAGGAUGGAAGUGAAGAAAGAUGUCAGAUAGAGGCUCAUUAUCAGAUUGAGUUUGAGAGCAUCAAAGGUGAAGUAGCUGGACUCAGAUCUGCUCGAACAAGUGUUGAGCAUCAAAUGGAAAGAGAAUGUCUGCACAAUCUUCUGUGGGAACACUGCUUGUCCACGUCCAAUUGAAGUUGUAUCUCUCCUUUCCAGUCAUGAACAAACAACAACAACGCCUUCAGUCAUCAACUAAUGACAACUCUGAUUCUUGUCUAGUUGCAUUGUUAAGUGUUCAUCGCCUCCACUAAUGGAUCCAAACGACUACUAGCCUCUUGUACAUGGUGCAUUAGUCUGCUUUGAAGUCACCCCAAUUAUGAGCUCAAUUCCAGUUCAGCAGCACAAGAUGUUGGUCUGAAAAACCAUGAUCAGACACUGAACUUCUACGUGGUAGAGCUCUCUCUGUAGAGAUUUAUUUGUGGAUCUGCCAAUGGAAAUGCAAAAAGGGAUGUAUUAAUUUCAUAUGCUUUGAAACUUUUUCCCACCAGUGGCACCAGCAAAACAUUGUAGUAGGCAGAAGAGUCAGACCUGGUCUGAAAAUAUUAGUAGUCGUCAAACUUCAAUGUGGCAGAGCUCUCUCUAUAAAAAUCCAUUAUGGCUCUGCAAAUUGGGAAUGCAAGAGGGGAUUUAUAAGUUGCAUAUGCUAUAAAUAUGUCUCUCAUCAGUUUCAGCACGAAGACAUCUUAGUAGGUUGAAGAGCCAGACCUGGUCUGAAAAAAUAUGAGCAGACAUCAAACUUCAACGUAGCAGAGCUCUCUCAGCAGGAAUCUGUUUGUGGAUCCGCAAGUGGAAAAUCCAAGAAGGAAUACAAUAGUUUCAGAUCAUCUAUGAUUUUCCUCCAACAAUGUCAGUAUUAAAAUGAAAAAGUAGAGAGAAGAGACAUGCCUAGACUGAAAAACAUGAAGAAGACUGAAACUUCCACAUAGCAGAACUCCCUCUAUUGGUGCUUGUUUGCUGCACCGUUCAAGAGGAAUCGAAGAAGAAAUAGAGGAGAUUCAUGUUCAUCAUUUUCUCCCAUAUAAGAGAUAAGGCAUGAUUCCACAUGUCGGUAGUGGCGAUACUACAAGUUUCUGGGUGCUGCCAAGAUUACCAAGUUGUUGGAAAGUUUUCUAACAAUCCUCAACCAACCACAACAACAUUGGAAGAUUGAAAUGAUGUUGUGAGGAUUUACCAAAGAAUUGAACAAGCUAUGAAGAGAGGAAAGGUUGAAGGAUCUGCCAUGGAUUCUAGAACAAUGAUGAGAUGUGAAUCAGGAGUUGACUUUGACGGUGUGAACCCUUAAUUAUAUGGUAUAGCCAGGUCUCACGGUAGCAUCAAUUGCUCAAAUGUCUUUGCCAAGAUGGGACAUUCCUCUGUCGUUUAAGUUUGUCGACCAGCAUCUGCCAAAUUCCAGAAUUUUGCUUGACUCCGAUAAAUCCCAUGCAACCACCAAUUUCUCGGUGGUAUAAUCCAAAUAAGAGAUGUGAUGUCAUGGUGGGGUCCUCAACCAUUUCAAGUGAACAGUUUCAAGAAUUGCAAGAAUUGAGUCUGAAAGUUGGUGAGUAAGAGACAAGUGGAGUCGGUGAAGGAGGGUGUCAUUGGCUAUAUUGUCCCCCGAGCAUCUUCAGAAUGACAUGUUGAUCGAAAGUGCUUGGCAAAACGCAAAUAUUCCUAGAAAAGCUGAUUCAAGAAUGGUGAUGAACAGUCAAUCAUAUUGUUUUGGAAUUCUGCAUUUUGUUUUGGGAUCACAUCUCAUCCUUUAACGAAACAUGCCUUGCUUUUGUCUCUUUGUUGUUUUGAAAUCAACAGAUGUUUAACAUUUUAUUCUGACAAAAUAUUUUGAUCAAACUCCAACAUGCGAUAAAGGCUAAUCAAUCCUGAAGAUUAAAAGUAUUUUGAUUGCAGAAAUGACUCGAUUCUUGUUGAAAUGACAUGAGGUGACCGAACAAAUUUUGAGCUCACACAUAAUUGAACCACACAUCAUAUAGCUAAGUUUUAGCAGUAUGCAUAAUGACAUGUAGUGGAGUUGGUAGUUAUGGACUCGUGAAUCAUGACUCUUACAAGUCCCAAUCAUUACACUAGAUGAGGUCAAAAUUUAUCGGUUCUAACCGACCUUGCUUGAAAUGAGAAAAGGCCAUCUUUGAUAUCCUUCACUUUCUAAAAAUUAUAUCCCUUGUAGUCCCAUUUUGAGCUGUAUAGAAUAUUUUUUCAUAAAAACCCUGACUAGGAUCACACCCCACACUGGGGGCAAAUGAGAGAUAUUUUGAAGACAUUGAUAUAAUUAAUGGAUAAAGGGGAAGGCUUAGAACAAAAGUCCAAUGUUUGAGAAAGGGCUAGAAGAAGAAAAUCCAUAGAUUGAGGGCCAUCCAAGAAAAACUUUGAGGAAGGCUAUGCAAAAAAAAAAAAGGAAAAGAAUGCCUAUCAAUUCUAAGAGAGGCAAGACAGUUUUCAAUUGAGAAAAGACAAUAAAUGCCAAAAGUCAACACUAGAAAAAUCGAUGCUUCAUAUCUUUUAGUGUGUCUAGGAUAAAGCCUCUAAUGUCUUAAAAAAAAAUUUAGAUUGGUUAUUCAUCAAAGAAAAGUUGGAUUUGCAUUAUGAUCUAUGUUAAUAGAAUUCUGAUAUUUGAGAUUAACAAGGUUAUAUGUCACUUUCUCUACAAUGAUGACGAGAGAAAGAGAAUCGAUGAAUAGUUAAUGUUGAUCCUAAGUCGUUGAAACCCUCAAACACCUUUUGAGCUUUUGAAAUUCUUUUCUUUCAUAGCCAUGAACCAUAGCCUGCAUUACAUGCUUUUAAAAGCCCUUUUUGAUCAAGUAAGCAAUCUGAACCGAUAAAUAGCGCUCUCAAAACUUGAAGAGCUUUUCCAUAAGGGUCGUGACUUCAUGAAUUAAGCUACUGGUUAUUAUGCAUGUUGAUAAAAUAAAUGCUAAGAAAAGAAACAACCUUUCUUGAUAAAGCCUGAGCAUCUUGUUUUUGAAAUUCAUAAAAAUGUCACCUCAUCACAGACCAUCAAAAGAUAUACCCAAAAUCAGAGUUUAAAGUGGACACAAAGAACCAUGAAAAAGUCAUUUUAAAUCUUACAACGGGUCAUUUCUUGUUUUCAAGAUACAAGACAAUCAAAGGACUGCAUUGAAUAGUGUGUUGGGUCUUUGACCAAAGAAGUUUGAGUUUAAAAAAAAAAAUUCAAAAACAGACAUCUCUCUGAUUUCAUUUCAACAAUUAGACUUGAAUAGACAUGAUCGUUGAAAUGUGAGAUUUGAUUUCAGAACAAGAAAGAUUUUCAAACAAGAACAUCAAUUGAGUUUGCAAAAUCCUUGACAAAAAUGACAUCAACAUUUCUCGACACUCCUUGAAACGUUGACCACCUGGGGGCAAUACAGUGGACCCUUGGAAGAAAAGCAAACAACAUUCUAAUCAGCUGGGGGCAAAGAAAGAAUGAGAUGAUGAGUCAUCAAAGUUCAUCAAAGUUAUGUUUUAGCAUCUGACAAUGACAAGGAAAAACCUUCUUGAGUAUAAACCGAUGAACAAACCUUCAAAUCAUAUUGGGGGCAAUGUUGUUCAAAGACAAUCCAUGAUCUAGUGCACUUCAGCAGCAAUUGAUGAGCAACGCUGCACUAGAAGGAUAUUUUCAUAUCUUCAUCUUGGGUUACCCUGUAAAACAUGGCUAUGACUCCUGACAGAUGUUAUCGGGUGAGUGCAUUUGAAUGAACAUCGAACAUAUGCAUACCACUAAGAUUGACUAUGGGACCAUCUAUUCUAAAGCUCAAAUGUGUACUUCACCACAUGAAUAUGGGUGAUAACAUGAACAUCAUUGAUGAUGCCAAAGCAGUUAUUUUCACGAUCUGAUUUGGCAAGCUAAGAGGAAUCCAUAGAGAAAUACAUCGCGCUUACAAUGAUGAGCUGUUUACUGCAAAGCAUGAGAUCCAUGUCUGGAUGACUUGGCAGUUCCAUGAAGGCUGGUGACCAUACAUACUUGAAUGGUGUUUCAACCGAAGGCAAGUUCAUCUUGAUGAGGUGUUGACAUGAUGCACACAAUCAAUCAAAGGAUAAUUCUCAAAAGAAUCCAAGAGAGAAAAUCCUUUAUAAUGAAUCAAGCAGCACCACACUUGGGGGCAGGGUCAAGCUUGAUGAACGAUAUGAGCAGUAAUUGUCGAAGACCGCCUAGGAUGGGCACUGCAUUUACAGCUGAGUGUAUGGCCAAUACAUGAAUGAGUCAAUGCCUCGGAAGAACAAAGAAAGCUUUGGGAUACAAACAGGGGCACCCUAUGACGAUGGAGCAUCAAGGAGGGGGGGACCUAUAUUUCAAAUCAGGUAAUGAUGCAUGCAUAUCAUUUAACCUAAAAAAAAAACAUAAAACAUAAAAAAAACAUAAAAAAACAUAAAAACAUAAAAAAACAAAAAACCAUUUGCACAUAUUUUUGAAUUGUUACAGGAAAAGCCUUAAUGAGGUCCAGCAAGAUGGUGGAAAAAGAAAGAAGCAUUGUGGUGAUGAUAAUAAAGAAUCGGUCUUGAUCAUGGAAUAAAAGGACGAUGGGAUGAACCUUACCAUUAGGAAAAUACCAAAGAAAUGAAAAGAUCAACCUAGCAAUCGGGAAGCCUCGAGUUUUCAACCCUUGCAGUCAGGAAACACCGAGUUUUCAAACCCUAUGAUCGGGAAUUAUCAGGAAGCACCAAGUUUUUCAGCCCUUCUUCUGUCAUCCCCUCAGGACUUCGCCAGGUAAGUCCUAUUUUUCACACUUGUCAUAUCACAUUUUUUCCAUCUGGGUAGGUCGUCCAUCAUAACAAGACCGUUCAUCAUAUUUUUUCCACAUGGGUAGGUUACCCAUUACAAUGAGACCACACUUCAUAUUUUUUCCAUUUUGGGUAGGUCACCCAUUACAAUAAGACCGCACUUCAUAUUCUUUCUAUUUGGGUAGGUCGCCCAUCACAACGAGACCACUUCAUCAUAUUUUUUCCAUCUGGGUAGGUCACCCAUUACAAUGAGACCACGCUUCAUAUUUUUUCCAUUUUUGGGUAGGUCACCCAUUACAAUGAGACCGCACUUCACAUUCUUUCUAUUUGGGUAGGUCGCCCAUCACAACGAGACCACUUCAUCACAUUUUUUCCACUUGGGUAGGUCACCCAUCACAAUGAGACCACCAUUUUCUCUGGGUAGGUCACCCAUUAGAAUGAGACCAUUCUCCAUCUUUUUUUUACCUGGGCAGGUCACCCAUAAGAAUGAGGCCAUUCCUCCCCCUGGGUAGGUCACCCAAAGAAUGAGACCACUCUUCCUCUUUUUCACCUGGGUAGGUCACCCAUCACAAUGAGACCACCAUUUUUUCUGGGUAGGUCACCCAAAGAAUGAGACCAUUCUCCAUCUUUUUUUACCUGGGUAGGUCACCCAAAGAAUGAGGCCAUUCCUCCCCCUGGGUAGGUCACCCAAAGAAUGAGACCACUCUUCCUUUUUCCACCUGGGUAGGUCACCAAUCACAAUGAGACCACCAUUUUUUUUCUGGGUAGGUCACCCAAAGAAUAACACCAUUCUUCAUUUUUUUUUUACCUGGGUAGGUCACCCAUUAUAAUGAGACUGCUUUUUACACAUUCUUUUGUUCCAGUUGAAUGAGGUCGCCAGAUGGGAUCUCAUGUAGCUUUGGUUAAAAGGAAUCUCCAUAUGGGAUUUCAGGUUGACCGAGUUACACACAUUCUUUGGUUUUGGUUAAAGGAGGUCGCCAGAUGGAUCUCAGGAUAAUAAAAAAAAAGAGAGCGAAAAAGAAAAAAAAAGGUUUUUAGAUUAAGUGGAUAUUGAGCAAACAGAAAGACAAGUUUUUCUUUACAAAGCUUACUAUGCAAAACAUCGAGGAUUUUUGCUUCGUAAGCAUUAUAAAGAGGGGGCAUCUGUUGCUACCCAAUUUUUGACCCAUGUUUUUGAUAUAUUUUCAAAAAAUCCAAAAAAAAGAGAAAAACAAUGAAAAUCCAAAAAAUAUGUUUUUUUAUAUAUUCUCGUCAUUUUAGCAUUUUCAGCGUCGUCUAAAAAGAAUUUAAUUUUUCAAAAGAUUUUCAAACGCGUUCAACUUUUCACGCGUCAUUUUUUAAAUCAUUGAUUUUCCUCAUCGAGUCGACGUUGAUAUUGUUCGUUUUCAAAAAAAUACAAAAAAAAACAAGAAAAAUCAAAUUUUACAAAAACAAAAAGUUAAGGGACCAAUUUGGAGGCCCAAACAAUAUUUUUGCCCAUGUAUAAGGAAUUUUGAAUAUUAGAGGGAGAGUCAACACAAAAAAAAAAAAAAAAAGCAACCUAAGAAUUUUUUUUUCUUCACCCGAAAUCAGUCGCUCCCCCUGCCCCAAGACCAUUUGAUCCCUCUCUUUCGGCUCUUCUUUUCCUUAUUUCCAGCCGACAAUGGAGGCCCUCCUCACAAUGAAAACUUCUAUUUCUUCUCAUCCCCAGCUUUGCAAAAGAGGGGGGGGAGAUUGGAGCCAUUUUGGUCGGGUCCCGAGAGUAGUGGGCAGAGAAACUAAAACUCCUUUCCCCCUAUUUUUUUCUUCUCCUUCUCCAGCCGGCUCCCAGCCAACCAGACAGCCCCUCCAGCCGCCUCUCACUGGGCAAAGAGAGACUCUCCAAAACAAAACACACAGACCCGGCCGCUCAACCUUUUCUUCCCCCACACUGCACCUCCAAACAACGCAGCCCCUACCCCCUUUUUUUUUACCCCGGCCAAACAGCCCCCCAAAAAACCCCCCUCGGAUUAUUUUUUUUCUUCCUUCAGCCGCUCUCCCCUGGCCGGCUCUCUUCCUCCCACUUCCACAGCCCAAUCACCCAUCUCCCCUCACCAAAAAAAAAUGCAGCCGCUCCUUCAUCCCCUCUCAGCCGGUCUUCUCUGUCAGCACCGAAGGCAUCCCCGACCAAGGAGAAGUUGCCCCCCCUUACAGGUCUCCGCCGAACAGCCUCCAGCGGCAGCAAUAGCCACAGACCAGUGGCCACAACCCCUUCGUCUCCACCCAGUUCUUUCUCCUUCAAUCGACCGCCAUCAGCACCGUCCACCAACCAGCCUCCUCCCACCGAAGAACCCAGCGGCGGCCGACAACAGCAACACCACAGAUCUUCCCAUCUUCGGCCCCCCGCAACAGUUUUCCAGUCACCAGCAGCCGAUGAACCUAGAAGAAAGGAGAAACGGGGCAGAUCAAGAAAAAAAAAACAAAGCAGAUUUUAAAAUAAAGGAAAAAAUUUAAAACAAACUGUUGCUGUGUUUUUUGUGUGUUUGCAGGUGAUUUUUGUUUCCCACCGACGACAAGGAAGGGAAGAGGGAAGGAGAUUGCACAACCCCCUGCCCACGAUUUUUUUUCUGGGUGGCGCGUGCACCCACGCGCCUCCAGUGGCGGCGGUGCGUGAGGUCCACGCGCCGCCACUGUUCAGAUGGCACCAAGGCUGUGCAGCACUGUUCCCGAGGAUUUCCUUUUUCCUUUUUGUAAUUUCUAGAUGCUGUGUGUAUUUAGAUAUUAUUGUAUUUGAUUUGUUUUGAAUUUUUGUUAUUUGUUUUAUUGUGUAAAUGUGAUGUAAAAUAAAAUAAAAAAUAAAAGAAAAGAAAAAAUAAAUAAUAAAAAAAGUUGUGUGUGUGAUUGUUUUUAUUUAUUUAUUUAUGUUAUUGAAUUAUAAAAAUAAAAUAAAAUAAAAACACAAAAAGAAUUAUUUGUUAAAUUUAAAUAUGGUUAAAUAUCUCAAGGACAAAUAAAAUCAAGUUGUAUUUUCCACGAAAAUGUAAGGACAAGUUUCUACAUAUAUUCGGGGAUUUAAUAAAUGAUUUAUUCAAGCCUUAGAAUUUAAUUAAUAUUGACAAAAAGAUUUGAUUGUUAAUUUAAAUAUAGUUAAAUAUCUCAAGGACAAAUAAAAUCAAGUUGUAUUUUUCACGAAAAUGUAAGAACAAGUUUUUACAUAUAUUCGGGGAUUUAAUAACUGAUUUAUUCAAGCCUUAGAAUUUAAUUAAUAUUUUAAAUUUUCAAAUCACAUCAAACACAAAGCAGCUUACCUCAGGUAGGGUGCGUUAGGGGUGCUAAUACCUUCCCUAACCACAACCAGUCCCUUACCCGCGAUCUCUGACAAGACCAGUAUAUCAGGUUUCCUAGUAGCCUUCAAUGAAUUACUAGGUGGCGACUCCAACGAACGAAUUCAAAGCAAACGCAACAAACAAUGAAAAAUCGUCAGCCGAUGCCGCGCGCCGGAUUUUUUUGGGGUGCGACAAAUACAAACACCACUGUUGUAUGUCUUUCUUCCAUGCUCGUAUUCUUCAGUAUGAAAGACAUAUGCAUUGACAAAAUACCUAUUAUAGCACUUGACUUUUCUUUCAGGGCCUAGGCUUAGUAAAGACAGUGAAAUAGCAGCACUACCUCCCAUUUGAUAAACCUUAUAAAUUAAAUAUAACAAUAACCAAUAAACGGAUAUUAUGUAAUAUUGACGUACAAUUAAUUACAUUGCAAGAGAUAAUGAGUUUGUGAUAGGACUUACAUGUGUUCUAAACCAUGUGGCAAAUUGUUCAUCUUGUAAUUGAAAGAUCUGGGAUUUGGUUAGCUGUGAGUUAUUGGAUAGUAAGUAUCAUCAAUGUUGCUUGCAAGAUUGUUCCAAAUUAUAUGAGUUUAUGGUAUCACAAAACAUAAAUAGUACACUCUUGACAAAGUUUAAAUCGAACAUCUACUUACUUAAUAAAAGGUCUCAGUUCAUCACAGUUAAAUAAGACAUAAUUGUGUGCUUGUCUGAACUCUAUUUCAGACAAAUAUCUUCCCCUCACGACAUUUUUAGGUGUGGGUCAUCCAGGAUUGGAGAAUAUUGACAAGUUUCCACUUAAAGGCACUUCACCACCAUAAUCAUGACGUGGAACACGGUUGAUCCUCGUUCUCAAAUGAGGUUCGAAAUAGUAUAAGAUAAAUAUUGAGAUCUCCUUAACAAUACAGGCCUCAAAUAUUGACGCCUCAACAUGCCCUUUGUUAUCAACAUUUUUUUUUAGAUUGAACAAGUACUUGCAUAUAUAUAUAUAUAUAUAUAUUAAAAAUUAUCAAUUAAAAAAGCAAAAAAAAAACAUUUAAUUAUGAAUUACAUGGCAACUGUAAUAUCUAACCUCUCAAAUGGAUACAUCCAUCUGUAUGAAACCGGUCCUCCAACUUUUACCUCAAACGGUAAAUGUACAGGUAGAUGCUCCAUUGAGUCAAAAAAUGAUGGAGGGAAUAUCAUCUCAAGUUUGCAUAUUCUCUCGAUGAUAUUCGUUUUAAGCCUUUCAAUGUGAUCAACAUUCAACUUGUUGGAGCAUAUAUCUCUGAAGAAACAAUUGAUCUCUAUUAGUGCAUCCUAUAUCCCCUUUGGCAACAAAUCAUGAAAAGCUAAUGGGAUGAGUGUUUGCAUAAACACAUGGCAGUCAUGACUCUUCAUUACUUAUAAUUUGCAUUCCUCUGUAUUAACUAGCCUUGAUAUGUUCGAGGUAUGUCCAUCGGGGAAACGCAGACUCUUAAGCCAUUUGUAGACUAGUAGUUGUGCAUUUUUCUUUAACACGAAGCUUGCUCUUGGUUUUGCAACCCAUGACCCAUCACAAACCAACUCCAUAUUUUUACGGUUACAGAACAGUGCUACAUCCAAUCUAGCCUUGAUGUUGUCCAUUGUCUUCCCCUUCACAUCUAUGAUGGUGUUGAAAAUGUUCUCAAACACGUUCUUUUCAAUAUGCAUGACGUCAAGGUUAUGGCGGAGAAUGGUCUUCCAAUAAGGAAGCUCCUAAAAGAUACUUCGCUUCACCUAGUUAUGGGUCAAACCAAAACCAGGAAACUUCUGCUUACCUGAUUAGAGACCAAACACAAUGUCACCAUACUCUGACACAACAUCAAGCAAUUCUUCACCGGAAAGAUAUGGGGGUGCAACAUCCUUUUCAACUCUGCCAACAAAGAAAUCUUUUCUGUUCUUUUUGUACCUGUGAUUUGGCGACAAGAAAUGACGGUGACAGUAAAAACAGAAGCUUUACCCUCGUUUGUUAGCGUGAAUGCCUUGUUGUUCUCCAUACAGUAUGGACAUGCUAGCUUUCCAUGCGUGCUCUAACUAGAAACCAUUCCAUAAGCUAGGAAAUCAUUAAUAGUCCACAUCAAAGCCGCUCUCAUAACAAAAUUCUAUUUCCUUGAAAUGUCAUAAGUCAAAGCUCCAAAGGACCACAACUGCGUCAACUCAUCAAUCAACGGAUGAAGACAAACAUCUAUAUUCUGACCCGGACUGCUCGGACCUGGUAUGACCAUAAAUAAAAACAUGAACUCCGACCUCAUACACAUUCUCGAUAGCAAGCUAUAAACCGUCAGUAUGACCGAUCAACAAGAAUAAAGAGCAGUAAAUUACUCGAAUGGGUUGAAUCCGUAUGUACACAACCCAAGACGCACGUUCCUUGAUUCAACUGAAAAGUGAGGAUGCACACUGUUAAAGUGUUUCUAGGCUUCACCAUCAGAAGGAUGCUCCAUCACUCCACCAACCAUAUGAUGUGAUUGGUGUCAUGUCAUGUGCUCAGCAGUCCUUGGUGACAUGAAUAACCUCUGCAAUCUAGGUGUGAUUGGGAAGUAUCUAAGUUUUUUAUAUGUCACGAGAGUCUUCCCUCUAUUAGUUCUGGGUUUGUAACAGGAAUGCCCAUAUGUCAUGCACUCAAUCAACUCAACAUUUUCAAAGUAGUAUAACAUGCAGAAGCUAUGGCACAUGCCAAUUUUCUAGUAUCCUAAACCGAGGGGUUUCAUUAUAGACUUGGUAGGAUAGAAGUUCUCUUUCAGCAUGUUCCCUUCAGGUAAAAUGCUUCUCGCCCAUUUGAUAAUCUUGUCAUAAUCGGCCUCACUCAACCCGUGAUUUGACUUGAUGGUGAACACAUGUGCUACGGCCGAUAAUUUACUGUGGUUCACGCAGCCAUCCUAUAAUGAUUCGUCAGAAUCUUUCAAUAGAUCAAAAAACCUUAUUGCAUCUACAUUGGGUUUUUUUUUUACGAUUGGACAUUCACUGACAUUACCUUUAGGGGUGAGCAAAACCGGUUCGGUUCGGUUUUUAUCAAAAAAAGUAACCAAACCGAAAUUAUUUUUUUUGGGAAAAAAAAACCAAAACCAAACCGAAACCGGUUCGAACCUGCCGGUUUCGGUUCGGUUCGGUUCGGUUCGGUUUUUUUAGGGGAAAAACCAUUUUGGAUCGGUUUUUUCCGGUUUGGCUCGGUUUUGCGGUUUUGGCUCAUUUUUUUCCGGUUUUGGCUCGGUUUUUUCGGUUUUGGCUCAUUUUUUCCCGGUUUUGGCUCGGUUUUUCCGGUUUGGCUUGAUUUUUUUCCGGUUUGGCUCGGUUUUUCCGGUUAUUUUUUCAGUUCGGUUCGGUUUUUUCGGUUUUAUAAGCCUAAAACCGAUACCGAACCGAACCGGUCGGUUUUUUCAAAAUUUUAAUCGGUUUAAUCGGUUUUUUUUUUCGGUUUGGUUUUUUCGGUUAUUUUUUUCUCGGUUUUCUCGGUUUUUUUUGGUUUCUCGGUUUUUUUGCUCACCCCUAAUUACCUUCACUCAUUCUCAUUGCAUCCAUAACCAUAUUCCUGUAAGGAUUACUGUUCUCAUUUCCAACUUCAUGCAUGUUGCUAGCACUAGAAGUUGACUCAACCGCCCUUUCUACCAUGCUCUCAUUAGGAACAAAUAGUUUUUUAUGUGCAUACCAACACAAGUAAUCCUCCAUGAACCCUUUGGUUAGAAGAUGCAUCAUUACAACAUCUUGAUGCAGAAACUUUAAAUUUUUACACUUCCUACAUGGACACCUAAUACCGCCAUUAGUAAAAUUCCUCGGGAUAGAUGUUGCGAAGUUAAUAAAAUCUUGAACACUGUUACAGUAAUCCAUCCUUCGCAAUCCUUGGGGUGAGUCCCGAUACAUCCAUGAACGAUCAUCCAUGACUUCUAUUGAAUCUCUAUAAAACAUAACAAAAAUAUUGGUUUCUUAUGUUAAAUAUUCAUUAUCAAUUAUCCAACAAACUAAAAAAAAACACUUAUGUUAAAUAUUCAUUAUCAAUUAUCAACUAUCAACGUUCAUACAUACAAAUUUAUACAUAUAUAAAUUUACAAAAAUCACAACUUCAUAAUAAAAUUGAUAACAAUUAAAACAGACCCGUUAAACAAGCUAUUAUUUAUUUCAUCACAACACAUUUAAUUCGGUGUAAUUCAAACAAAAUUUCAACAAUGUACAAACAAAUAUAAUUUGACAAAAUCUAAAACAAACUAUAACAACUACAAAAUUAUACAUUCAUACUACAAGUUUCUUUGACAAAUAAUAAUCAAACAAGUACAUACGUUAACAAAAUACAUAUACUAAAAAAACAAUAAAAUUCACAUUUAAAUGUUAAAACUAAAAAGGAUAGAUUUACUUACAAAAAAUAAUAAAAUUCACAAGAACGGAUGUUGUGACCACGUACAAAAGUAUAAGAAACUUGAGUGCUUGUGUUGAGAAGAGGGGAGAGUUGGGAUGGGUGGUUGGCUACAGUUUAAGAGGGGAGAGGUGGGAUGAGGAAGAAGAAGGAGAAACAGAGGAAGAGAGUGUCGGCAGAGUGGGUAUAUAAUGGCUUUUACCGAUGGAAUCACUGACGGACACGUUCCGUCGGUAUACUCAUCGGUGAUUCCGCCAGUGGAAGUGUCACAUCACAGAACAGCUAUCCCAAUUUGAAUCCCUUGGUAAUUUCAUCGGUAAAAUCAUCUGAAAAAAAUCCACAUCAUCAUACUGUUGCAAUUUUCCAAAAAAAUAGUCUCAUCCAUCGGGGAUACCAACCUUAUCCUCGACAAACUAUAUCGGUUGGUAAAUCCGACAGAUUUGGAGACAAAAUUAUUCCCGUCGAUAAAAAUUUCCGACGAAAAAAUUCUGUUGGUAAUUCCAUUAGUUUUCUCUGAUUUUCUGGUAGUGAAAUCAUAUGCUAUUAUAUGAUGCAAUGAUGGGUCCGGUUAAUAAUCGAAUGUCACGUAUUUUAUAUUUAACAUUAUUGUAGUGUACUAUUAACAAUCAUAAGUCCUUUUCUUUUCAAAUAGUAUAUCGUCACUUCCGAUUCCUCUCCACUCUUUAAUCUACUAGGUUUGUUUAUAUGUUUUUUGGUUAAAAUCUAAUAAUCGGUUCUUUAUUUGUUGUUUAGCUUAGUAAUACAAGAGGUUCUUAUUUUUUUUUAGAGGUAGUUGCAUUGUUUAGCUAAAACAGUAGCUAAAUAAACCACCACUUGAAAGUUGAGGGGUUAAGUCUCUAUUUAGGAUUGCAGCCUGGGUUGAUAAAAAAUUAAAAAAUAUAUAUUUAAAAUUAAUUUUUUAUAAUUUUAUAUUGUUGGUAUCAAAAAUAUUUUUUUAAAAAUAUUAUUUUAAUAUAUUUAUAAAUUAAAAACAUUUUAAAAAACAAUUAUUAUGAACAAAACAUCCCGAGCAUCAAUCUCAAUGUACAGGGGCUACAAAAGAUGGCUAACACACCAUCACUUGCUAAGUAAUGAGAUUAGUAUAUAUAAAUCAUGGAUUACAAAAUAAAAUGUUUAUUAGGAAAUGUUUGAUAAUACAAUUUAAAUAUUCCCACUAGUCAGGGGGUCAAUAAUUCCAUGAAGGAAUACUAAUAGAAAAAUAAGACAUGAUGUUCUUUCCUGGAAGGAAUACUAAUAGAAAAAUUAUAAAUGAAUUUUUUAAAAAAUACUUUCUUAUUUUUAUAUAUAUCUAAUAAGUGAAGUCUGAGCAAUUUUUAUUUUGUAUUAUUAAACAAGAGCAAUUAUAAAUGAAGGCUUAAGGAACUCGAGUGAAUUGUUGAAAAAAAAAAACAAACAAACAAACCAUGGCUGGAAAAAGGGGAAAGAGAAAAAUCAGCGAGUCAAAAUAAAACAAAAUGCAAAGAAAAGUCAAGGAGAGGUGAGGUGAGAGAUCCUCGAGAUCAAUGCGGAUCGUAGUGGCGAAGAUUAAAUACAACUCUUGGAGUGGUUCUUGAUGACAUCAAUUAUUAGGAGUGAAGCUCUCAAGUUUAAUUGUUCUUUCAUUGUAAAAUUAAAUGCAAUUCAUGUUUUAUUGCUUUAAUUUUCCUUAAUGUAAAAAUGUUUGUCUUGUGGGUGACAUAAUUAAGAGUAAAAUACAUUAUUUAUUUUUGUUAGUUUUUAUACUGUGUUUUGAAUUCUGAUCAAACUUUAUGAUUUGGAAUAAAUGAUCAUUCAAUAAAACUUAAUUAGUUGAAUAACUUUAAGUAAGAUUUGUUAAUUUGGAGUAUUUAAUUGCAAGAGGAUAAAUGAAUUGGAUCAUCUGAUUCUCAAGAUGAAAAAGUCAAUAAUAGCUUAAUUAUUUCAAAAUGAAAUCUCUAUUUUUAUUAUUAUUGACUUUAAAGUUAAGCCCCUGUUUAGCAUUGAAAUUAAACUUCCUUUUCAUUAAAAUUGUAGAUUUUGUUAUUUUUUAGACGAGACUAGAUAUAAUUUAAUUUGAUAUCAAUUUAUUAUCGGGUGUUUAAUUUAUCAUUUUCUUCGUACGUAUAAGGACCAUGCAUCGAAGAUGGGAGGCUGUUAGAGGAAAAAGAUUUUUAUUAUUACUUUUUAGAGAAACAACUUUGCAAAUAGAAAAAUAGAGACUCGUUGACCAUAUAUUAAUCACCGGCUUUAAAGAAACAGCAUUCAAAAAAUUGAACAUGAAAUUAAGCUCUUAAAAAUAUUCUUGUGUGAAUGAAUGACUUGUUGAUUGUGUUAUAAACAAUAUACUUAUUGUCAUGAGAAGACAUGACACAUUUUAUCAACGAUAUUGUUUAGUUUUUCCAAUACCAUUAAAAUUAAAAUUAAGGCAUGAUUUUCCACAAGAAUGUAGCAAAUGAUCAAAGCAUUUACCUGAAUUUCUCUAAUAAAAGUAAGGUUUACUUAAGGUAAACGAUAUAUGGGAUGAUAAAAAAAAAUAACAAUAAAAUCAAUUUAUAAAAAAACAUAGAUUUAGUUUUCCCAAAUUUUAAAUUUAGUGUGAAUACAUUCCGCAAGAAAAAAAGAGUGCAAAAUUAGCCUUUCAAGAAAUAGAGAAUCUUCCUCUUGAAGGAAUUAAUAAGUGGGUUGGAAAAACUUCUUUUGCUCUAAUAUUUUCUUCAAUUUGUAUAUAGUCUUACAUUAUUAUUAUUAUUAUUAUUAUUAUCAGAAAGUGAUAUAUACUUCUUCUGUUAUCCUUCAAGUUUUCAAUUGAAAAGGAGGGUCGUAAAAAACUUAAAUUUUUAUAAAUAUACAAUUAACUUUGGAUGUGGAUAAUUAAAAAUCAAAAGAAUACACUACAACAUUUAAUAGUUUUAUUGGCGGAAUUUUUUCAUCGGCGUAAGACACAUAAUCCGUUGGUAAUUAAUUUACCAACGAAAUCACGGACGGAAAUACUCCGUCGGUAAAUCUUUCAUCAGUAAUUUUUUGUCCAUUGAUAAAUUUUUUGGCAAUAAAAAAAUAUUAUUACUGACGUAUUUACUGAUAGAACAAACACGUAAAAAAAAUUACCCACUUUAUUUCAUCGGUAUAUCCCUCGGUACUAAUAUUUUUUUUAUUACCCACGGAUUUACCGAGGGUAAUUCCAUAGGUAAUUAUUUAAAAACAGUUAAAACAAAUUUAAUUUUAUAAAAUUAUAAAAUAAUUAAAUCAACACUCUAUAAUAUAUACUCAAAAUGCUUGGAAAAAAGAAUAAGAAAAUCAACUCAAACAAAUUUGCAACAAAUAAAUAAAAUGACGAAAUAAAUUCAACUAAAAAAAUUCAUAUGAAAAAAAUGAAGUUGCAAUUGCUAAAAAUUUAAAAAUCCUAUAAAUAAAUCAACUAAAAAUUGAUAUCAUAUGAAGAGAAAAAAAUCUCACAACAACAUUUAUACAAUUAUUAAGAACAAAAACAAUUAAAAAUAAAAUAAAAUAAAAAUGCAAUGAAAAAAAUUAUAAAAAAAAGAGAAAAAAAUUACCUUAAUGUAGUUGCAAGUGAAACUAAGGAGAGAAAACAAAUUUCGUAAAGCAUAUCAAAUAUAAAAAAAAAUAAGAGGAUAAAAGAAGAAAGAAGAAGAAGACAUACCCAAGCAUGGAGGAGAAGAGAAGGAGAUGAGGAGAGAAAAGAAGAGAAAAAAAUAGAUAUUGAUAUUUUUGACAUAUAGUGAAAAAGAAGAAGAAGAAAUGAGUUUGUCUCUUGUGAAAUAGGGGGAUUCAACCUUUUUAUUUGUACGUGUUAGCGACAGAUUAAUAGACGGAUAAUUAAAUAUGAAUAUUUUUUAAUUAUUUCAUCGGUAAUAUUUAAUUUAAAUUUUCAAUUUCGUAAAAAGUUUUCAAAAACCGUCAACAAUACCGAUAAAUUUUUAAUCUGUCGGUGAUUUCGUCUGUAAUAUUUAAAUAAAAUUUUUGAAUCAAUUGAAUUUUUUCGGAAAACCGCCAAAUAACACCGACGACUUUUUAAUCUGUUAAUAUUUUUAUCCAUAAAGAACAAUAAUUAACAGUGCAAUUGGAAAGUGAACAGUUCCAGAGCUCUUUGGAAUAUACCGGUGGAAAAUUCUGUCGGUGAUUCCCUUUAUAAUUGACAUAAUGAAUAGUAUUCACAAUUUACCAACGAAUUUAAUGAUGGAUUUUACCGACAGAAUUUAUUCUAUCGGUAAUUUUUUUGAUAAAAAUGACACGUCAUUAAUUUUUUUUUCAUUAUAAUUCCCUCGAUAUAUACCGAGAAAAUAUUUAUGUCCGUAAAAUCCCUCGAAAAUUUACAUUGGCUGCCUUGUUUUUAAUGUUAAUUAUUUUGAAAGUAAAUAGGUCGGUUGCCUUGUUUGAAACUAGAGACAUUGGCUGCUAAAUAGAAAAACACAUGUCCUUGGUCAGGUCAACAUGGAAAAGGGCUAGCUUAAUAAUUAAUUAACACCAUAUUGCAACGGGAAGCUGUCCACUGCAACUGGAAAUUGUGUUGCCAUUGUUGACUUGUUUAGCAACUAUUUAGCAAAUUCCGCGAAAGUAAUCUUGUGACUCUCCAGUGACAAGUGAAUUUAACUUAUAAAAGUUGAUAAAGGUAGUUAAAAGCAUAAACUGUACCAAUAAUUGUUGUGGGCGGGGGGGGGGGGGGGCAAGUGGAUAUAUGGUUUGCAUGGGGGCAGCAAGUGGAUAUAUGGUUUGCAUUCAUUUCCGAAUAAAUUAACUUGUGUUGCCAUUGUUGAUUUGUUUCUUGAAAUGAUGUACAGUUGACUGUAUUUUUUUAUUUGAAGACACGACAUGCCAUAUAGGCUAAUUGGCACUAUAAAAUACAUGCACCAUUCCUCUCAAAGACUACUUCUAUAGCCACCAUCAAGACCUGCAUAAUAUAGAAAUUUAGCUAUUUUUCUUUCGGUUUAUUUCUUCGAGUAAUAUUUUGUUUCUGUGAUUAUGGCUACUGGGCAAGCACCAGGCAACCCCAUUCCAGCUGUGAGAACAUACCUGCCGGUGGAGCAUCCAGUGGUGGUAAUAGGGCCACAGUACCUGGCACAGUACCCUGUUGAUCUCGCCGUCACCAGUGAUUUUAAGGUGUUUGACAUUAAUGGCACCUUCAUCUUCCAGGUCAAGAUUAAACUAUCAAGCCUUAAUCGUCGUUUUCUGAAAGAUGCAGCCGGAAACACCCUUGUCAAUCUCAGGCAGAAGGUAUGUUUAAUUGCUCUCCGUCUUUUGUUCUCUUCUUUUUCAAUCUAACCAUCACAACAACGAUAAGAGUCAAUCCAAUAUCAAUAUCUUACCGCGUGUUUAAUUUAUCAUUUUCUCCAGAUAAGGACCAUGCAUCGGAGGUGGGAGGCUUUUAGAGGAGAAAGCGAGGAGAAGAGUGAUUUGCUUUUCACAGCCAAGAAAUCAAAGCUGUUCCAAUCCAAGACUGAGUUAGACGUAUUCUUGGGUAAUAACGAAGGAGAGGUCCCUGAUUUCAAGGUCAAAGAAGGCUACAGCAAGAGUUCCUGCUCUAUACUUCUUGGAGAUUCCAAUACCAUGCUUGCACAGGUAACAUUAACAAAACUUAUUUCUGAAAUAUAUCAAUAUUGAAUAAAUUUAACCAACAUCUUCUCAUAUAGAACUAUAUGUCUGUGGAUGAGGCUGUCGUAGAAAUACCCUUGAUUUCAUUACAUCAUUUACAUUAAAACCGAUUAUUGUUUUAAUCAAGAAAGUUGUCUUCAUAAUAUCUCAUGCCAGUAUUUUUCUUAUUAUGUGAACGCAGGUGCAUGGAAGAAACACUCUCGCGAUUAUGCCUAAUGUUGAUUAUGCCUUCAUAGUGGCUCUGGUGAUUCUCAAUGGGAACAAUGGGGAUGAUCAUGGGGACGCGGCCAUUAAUGGCCUUAAAGUUGUUAACGGUGUUAUCGAAGGUUAUAUUUUAUAUGGUUAUAUUUUAUAUUCAUAGCUCACUUUAUGAAAUGUAAAAGAUGCUCCUAGUUGCAUUAUUUAAGAAUAAAAUUGUGUUGCCAUUGUUGACUAGUUUCUUGAAAUGAUGUCCAGUUGACUGUUUGUUUUUAUUUAAAGACACGACAUGCCAUCAAGACCUGCAUAAUAUAGAAAUUUAGCUAUUUUUAUUUCGGUUUAUUUCUUCGAGUAAUAUUUUGUUUCUGUGAUUAUGGCUACAGGGCAAGCACCAGGCAAACCCAUUCCAGCUAUGAGAACAUACCCGCCGGUGGAGCAUCCAGUGGUGGUAAUAGGGCUACAGUACCUGGCACAGUACCCUGUUGAACUCGCCGUCAACAGUGAUUUUGAGGUGUCUGACAUUAAUGGCACCCUCAUCUUCCAGGUCAAGAGUAAACUAUUAAGCCUACAUCGUCGUUUUCUGAAAGAUGCAGCCGGAAACACCCUUGUCAAUCUCAGGAAGAAGGUAUGUUUAAUUGCUCUCUGUCAUUUGUUCUCUUCUUUUUCAAUCUAACCAUCACAACAAUGAUAUGAUUCAAUCUGAUAUCAAUUUCUUAUCGCGUGUUUAAUUUAUCAUUUUCUCCAGAUAAGGACCAUGCAUCGGAGGUGGGAGGCUUUUAGAGGAGAAAGCGAGGAGGAGAGUGAUUUGCUUUUCACAGCCAAGAAAUCAAAGCUGUUCCAAUCCAAGACUGAGUUACACGUCUUCUUAGGUAAUAACAAAGGAGAGGUCCCUGAUUUCAAGGUCAAAGAAGGCUACAGCGAGUGUUCCUGCUCUAUACUUCUUGGAGAUUCCAAUACCAUGCUUGCACAGGUAACAUUAACAAAACUUAUUUCUGAAAUAUAUCAAUAUUGAAUAAAUUUAACCAACAUCAUCUUCUCAUAUAGAACUAUAUGUCUGUGGCUAAGGCUGUCGUAGAAAUACCCCAGAUUGCAUUCCAUCAUUUACAUUAAAACCGAUUAUUGUUUUAAUCAAGAAAGUUGUCUUCAUAAUAUCUCAUGCCAGUAUUUUUCUUAUUAUGUGAACGCAGGUGCAUGGAAGAAACACUCUCGCGAUUAUGCCUAAUGUUGAUUAUGCCUUCAUAGUGGCUCUUGUGGUGGUGAUUCUCAACGGGAACAAUGCGGAUGAUCAUGGGGACGCGGCCACUACUGGCCUUAAAGUUCUUAACGGUGUUAUCGAAGGACUUGGUUCGUCGGGGUAAAAAACACACUCCAUAGGUAAAAGUCAACAACAUAAACUGUUUGUCGGCAUUUAGGUCUUUUGUAAUUUUCAAGAAAAAUUCCACUAGAAAUAUACGGACAGAAUAAUUCAAUCUCUAUUUCGGACGAUAACUCACAUAAAAAAGUUUUGUCAAUGAAUGUGGUAUAUACAGUAAAUAUUUUAUAAUUUUAUAUAAAAUAUCGAUGGUCUUUGAUAGUUGGUGUAGAUAUCGAUGACAAUGGCAGUUAAUAUUUUUUAAUUCUCUGUAAAAACCCAAUUAUAUAAAUAAAAUUAUAUGAAAUAUUAAAAAUAUAAAAUAAAGUUAAAUCACAUUAAUCCAAAUAUUCAUUACAAAUUUAAUGUAUUUCAAAAAAAAAUAAACUAGAACUGUGGCGGAGCUGGAGGAGAAGACUAGUUAUUCCCGGGAUCAAACGGCUAAAAAAGAGGCACACAUGUAUCACUCAUAUGUGAUCUAAUGUCCAUGACCAUUUAGUGUAGUUGUUCAUAAUCCGUCGAGAGUCGCUCGUAUUGUUGUUUCAAGGCCAUCAACUCCUCAGACGGUGCUUGAUACUAAUUGGAAGCUCCCAACGGUUGAAACACUAUGGGAUGUCCACAAGUUCUUGGCCGUAGUGUUAGAGAGCAUGUACACCUGAUUUUUAUCGGGUCCACCAGACAAUUCUACCUCCAUCCAUAAAUCUGGAUUGAAAUUCGGAUGGGUCGAAGGAUCAUCCUUGUAUCUCUCCCUCAACUGGUUAUUAUAGGUUUCCUGAAAAAUUUUUUAAAAAAAUCAUCUUAUUCAAUUCAAGAAAAUAAUAACUUACGAAAUAAAAUAGUUGAACGAACAUACCAUGAAGUGUUGAGCGCGGUUUUCCUUGAGCUGUUACACCCCCUUUUGGCGGUCUUCACUUCGCAUGUGCAUCUCUACAAACAGCUCCAUUGGGCCCGCCUCACGUCCAAGAGACGUAGCCUGUAAGAAAAAAAAAUGUUGCAAGUUAAAUGUAUUUAUAAGUAAUAACAAAUUAAUUAACGAUAUAUUUUAUUUAAAUUAAUCUUAUCAUCCGCUUCGCAUGUGCACUGUACGAAAUGGAGAUACCAAUGUGCGUGGUCACUGAACCAUGAAUUUGUCGGUUCUGGUUGUCGGCACCGAACUGUAAGCGUCGUGUGAACCGCUUAGACUUCACGUGCUUAAUAUAUUACGGCCAUAUAUCCCCCAGGAUGUAUGGUGGUUUGAAAUCCCUCCAAACCACCACGUCAUUUCAGCCUUGUAGACCGUUAUCUCUUGCAUAUUUUUUUAUUUUUUUGUGUGUUAUAUCAAAAAUCACGCAACCCACACCCUCUUCGCAACAUUGUCAUGUGCGUUAUCCCACUUGAACUUGUGUACUUGUGUUGUGUAUAAGUAAUUUAUUUAAAAUAAAAAUAGUAUGAAAUAUAAAAUUAUAAAAAUAAUUUAUUAAAGAUAAGCUGAAAAUUAGAAAUUGACACCUACAUGUAAUCUUCGAGACCAUGCAUCGAUUUAAGGUCUCCAAUCAGGAUGUUUGGAAAGCUGACUUCGUUGAAAUAAUAGAAUCUUCAUCAACAAUUUAAAUGUCAAUGUUAUUACUCGGGCGAUUUCAAUAUUUGUGAACCUGAAAAUAAAUAAAAAUAAUAAAAUAUUAAUUUGUUGUUCAUAAAUUAUGUUAUAAUUAUAUAAAAAAAACUAAAACCGAAACAAAUUUACAUUGAAAGGUCGUCCUUCCCAUAUGCCUGGUACUUGCGAGUGAAUUGACCCCACUAUGAAGGCACACCACCUCUACACUAUGAAACCGCGCUGGAAGAGGCAGCAUCGCGAGUGGGCACAGGUGCGUCUUCUUGAUCGCCACCUAAGGAUAAGUCAUCAUCGCUGCUAGGAGAACUAGUUGCAACCAUUUGCUGACGACGUGUUAUUGAUUUCAUUCUAUGCAUUUACACAAAUUUAUAUGAAUAAUUACAUAAUUAAAUUCGAUUAUUUAAAAAAAAAUGAGCAUCAUCUUCCCUAUACUGGAGACUACCCAAAGUUUUCAAACUUGCAAAUAUUGACAAUAGCCACAAACCAAUUGACUCCAUUGAAAAAUCUUAUAUAUAACCUAGCAUCUAUACAAAUUUAACAAUAAAAUAAAGCAAAAAAAAUAACAUUUAAUUUUAUAUAUUCAACUAACAUACAUAGAAAUUCAUCAUUAAUAAUUAAAAUUAAUGGAAGUAAUGAAACACAUAUUAAGCAAUAAUAGAGUAAAAUUGGGAUAAAAUAAUUAAAUUUAAUCCUAUAUUUUUAAUUACUAUUUACAAGUAAAUUCAAGAAUAACAAUUAAAAUUCAACAAGAUAAUCAAUUAUUAUGGCAAUAAAAGCAAUAAAAUAGACAAUAAAUUAAAAAAAAAACUAUAAGCUUUAGGAAUGAAAAAUACUUAUCUUAAUAAUGUAUUUAUUUCUAGACUUUAUCUACAUACAAUACAAAAAAACAAAACAAAAAUAUAUUAUUAUUAUUAUAUUUUUAUAUCAUUCUAAUGUUUUAAUAUUAAAAUUAUUUUUUAAAAAAAAAAUAUUAUUUUAAUAUAUUAAUAAAUUAAAAAUAUUUUAAAAAACAAUCAUUAUCAUCAUAGUCGGACAAAACAUCCCAAGCGACAAUCUCAAUACAGGGACUACAAAGCAAGGCUAACACAUCAUCACUUGCUAAGUAAUGAGAUUAGUAUUUUGAAAAGUCAAAUGUUUAUUAGGAAAUAUUUGAUAAUACAUGUCGCACGUCAAAAAUUCCGCACGACAUUGACUGGCGAUUUUUUUUAUUAUUGGUGUUUUGCUUGGUUCGUUGGAGUCGCCACUUAGUAUUAUGGUCACUAGGAACCUAAGGUCUACGGGAGUCUGAGUAAGGGACUGGUUGUGCAAGGGGAAGACGCAUCACCCCCAGUACACCCUACCUAAGGCAAGCUGCAUUAUUGUUUGAUUGUUUUUCUAGGUCGAAUUUCUAUUCGUUGGUCUUUCUAAGGUUCAAGGCAGAUCUCCCCUCAUGAGGAAGUCUCUACCUUAUUCGGUUAAAUCCUAACCAUUCUAAAGUCUUAAUUUAUUUACACCUUGUAUCUUUAAUAUUUGAGGGUGUACUUUAUCAUUUAAUUUUACACCUUUCAAAUAUUAAAGUCUACAUCUAGAUCCUAGAAAAAAAGAUUGGAAAAAGGUUUUUGAUAUUUUGGCCAAACCCUAAUGGAUAAUCAUAAACUAGUUAUGAUAUCCAUUUUUUGGAUUUUUCAAAACGUGAGAAAGAUGCAAUUUUUCGAAAAAAACAUGCUUGGAAAAUUUUUAGGACUUGGCCGUAUGCAAUAAAAUAUUUUUUUCUUUUUGAUAUAUUUUUUAAAAAAUAUUUCGAAAAAGCCGGGUAUUUUAAUACCGGACUUAUAUCUUACAAUGUAAGUAUACAACCCAAUAUUAAGCAAACUUGGUGGAAAAAUAUUUGAGAAAACCACAAUUUUUAUUUUUAAUAUUUUUUGAAAAUAAAAAAGAAAAACGAAUAAAAAACUAAAAGGCAUGAACAGUGAACAGUGACGGCAUGAACAGUGACGCCGAAGAAGAAGAGGAAGGUGAGCGGACCACCUGGCGUGGCGGCGAUGGCUGGAUGGAGGAGGAGGACCUGAAGCUGGUGGUGGAAACGGCGGUGGAGUUAGCUGGAGCGGCUGCAGCUGGAAGAGGAAAAAAAAAGAAGAAAAUCUGCAGCAGGAAAAUGGAGGAAGGCUGGUUUUUUGGCUUACUUUGGACCCGAUUUUCUCCUCCCUCUAAGCACGAAAUUGGCUCCUAUUUAUAGGGAUGGAAAGAGGGUAAUCUUGUCUUUAACGGGGAAAAAGUCUCAGCCCUUGAUUGGACUUGAGGAAUCCAAGCCGUUGGUUCAAAGUGUGCACCUCGAACUGCAAAAUUUGGCAAUCCAAGGCUGCAGACUGCCCGAGGGUGCCACUUUGGGCCAAUAAACGGAGCCGUUUCCAAGAUUUUCCACCCGACCGGACCACUCCACGGGAUAAAGGGAUUUCAGGUGAACAUGUCGGUUCACGCCUUGUCGGAUUUGGGGAAUAAACGAGGUAGAAAAUGCGCCUGGAAGUCUGCCACUCGGGCAGCUUCACGAGGAAGAUGAUGAACAGUAACCCGUUGUUUUUUUUUUUUUUUGUUUUUUUUUUUUUUUUUUUUUUUUUUUUAAGCAAAGUCGUUUUGGGUUAAAAUUUGGGAUUUUUUCUGAUUUUCAAUUUAGUCCUCCAUAGUGCCAGCCUUUAUUUUAUUUUAUUUUUUAUUUUUUUAUUUUUUUAUUUUUGUUUUUAAUUUUUAUUUUGAAAAUUUGGGGAAUAACCCAAAAUUGGGUUAUGACAGUUGCCCCCCUCUUUACAAUGCUUAUGAUAGAAAGUCUCGUAGGAGACUUUAGAUAGUAAGCGUUGUAAAGAAGAAAAAGGGAAGAUUUUUUUUUUUUUUUUUUUUUUUUUUUUUUUUUGAAAAUUCAAAGAUUUUGAAAUGGUCGAAUUGUCAUGGGUGACCUACCCGGGUGAAAAAACACAAAGAUGUUUUAAAGUGGUGAAAAAUACAGAGAUUUUUCAAAGUGGUUUUGUUGUAAUGGGCAACCGGCCCAAGAUGGAGAGGUUUUGAAAAAUACAAAGAUUUUUCAAAGAGGUGAAAAAUGCAAAUAUUUUUCAAAGUGGUGAGAAAUACGAAGAUUUCUCAAAAUGGUUUUAUUGUUAUGGGCAACCGACCCAGAUGAAAGGUUUUGAAAAGCACAAAGAUUUUUUCAAAUAGGUGAAAAAUGCAGAGAUUUUUCAAAGUGGUGAAAAAUGCAAAGAUUUCUCAAGAUGGUGAAAAUUUUUGGAGAUGGUGAGAAAUGCAAAGAUUUCUCAAAAUGAUGAAAAAUGCAGAGAUUUUUUUCAAAGUGGUGAAAAAUGCAGAGAUUUUUCAAAGUGGUUUUGUUGUAAUGGGCAACCGGCCCAGAUGAAAGGUUUUGAAAAAUACAAAGAUUUUUUCAAAGAGGUGAAAAAUGCAGAGAUUUUUCAAAGUGGUGAAAAAAUGCAGAGAUUUUUCAAAAUGGUUUUGUUGUAAUGGGCAACCGGCUCAGAUGGAAAGUGAUGAAAAAUGCAAAGAUUUUUCAAAGUGGUAGAGAAAUGCUAAGAUUUCUCAAGAUGGUGAAAAAUUUUAGAGGUGGUGAGAAAUGCAAAGAUUUCUCAAAAUGGUUUUAUUGUUAUGGGCAACCGGCCCAAGUGAAAAAGUUUGAAGGUGGGGAGAAAUGCAAUGAUUUCUCAAAAAUGGUUUUAUUGUUAUGGGCAACCGGCCCCAAAUGGAAAAAGUAUGAAGGUGGGGAGAAAUGCAAUGAUUUCUCAAAAAAUGGUUUUAUUGUUAUGGGCAACCGGCCCAAAUGGAAGAUGAAAAGAGUUUUGAAAGAGGUCUGAUUAUAAUGGGUGACCUACCCGAGUGAAAAGGAAAAAUGUUUGAAAGGGAUGACAUGAUAGGACCCGAUGGGGAAUGAGGGCUGAAGAGCGCACUUGAAAGGAGGUAGGGAGAAAAACACACUACCUAAGAGGUAAGUGCUCCACGGCGCACUCUAAAGGACGCAGGGUUGGAAAACGCAUUACCUAAAAGGUGAGGGCUCAAAGCCACACUCAAAAGGAGAUAGGGUUACAAAACACACUACCUAAAGUGGUCGAAGGCUCUAAAACGCACUCAAAAGGAGGCAGGGUUGGAAAACACACUACCCGAAAGGUGAGGUCUCGAAAGGAGGUAAGGAGUUAAGGAGGUAAGGUUGGAAAACGCACUACCUAAAGUGGUGAGGGCUCAAAGGAGCACUUAAAAGGAGAUAGGGUUGGAAAACGCACUACCUAAGAUGUGAGGGCUCCAAGGAGCAACCAAAAGGAGGUAGAGUUAGAAAACACACUACCUAAGGUGGUUAAUGGCCCUAAGGCGCACUUAAAAUGAGGCAAGGUUAGAAAACACACUACCUAAGGUGGUUGAUGGCCCUAAGGCGCACUUAAAAGGAGGUAGGGUUGGAAAACACACUACCUAAGAGGUGAGGGCUCGAAGGAGCUCUCAAAAAGAGGCAGGGUUGGAAAACACACUACCUAAAAGGGUUAGGGCUCGAAGGCACACUAAAAAAGAGGUAGGGUUAGAAAACACACUACCUAAGGGGUGAGGGUUAAAAGACGCUCUCAGAAGGAGGUAGGGUUGAAAAACACACUACCUAAAAGGUUAGGGCUCGAAGGCACACUAAAAAAGAGGUAUGGUGUUAGAAAACACACUACCUAAGGGGUGAGUGCUCCAAGGGGCACUUAAAAAGAGGCAGGGUUGGAAAACACAUUACCUAAGAGGGUUAGGGCUCAAAGGCGCACUCUAAAGGAAGAGAUGAUGGUGAGACACCGAUCUGUCAAGGAUGAAAGCAAUGCAUCAUGAUCAAUAUGCAUGUAUACUUACCUGAGAAGUAUAGGUCCCCUUUUCUUCAUGGAGUUCUCCUUUUCAAAAGUUUGAGUCUCUGAUAGUAAGCUUUGAUGGCUUUUGUCCCCCUUGCUUACUCAAGAAAUAUGUUACGAUCUUGGCCUCCAGGAAAGACUUGAUGUCGUCAUUUCUUUGUUCUCCGCCCCUUUUAUCUCAAGGGUUGCCAAUUUUGCCCAAUAGUUUCUUCGAAAGGAAAUCAUGGAGCAAGCUCUACCAAAUGUUUUUGAUUGCCCCCUAGCUUGAUCAUACCCCAAGUAUUCAAUUUGGGUUUGGGGAUGAGGCUAUGUGAAGAAAGGUUUAACAAGGAGUUGUUUUCAUGUAGAAUUUUUGGAAUUUCAAAGCUAUUCCAGAUACAGAAAUCAUUUUGACAUCGAUUCAAAGCGAACUCAUUCUGAAGAAAUUCAAGUGAUUCCUAUUGAGAGGCUAUCAAAAGUGAUGAAAACUUUUUAUUUUGAUUUUUGGUGAAAAAUAUGAAGUGACAUUUGGUUGGUCACAAAAGGUUGAAACUUCAAUUUGAGGGUUAUUGAGAACCGUUGGUGAAAAUGCGAAGAACACAAAGUGACAUCUGAUUGGUCACAAAAGGUUUAAAUUUCAAUUUGAGGGUUAUUGAGAACCGUUGGUGAAAAUGCGAAGAACACAAAGUGACAUCUGAUUGGUCACAAAAGGUUUAAAUUUCAAUUUGAGGGUUAUUGAGAACCGUUGGUGAAAGCAUUCAUUUUAUUUGCAUGAAUAAUGAAUUUGUUUCGCAUGAGAAAGCACUACCUACCAAUCCAGAUUGCUUGCCUUUGAUCAGAAAGGGCUUGAUUAGGCACGUAAUGUAGGCUUGGGCUAUUGGCUAUGAAGAAAAGGAUAUCUGUAGGCUCAAAAGGUGUUUAAGGGACUUUAAGACUAAGGAUCACUAAUGCUUAUAUCCCAAACUCUUUUGUUCAUACAUUUCUGGACCUUGGAAUUGAUUUGUAAGAUGGUCCACGGUGCCCCCCAGUGUUGGGCUUGGGCUCUUUCUCUUUGUUUUUUUUUCUUCAUUUGAUUUUGAGCAUCAUUGCAUUGGCCUUGUUUUUUGCUCAAAAUUUUGGAUCAUUUGGAUUUUUUUUUUCAUGCCACCUAGCUUUGUAUGGGCACCUUUGAUGAUUGAGAUUUUUCUUUUAUGCCCCCCAGUAUUGUUUGGGCAUUCUCAUCGUUGAAGAAUUUUUCAUGCCCCCAAGAGUUAUUUGGGCACUUUCAAUCAUUAUGGAAUUUUUAGCACUUGCCCCCCAGUGUAGGGUGUGAUCCUAGCCAAGGUUAUUUUUCAAGAAAAAUUUAUUAGGCUCAAAAGGGGACUGCAAAGGAUAUAUUUCAGCCUUGUGAAAAGAUUAUCAAAGAUGGCCUUUCUUCAUCUCAAAUGCAUGCAUUUAGGAUCAGUAAGCCUUGCUUUCAUGCGAGUAUGCAGAGUGAUUUCUCAUUAUUCAUGCAAUUAAAACUCAGCUUUAGAGUCACUUCAUGGUGUGUUUUUUUUUGUUUUCUAGGUGUAUGGUUACCUCUCUAAGGAAUCACCUGAAUUUCCAGAACUUGUUUGUUUCGGACAAACAUCAACUGAUUUCUGUUUUUGUACUAAACUUUGAAUUUCCCAAAAAUCCUUAUGAAAACAUGGGUUUUUGAAGGGAGGAAAGAAAACACCAAAGAAUUAGUGGUUUUAUGAGUGAAGGGUGUGCUCAGUAUGUUAUUUGCAUGAACACAGAAAAGGCACAUGAUUUUAUUAACAGGAAAGGCUCAUUUAACAAAGAAAAUCUUGUGGCAUUAUGAGCCAAAUUGCCAACAAGACUAAAACGGGUUAAAACAAACAUGAUCAAGCCAAAAUGCAAUAAUUGGGUAGGCUCCAUCUUCCCAUUCUAUAGCAGAACUUUGUCCUCUAUCCUCAAAAGUGCACAUUGCCUUCUUCACAUCUUGCUCUUGCCAUUGGUGCUUUGAGGUUUCUAGAGCAUUCCGCCUCUAGUGCAUUCACCGAUCCACUACCUGAAGCAUGAUUGGGUAGAGGGUUCGAAGUUAUGUUUGGAGUUCCUUCGAGGGUGACCCAUCCGACUUUAAUCAGAUGCAUAAGCCUCUUCUUAAAGGCACUGCAAGUAUGAAUGUUGUGUCCCGCGGCGCCAGCAUGGUAUUCGCAAGUAAGGUCGGGCUUGUACCAAUUGGGGUAAGGUGGUUGUAAAGGUGUCAAGGGUUCAGGAGCUAUACGCCCAAUGCUCAGUAGCUUUUGAUACAUCUCAUUUAAGGGCAAUGGUAAUGGAGGUAAUUGUUCUUGGGUUUUUUGGUGUUUGGUUUGAAACUCAGGUUUUCUGGUAGGAAAUGAAGGGUUGAAAUUGAUGUUGGCGAUUUGGGGUGAAGUGUGGUAGUUUUGGAAUGGGUUUUUCCUACCCAUGUAACCACCUUCAACAUAGUCGACCUCUUUCAUUUUACCCUCAAAGCCUCUUUCUCAGUGGGCACAGAUAUUCUACCACUUUUUACCCCUUGCUCAAUGCGCUCAGCUACUGCCACACAUCAGUAAAUUGCUGGGCCGAACUACCCAUCACAUGCUCGUAGUAUGGGUCCUUGAGUGUAUUGCGAACAGAGUGACCAUCUCUUUAUCUAGGAGCGGAGGAUGUAUUUGAGCAGCUAGUCUCUCCAUCUUUGAGCAUAUUCCCUUAUGCUUUCCUUGUCCCUUUUCUCUAGAUUGGACAGACUGGUUCUAUCAGGAGCAAUGUCCAUAUUGUACUUGUAUUGCUUGACAAAAGCAUCCACCAAGUCUUUCCAUUUUUGGAUCUUUGUGUUGUCCAAUCUCAUAUACCAACUUAAUGCUGCCCACUUAAGCUAUCUUGGAAAAAGUGCAUCAGUAGUUUUUCAUCAUGUACUACUUCUGCCAUUUUGUUGCAGUAGGAUUUGAGAUGAGUCAUGGGGCAUUGCGUUCCGGUAUAUUUGAUGAAUUCAGGAACACGGAACUUUUUUGGGACAACCACAUUUGGGACCAGACACAUUUCUGCUGCCCGUACUGGAUCGUACAACUCUACCCCUUCAAUGGCUCUAAUUCGAGCUUCCAACGCCGCCAUUUUAUCUUGACCAAUGCCAUCAGAUGACUUGGUCUUGUGAGACUCAUUGGCAAAUGGAUCUAUGACUACAGGGGCUGGUGCUGAUGGCGUUGAGUGCACAAAUGCUGGAUUGUGUGGAGGUUCUUGACCAUGUUCACUCAUUGUUUCUUCGGGUUGAGCCAUUGUUGGAGCCUGAACAGAAAUAGUAGGUCGGUUGGAAGGACCUUCAACAGAGGCAUUUCUAAGUGCAUGCUCGAGUAAGCUAGUGAGGCGAGCCACGCUUGCUUUCAGAGACUCUAACUCUUCUUGGAAAUGGGCAUCACGGUGAGCACGCUCUUCACCUUCCAUGUUUCUUGCUUGGAGUCGGGUGUUGUAGACUCUUUGGGGACCUAUAUUUCAACCUGGCGCAUGUAUGUAUGUUAUUUACAAUGGAUGGAUGUAUGUGUGUGGAUGCAAAUGUAUGCACAUUUGGUAUGAAUGGAAAAAACUCAUGCAAAAUGAAUAACAAGAGAGUUCAUGCUCUAAAGGAAGGUUCUAGGUCAUUACAUGAUGGGUAGGCAUUCUACCUGGUCUUGAAAAGGUCUAUGAACUGCCUAGUGACCACCUCACGUGAAGGCAGUGUAGGGGUUUACAAGGAAUGGUUGGGGCACAGUGUGACCGCCAUUACCAAGUAAACACUCAGCUCAUAGUUGGAUGUUUCACGAAUCUGAACCCCGACUGAAAGUCAUGAGGCAGACCGCUACUCCCCACCUAACCUAGAAUAGGGUUUAUUCGCAAAAUUAAAAUGCAUGCUAAAGCAGUAAAAAUGCGAGCUAAAAAUAAAGACCAAUAAAAGGAAAACAAUCAAACAAUCAAUGCUUAGUCCGACCACACAUGGUUGUCCCCAGUGGAGUCGCCAUUCUGUCGCACGUCGAAAAAUUCCGCACGACAUCGACUGGCGAUUUUUUUUAUUUGUGUUUUGCUUGGUUCGUUGGAGUCGCCACCUAGUAUUAUGGUCACUAGGAACCUAAGGUCUACGGGAGUCUGAGUAAGGGACUGGUUGUGCAAGGGGAAGACGCAUCACCCCCAGUGCACCCUACCUAAGGCAAGCUGCAUUAUUGUUUGAUUGUUUUCUAGGUCGAUUUCUAUUCGCUGGUCUUUUCUAAGGUUCAAGGCAGAUCUCCCCUCGUGAGGAAGUCUCUACCUUAUUCGGUUAAAUCCUAACCAUUCUAAAGUCUUAAAAUUUUAUUUACACCUUGUAUCUUUAAUAUAAGGUGUACAUUAUCAUUAAUUUUACACCCAAAAUAUUAAAGUCUACAUCUAUCCUAGAAAAAAGUUGGAAAAAGGUUUUUGAUAUUUUGGCCAAACCCUAAUGGAUAAUCAUAAAGUUAUGAUAUCCAUUUUUAUUUUUCAAAAAAACGUGAGAAAGAUGCAAUUUUUUUGAAAAAACAUGCUUGGAAAAUUUUUAGGACUUGGCCGUAUGCAAUAAAAUAUUUUUCUUUUUUGAUAUAUUUUUUAAAAAUUUUCGAAAAAGCCGGGUAUUUUAAUACCGGACUUAUAUCUUACAAUGUAAGUAUACAACCCAAUAUUAAGCAAAACUUGGUGGAAAAAUAUUUGAGAAAACCACAAUUUUUUUUUUUAAUAUUUUUUGAAAAUAAAAAGAAAAACGAAUAAAAAACUAAAAAGGCAUGAACAGUGAACAGUGACGGCAUGAACAGUGACGCCGAAGAAGAAGAGGAAGGUGAGCGGACCACCUGGCGUGGCGGCGAUGGCUGGAUGGAGGAGGAGGACCUGAAGCUUGUGGUGGAAACGGCGGUGGAGUUAGCUGGAGCGGCUGCAGCUGGAAGAGGAAAAAAAAAGAAGAAAAUCUGCAGCAGGAAAAUGGAGGAAGGCUGGUUUUUUGGCUUACUUUGGACCCGAUUUCUCCUCCCUCUAAGCACGAAAUUGGCUCCUAUUUAUAGGGAUGGAAAGAGGGUAAUCUUGUCUUUAACGGGGAAAAAGUAUCAGCCCUUGAUUGGACUUGAGGAAUCCAAGCCGUUGGUUCAAAGUGGACCUCGAACUGCAAAAUUUGGCAAUCCAAGGCUGCAGACUGCCCGAGGGUGCCACUUUGGGCCAAUAAACGGAGCCGUUUCCAAGAUUUUCCACCCGACCGGACCACUCCACGGGAUAAAGGGAUUUCAGGUGAACAUGUCGGUUCACGCCUUGUCGGAUUUGGGGAAUAAACGAGGUAGAAAAUGCGCCUGGAAGUCUGCCACUCGGGCAGCUUCACGAGGAAGAUGAUGAACAGUAACCCGUUGUUUUUUUUUUGUUUUGUUUUUUUUGUUUUUUUUUUUUUUUUUUUUAAGCAAAGUCGUUUUGGGUUAAAAUUUGGGAUUUUUUUCUGAUUUUCAAUUUAGUCCUCCAUAGUGCCAGCCUUUAUUUUAUUUUUAUUUUUUUUUUUUUUUUUUUUUUUUUUUUAUUAUUUUUUUUUUUGAAAAUUUGGGGAAUAACCCAAAAUUGGGUUAUGACAAUACAAUUUAAACAUUCCCACUAGUCAGGGGGUCAAUAAUUCCUUGAAGGAAUACUAAUAGAAAAAUAAGACAUGAUGUUCUUUCCUGGAAGGAAUACUAAUAGAAAAAUUAUAAAUGGAGUUUUUAAAAUAUACUUUCUUAUUUUUAUAUAUAUUUAAUAAGUGAAGUCUGAGCAAUUUUUAUUUUGUAUUAUUAAACAAGAGCAAUUAUAAAUGAAGGCUUAAGGAACUCGAGCGAAUUGUUGAGAAAAAAAAAAAACAAACAAACAAACCAUGGUUGUUCUAGAAUUUGGUUUCUUUAAAUUAUAUUUUUUAUGUUUUUUUAUCAUUUUAAUGUAUUAAUAUUAAAAAUAAAUUUUUUAAAAAAUAUAUUAUUUUAAUAUAUUUUUAAAUAAAAAAAUACUUUAAAAAAUAAUAACCACCACAAUACUCCAAGUCGCAGUAUUUACGACUAAAAAUCAAGCUGUGUGGCCAUUGUUUAUUUGUUUCUUGAAAUUAUUUUGCAGUUGAUUUUUUCGUGAUUGGUCUAUUUAAAAAAAAAAACAAAUGGAUUUGUCAAUUUUGAUUAUUGUUUUCAGAAAAAAAAACAAUAGUGAAAAUGAAAUCCUCAUGUUUCUCUUAUUUUAAAAUAAAAGGAAAUUGUACUAAAACUAUUUUAAAAAUAUAUUUAUUUUUAAAAUAUAAUUAAUUCCUCGAAUACACGCCAUAAGAUUUUUCCAGGUCCCCCCAAAGACUCCCCCCCCCCCUGCUGCCUAAUACACGUGAUAAGAUUUUUAAAAUAUAGUGCCUUUUUUUUUUGUUUUAUUUAAGGACAUGAUAUAGGGCUAAUUGGCACUAUAAAAUACGUACAUCAUUCCUCCCAAAGACUGCUUCUAUGACCAUCACCUACGGAUAUAUUUUGUCUGUAUUUUUAAUGGUAAUCACUAAUGGAAUGGUCAUCGGUGAAUGUUGCAUAAAUAGUAAAUAUUUUAAAAUUCUUUGUAAAAUCCGAUCCGUCGAUAAUAGCAAUGGUAAACACCGAUGGAAUAUAUAUGUCGAUGAUAGUGGCAUAGGUGGUAAUUUUUUUGCUAUUUUCGAUAAAAUAUCGAAGGCUUGGUUUCAUCUGUAAGGAUGUCGGUAUUGAUUUAAAAUAUUUUAAAAAAAUUAAUUAACCAAAUAAAAUUGUAUUAAACAUUAAAAAUAUAAAAAUAAUGUUCAUCCAAAUAUUCAUUACAAAUUUAAUGUGUUUCAAAAACAAAAUUAAACUAGAACAACAGCGAAGUUGCUGGAGGAGGAGGAGGAGGCUGGUUAUUUCCGGGACCGUACGACCAAAAAGGGGCUGCACAUGUAUCAUCACCCAUCCUUGAUCUAAUAUCCAUGACCAAUUGACGGAGCUGAUGAUAUUCCAUUGAGAGUCGCUCAUAUUGUUGUUUCAAGUCCAGACUGCUCAGACUGGGUGCUCGAUAUUGAUGAAGAGCUCCCAACAGUUGAGACCAUAGUUUUUAAACCCGGACCGGCCCGGCGGGUUGAAACGGGACCCAGCCAACCCGGGCAUGGAACCGGUCCGGGUGGAGGCCAAAACCCGCUUGGGAAUUGGCCCGGUCAAACCCGGUCCACCCGGUAGGUCGACCCGGGACCCGGUCCACCCGGCCAAACCCGGGUGAGACCCGACCACUAUUUUUUUUUACUCCCCCUGUCAUUAAACGACGCCGUUUAAUGACUCUAAAAUAUACAAUCGCACCGAAAAGUGAAGCAGAAGAAGAACGAAGCAAUCGAACGAAGAACGAAGCAGAAGAAGAACGAAUUAACCAUUGAUCUCUGCGAAAAAGGUUUGAAUCUCCUUCUUUCACUCUCUGUUUUGUUUAUUCUUCGUCGUUUUCUCAUUUCUGGGUUCUGGCAUCAAUUUCAGUUUCAAGUUCAUACUUCUGUGUUUCUUCACUCGCUGCGAUUCAAGUUCAUACUUCUGGGUUCUUCAAUCGAUUUCGCAGAAGAAGAAACCUCAGCCCUCAGGUAUGUUUCUCCAACCCGAUUCCUGCUACAGUGUAUGUAUUUUCUUCAUCAAUUCAAUUCGUCUGUGUUCUUCAUCACUUCUUGAUGAACUCUCUGUCGAUUCAUACAACUGUUACAUAAUCAUUCAACCGUUGCAUGGUUUCUUCUUUCAAGGCUCACUAAAACAGCUUGGUAGUUCUUAAUAAGUACAAUUUUCAUCGAAAAGUAUAGUUGGAUCAAUGAAGAAUAUCUCAGCUUUGUUAGAUUUCACUAGAUGCUAGUCCUGCCCAGAUAUUUCCUUCUUUUGAACCAUCCUGGCAUGAUUUCUAUGUUUCUUUUCUUUAUGAUUUUGAGCAACAGUCUCUGUUUCUAUGCAAACAAACAACACAGUCUCUGUUUCUAGCAUGUUUUAUGAACUUAAUUAUUCGAGGUUUGUUUGUGUUGUUUUUGUAAUUAGUGAUUAACGAAGAGGAAUUUUAGAGAAAUAAAGGCGUCUGAUUUGUUCAUUUGACGAGUUUGUUUGUUCGGUUAGGCUAUUAUAAUUGUUUCAGAGUUGAAUAUCAAUUUUGUGCUUGAUUGUGAAUAUCAAAUGUUAUAACAAACAAAAAAGCACAGCCAACAUUGCAUAUUUACCUUAAUCUGCUGCUCAUGUAUCUCAAUUCUCAAAAUUAUCAAAUAGUUUCAAGAGAUAGAUGCUAACAUCUACACAUAAAACCAUGAUUGAAUGCUUUCAAGAGACUAGAAUGCAACUAUGAACUGCAGUUGUCCAUUUAUAACUAUUCUCUCAAGGCAGUUUAAGAGGACUUUAAUUGUCAACUAUCCAAUGAAACAUGGCUUCUAUCAAAUAAAAGCAUAGUUUAGGAUUUUAAAUUACAUGCGGUAAAUUUCAUUCUGCAAAAUGCGAUUUCUAGAUAGGAAUUACAUGGCAGAAAUAUACGAAAGUAUCAACAGUUUUAUUACAAGAAAUAAGCAUGUUAGAAUACCCAAAAUCAAGUAAUUAGUCUUGAAAGAUAACAGAAUCUAUACCAGACAUAUGAAAAAUCCAACAAUCAAGACGGUUAGGAAAGAAAAAGAACAUAAAUUAUAAGGAACCAAAAGGGAAUUAAACGUUAUGAAAAAAGAAGGCAAUGCUCACCAUGAAAAAGUGUAGAGGAAAAAAUUGAGUAAUUUAGAGUUUGGUUUAGCAAUUCAAUUGUUAAUAGUUGAAGGAAAAGUGUAGAGGAAAAAAUUGAGUAAUUUUUAGUUGGUGUUUUGGGAGUGUAUGGAUGGGGAGGAAAUUUUAAUUUGUUAACACAUUUUAGAGUUUAUUUUUAGAGUGUCAGGGUAAAUUGGAGUGUUGAAUUCAGAAUUAUUUUUGUCAUGCAUAAAGUUUAUUUUUCUUCAUCAGUGAUGGAAACUUAUGCAAUUCUAUUGCAUUAUGUCAGGUUUGAAAAUGUCUUCACAUGAUGGUAGUACUCCAAGUAAUGAUCCUUCAACGGCCCAAUCAUCUCAACCUUGAAUUUCCAUGUCAAGUGGUAGUAGAGGAAAAACAGAUUUAGCAUGGGGUCAUUGUAGAGAAGCUCCUGAACUUAGUGUUGGAUGUAAAAAAACUAAAUUAGUUUGUUUAUAUUGUGCUAAAGUAUUUGCGGGUGGUGGUAUUAAUCGAUUUAAGCAACAUUUAGCUGGAGCUAAAGGAGAAGUUGAACAAUGUCGCAAAUGUCCUCCUGAUGUUCGACAUCAAAUGCUUUUGAACCUUAAAGGAAAUGUUGAAACGAAAAAAAGAAUUAGAGAAAUGCAAGCAGAUUUCAAUCCCUUUAAUGCACAACAAAGGGAGCAUGAAAAGUUGAUAAUUAGGCAAUUAGAAUAUGAUGAUGGUGAUGAUGAUGAUGAGGAGGAGGAGGAUGAGGAUGUCAAUACUAAAAAACAUAUGUUACCACUGAAGGUUGCAAAAAAGAAAAAGAUUCAAAGCAUCGGUUCUGUAAAAUAAUCAACUACAAGCUAUGGAAAGUAGAAGAAAUCCGCAACAUUAGGAACAUAUUUCAUGCCGAGAACAACUCCUGGUGCUCAAAAGUCUCUUAAGAAUUGUUGGCAAAGGAAAGAAGCAGUUGAACGGUGUGAUCUUGUUUUAGCGAAGUGGAUGUUUGAUGCAUGUGUGCCAUUUAAUGUUGUUAACUCUGUGUAUUAUCAGCAUGCCAUAGAUGUUGUAACAUCCAUGGAUCCUGGUUAUAAAGGACCAAACUUGCAUGCUAUCCGUGGUUAUUACUUGGCAAAAACGGUUGAUGAAGUGAAGAUUUAUGUUGAGAGUUAUCGGGAGAUUUGGAAGAAGACUGGUUGCACAUUAAUGGCUAAUGGAUGGACAGAUCAGAAGAGGACAACUUUAAUUAACUUCUUAGUAUAUUGUCCUAAAGGAACAGUUUUUUUGAAAACGGUGGAUGUAUCAGAUGUCUCAAAGACUGCUAGAUUGCUGUAUCAGUUGUUUAGAGAGGUUGUUUUGUAUGUUGGGGUAGAAAACAUUGUGCAUAUGGUGACUGAUAAUGCUGCAAAUUAUGUUGCUGCUGGUAGGUUAUUGAUGGAAGAAUUUCAUUCAAUAUUUUGGUCUCCUUGUGCUGCUCAUUGCAUCAACCUCAUACUCCAGGACAUUGGUAAAUUGCAGUCAGUUGGUUUUGUUGUUGAGCAUGCUUCUGGUAUCACAAAGUAUAUUUAUAAUCAUUGUUAUCCAUUGUAUUUGAUGAGGAAGUUCACUAGAGGAAAAGAAAUACUUCGUCCAGCUCCUACUCAUUUUGCCACCAAUUUCAUUGCAUUGCAAAGCAUUUUAGCUCAUAAAGAUCAAUUGAGAGCUAUGGUGACAUCUAGGGAAUGGGUCUCAUCUGCUUAUGCUAAAGAUAUCAAAGGAAAAAAGUUUGUUGAAAGUGUGCUAGACUCUUUGUUUUGGGAAGAAUGUGCAAUAAUUGUGCGAAUGAGUGAACCUUUAGUUCGAGUUCUACGAUUGGUUGAUGGUGAUGCUAGACCUUCGAUGGGAUAUUUGUAUGAUGCUAUUCAUCAUGCAAAAGAAGAAAUGAUGAGGAGAUUUCAAAAGAGAAAGCCUACAGUGAAACCUUUCAUAGACAUUAUCAAUAAUCGGCGGGAUGGACAAUUUUAUAGAAAUCUUUAUGCAGCGGCAUUUUGGUUGAAUCCUCGAUUUCAAUAUGAUGCAAAUAUAAUGGAUAAACAUAUGAGCACCAUUUCUGCACUUCUAGAUGUUCUUGAGAAGUAUGCACAUGGAAAUCUACCAUUACAAAGUAAGAUUACAAGUGAGAUGAAGUUUUUUAGGAAUGCUGAACAUGACUUUGGCCGAGUGUCCGCAAAAAAUAAUCGCACUCUUAUGCCUCCAGGUAUAUAAUUUUUAUAUUUAAAAAUAUUAUUUGACAGUCUUACACUUUUACUUAUUAUUUUUUUGUAUAGAUGAAUGGUGGAUGACAUAUGGAACCAGCGCUCCAAAUCUACAACAAUUGGCUAUACGAGUGUUAAGUCAAACUUGUAGUUCUUCGGGAUGUGAGAGAAAUUGGAGUAUGUUUGAACAUAUUCAUUCCAAGAAGAGAAAUAGAUUGGAGCACCAAAGGCUGAAUGACCUUGUUUACGUCCACUGCAAUCUAAGAUUGAAACAAAAGUAUUUUUCUUUUCUCUAAUUCCUUAAAUAUUAUUUUAUCUUGUUUAGUAGCAUUAUUAAUAGUUAUAUUGUGUUUACCUUCACUUUUAAUAUAUAGGAAUUAUUGGAAAGGACGAAAUUAUGAUCCAAUUAAUGUUGAGACAAUUUUUGACAUUGAAAAUUGGGUGGUCGAAGAUGACCCAUCAAUCUUGACAACGGAAGAAGUAGAGAGUUUUCACCAAGCUCUAUCAACUAUGACCUUACAAGAUACAUUAGAUGAUGGUAAUUAAUGAUUAAUUAUUUAAUGAUAAAUAUUAUUUAAAAUAAAGUUUUGUUUAACACAUAAUAUUUAUUUCUUAAUUGUGUUUGAAAUGUAGAUGUCAUAAAUGUUAAUGAUAUUGAAGAUGAUUGUGACGAUGAAGUUUCAAAGGAGCAUGCUGAUGAUUUAUUAGGUGUUGACGAAUUGGCUCCAUUCCAUCGACAUUUGAUCCAAAUUUUUCUUCCAUGGAGACAGAAUAACUUAAUGUGUUAAUUCAACAUAAGUGAAUGUGUUGUUGUUUUAAAUUUUGAUAUUUUGUUUUAAAUAUUUUAGAAUUUAUGUUGUUCGAAUUUAUGUGGAUGGAUGUUUUGUUUUAAAUAUUUUAUAAUUUAUAUUUGGUUUGUAUAUUGGAUAUUGAAUUAAAUUUAUGUUGUUGGUUUAUAAUUUAAAUUUGGUUUAAGUAAGUGUUGUAUUGUAAUUAGGUAUGUUUUUUUUAUAUAUAUAGGUUUUUUUGGGUUGACCCAGGUUAACCCGGGUUAACCCGGGUCAACCCACCGACCCGUGACCCAGAAGGUCGACCGGGUCAAUGACCGAGUCGGGUUUCAAAACUAUGGUUGAGACACUACAGGUCGUCCUCAAGUUGUCAGUCGUAGUGUUGGAGAGCCCGUACACCUAAUUUUUAUCGGGUCCACCAGACGAUCCUACCUUCACCUUAAAAUCUGGAUCAAAAUCCGGAUGAGUCGAAGGAUUGUCCUCAUAUCUCUCCCUCAAUUGGCUAUUAUAGGUCUCCAAAAUUUUAUUUUUUUUUAAAUCAUCAUAUUCAAUUCAAGAAAAUAAUAACUUACGAAAUAAAAUGAUUGAACGAACAUACCACGAAGUGUUGAGCACGGUUGUCCACGAACUAUUGCACGCCCUUUUGGUGGUCUUGGCUCCGGACAUGCGUCUCUACAAACAGUUCCACUAGGCUCGGCUCACAUCCAAGAGACGUAGCUUGUAAGGAAAAAAAAAAAGGUUGCAAGUUAAAUAUAUUUAUAAGCAACAACAAAUUAAUUAAUGAUAUAUUUCAUUUAAAUUAAUCUUACCAUCCUCAUGUGCACUAAACGGGAUGGAGCCGCUAGUGGGCACAGUCACCGAACCAUGAAUUUGCCAGUUCCGAUUGUCGGCACCGAACUGUGAGCGUCGUGCUAACCACUCAGACAUCACGUGCUCAAUAUGUUAAUUGCUCUCUGUCAUUUGUUCUCUUCUUUUUCAAUCUAACCAUCACAACAAUGAUAUAAUUCAAUCUCAUAUCAAUUUCUUACCGCGUGUUUAAUUUAUCAUUUUCUCCAUAUAAGGAUUGUCACACCCUCGCGGCAGAGCGUGGCCUCGCGGUGACCCUCGAUUGAUUUCAGGGUUUUUGUGUUUUUGUUUUUUGUAUAUAAGGGAGUCGCCACCUAGUAUUAUGGUCAUUAGUGUUGUAACCCAUUUCUGGGUCCCCACAUAAAAAAUAAUAAAAUACAAAACAAAUUCAAAAAAUAUAUUAUCAAAAAAUAGAACAGUGAAAAAAUGCCAAAGCGCCCUAAAAAUGCUCAAAAAAAUUGUUUAAGAAUUUUCAAAAAUAUAAAAAUUAUUUUUUGACAGUAUAUCAUUGACUGAUGAGAGCUCCAAUGAUAAAGAAAAUUCAAUUUGUGGAAGAAAAAUGCAAAAUCAGAAGUUUAUGGACUCAAUUAAAUUCUAUUAAAGGUUUAAUUGCAUUUAUGAAGAUUUUAAUUGCAAGAAAAAUUGAUUUUGGAGUUAAUUUGGGCUUUAAUUAGGAGAAAUUAAUUUUCUGGGGUCAAAUUAUAAUUUUUGAAGUUAAUUUGGUCAAAUCAGGGGCUUAAUUGCAUAAAUAUUGAAGUUUAAUGGCCAAUUAGGGACUUAAUUGAAGAAAUCCGAGAGCAAGGACUAAAUUGUAAAACGUGCGCAAAUGGAGGGCCGAAAUUUGAAUCUGAUGCUUUUGGCGCCUUUUCCUUUUAAAUGAAACGGCGUGUUUUGACCAAAACGGCGUCGCUUCAUUCACUGUUGCAAAAAACAAAAAAAAAAAUAGAAGCCCAAAACGGUGCCGUUUUGACGGCACUGUAGCUCUUCUUCUUCCCCUGGACGCGCGAGGCAGGGGAAGAAGAAGAUUUUUUCUUCCCCUUUUCGCCUAAUUUCUUUCCCGUUUUUCGCGCAAUAAGACGCCCGCAAUCACCCACUUGUCUCCUUUUUAUCCUUCUGAGUUGAUAGUGGAGGGGCGGCCGACAGUGGCCGCCCAACCACGACACCGCCCCCCUGUUUUUGCCUAUAAAAACAGGGGAGGGGCACCGAGAAAAGUGGAGGAAAAAACAGAAGAGAAGAAAGAAGGAGACCGAGAGAAAGGAGACCGAGGGAGAGAGAGAGGGCAAAGAAGAAGAAGAAGAAGCAGAAGCAGCAGAGAAGAAAAAGAAAAACUGAAGAGAGAGAGAAGGGAAACGCAGAACCACCGUGCCUCCGCCACCAUCGCCUCCGCUGCCACCAGCAGGUAAUCUCUCGCCGCCUCGUCUCCUUCUCCGUUUGCCCGCCUCCUGUUUUCGGUUGCAUGCAGAACGUGAAUUAAUUCACGUUCUGCAGCUGAAGGGGCUGGUUACAUUUGGGCCAGCCCAUGCAUUUGGGCUAGGUUCGGCCCAGCCCACUGAAAUGGCCCGGGUCCGGCCCAUUUCAAUUUUUUUAUUUUUAAGAAUUUUUACAAUUUUUUUCAGCACAUGUUUUUAUCAAUUUUGCUUAAUAUCGCCACUGUUCACACGGUACUAUUCACCCGGCCCAUUCAGAAAACAAAAAUCAAAAAUAUUUGUUUCAGCAUUUUAUAAUUUUUCCGCGUUGUUUUUAUUUCAUUUUGAUUAAUAUCCGGCAGUAUUUUUACAUCGUAAAAAAUAUAAAUCCGGUAUUAAAAUUCCAAAAAAUACAAAAAAAUAAAAAAAUAAAAAAUGUUUUUGUGCAUACGGCCAAGUAUCUCAAAUCUAAAAUAUCAUAUCGUAUUUUUCAUAUGUUAAAAAACAAUAUUUUAGCAUGCAUUUUGGCUUUAUUAACCAGUUUAUUAAAGUCAAGAGAACAUUGGCCAAAAUCUCAAAAACAACAAAAUAUUUUAUUUUGUUUGAUUUUAGUAUCAGGGAUUAUGAAUUUAUACGUAAAUCGUAUUCCUGAUAUUAAAAAGAUAUUUUCUUUUGACGACUUCGAAUAGUUAGUUUUUUACCCGAUAAAGAUAAGGAUCUCCUUACGGAGGAGGACUUUUCUUAAACCGUAAACGAACCAACAAUUCAAAAACCACAACACGAUUUUAGAUUUUUUCAGACAUUAAAACAAUGCAGCCUACCUUAGGUAGGGCAUAGUUGGGGUGCUAAUACCUUCCCUUUACGCAACCAGUCUCCGUACCCGAUCUCUAAAGACCAGUUAAGGUUCCUAGUAACCAGAAUACUAGGUGGCGACUCCCAGUCUAUAUUUUCACAUGUAGAGACAAGAAUUCCUUGUCUCUCCCUAUUUUCCUGGAAUAAAUUAUUCCGAUUUUUCCUUGAGGGCGGACGAUCGUCGCGCCGCCGCACACGUGCGACAAUUAGGAACCCUAACUAGUCUUUCAGAGAUUCUAAGGCAAGAGACUAGUUGCAUAAAGGGAAGGUAUUAGCACCCUUAGUACGACCUACCUAAGGUAAGUUGCUUGGUGUUUGGUUUGCUUUAUAAUUUUUAUGGUGUUAGUGUUUUCUAAUCCCAUUAGUUUCCUAGGUUUGAUUCAAACUAAAUUUAUUAAGAUAGAAAUCCAAGGAGAUUCUGUGUGCUUUAAAAGCUUGUUUUUCCCUUAGUAUUUCAAAAGUUCGUGACUCGUAAAUUGCAAGGAGGGACCAAAAUUUAGAAAUCUAAGGCGCUUUAAAAGCCUAUUUUUGCCUUAGUGUUUUCUACUCUCACGGCUCGUAAACCGUGGAAUAAAAAAUUGAAAUGUCCUCGAUUAUAAUCAAGGCUUCUUUCAAGGAUGUAUGAGAAUUUAUUAUUCCUAAAAAAUUAUUUUGGAUAUUUACCACAUAGGAUUUCUUCAUCCAAAUAUUAACAGUGAAUAAUAACAAGUUAUUCCCAUUAAAUAUUUUGGAUAUUCAUCCCUUUGGGAUUUUUUUAUCUAAACAUUAACGGUGAAUAAUAGAUGAAUUCCACCCAAAAUAAGAUUUUUUAUUUUUUUGGAAUAUUGGCCAAUACCCUUUGGAGUUUUACAAACAUGUUGUAAAAUCUAGAAAUGCAAGAAAAUAAUUUUUGUUGUGUUUAAGAAAUCCAUGCGAAAAUACAUUUUCGAAACUUCCAAUAUUUUUUGUAUAAAAAAGAAACAUGGUAGAGUAUAUAUAUAUAUUUGUCACAUUGCGUCGAAAAACCGGGUAUUCUAAAUAUAAGAUUGAUAUUUUUUAUAGCAUAAAAAAAAUUAGACCUUAAAAUAAAUAUGCUAGAAAAUCAUAAAUCUCUUUCUCUUUCUUUUAUUUUUUUGAAGAAAAAAAAAUAGUAGGUCCGGCCUGGUCACUUGCCCAAGCAAGUGACCUGGCUGCAGGGGCGGAAGGAGGGGGGCAAGCAGGGGCCCGGGCCCCCCCUAAAAUAUUCCGCCCCUGUAUAAUAUAUAUAAGCUUGUGGGAAUUAUACGGAGAGGUAUUCUUGUUAAAAUAAUAAGGCCAUUCAACCCUAAAGAGAGCAUGAACUCUUAUUUAUUAGAAAUUUAAUGCUCUGUGUGCGCGUGUGUAUUAAGAUGGUCAAUACUACUCUAUUUGGUAAAAGAACUCGUUCUUUGACGAUAAAUAAAUUAUAGGUGCUGAGUGCAUCAAGUAUUUGCUGAGGUUGUGAUUAUUUCAUCUUAUUACGAAAUCAAUUACAACCUAGCUGAUUAGGAGAAUAUAUAUAUAUAUAUAUAUAUAUUAGGUAAUUAAGUGUGGAAGAGGUUUUUUAUUCUACAAAAGUAAGUUUUCUUAUUGUAAUUAAGUGUGAUUUUUCAAUUUGAUUUUUAAAAAAUUAAUUUACGUACCCUAAUAUAAAUCCUGUAAAUAUAAAUUCAUUACUUUGCACAAUAAAUUUUGCAGCCGGUCAAAAACAAAAAUAUAAAUAUUAAUCAUAAGUAAAAUUUUUCAACGAAAAAAUUGAAGUAGAGCCAUCAAUUAAUUUAUUUUUUAUUAAACAAAACAAGGUAACUUAAAUUUAAAAUCUAUUUUUAUUUUGUUUUGAGAUGUUUGUUAAUAAUUUGAUGAGGUUUUUUUUAUAUAAUUCUACCAUUUUUGCUUUAUUUUUUUCUUAAAUCUGCUAAUUUUACCAAUUGUUUUUUGAAUUCUUGUUAUAAUGUUUUUUUUUAAUUAAUUAGAUAUAUUUCAUUGGUUUGUUUUGAUUAUACUUUGAUUUUUUUUAUGUUUUAUUUUUAGCAGAAUCACCAAAAUUAUCAAUUUUUUCUCACGAUAUAUGUUUUGAUUUUAGGUUGAACCAUGAACAAAAUAAGAAGAAUUUUAUUUUUUUUUCAAAAAAAAUAUUGAUAACUCGCAGCUUUGUGAACCAACUCCAAUGUGUAAUGUUAAAGUUAUGAUUGAGCAACUCCAAUGCGCCUCAGUUUACAAAGAACCCGCGUUGAUUAGUGAGAAUAGUUAUGUAUUAUUUUUUGCUUUAUUUCAAAGUUUAUCAAACAUAAAUAAUGCUUCGUUUUAGCUAAUAUUUCUUAUAUACUUUGUAUGUUUAUAUUUGAUAGAUAUAAAGACCAACAUUAAAGUGAUGAAUAUAUUAUGAAGAUGAAAUUAACUUCGUUACUUUAACUCAAUUUAGUAUUUCUUCAAACCUUUUAUCUUAUACAAAUAUCAUUAUAUAUUUAUAGUAAGUUAUUUGAAUAAAACUAAAUUAUACAGGUUUUUUUACAAUCCAUGUACAAUAAAGUAAAAUAAAUAUUAUAUUUUAUUAUAUUAAUUAUAGCCUCCCCUAACAAAUAAUUCUAGCUCCGCUGGACACAAAAAAGGUGCAGUUACAGUUUAAUCAAAGCUGGCGGGUUACUGUUCAAGUGAAAUAAUUCACUUGAACAAUACAAAGUAAAAUGCAUGCAAAGAGACCACAUUACUGUUCAAGUGAAUUAAAAUUCACUUGAACAGUGUAAACACAAAGAAAACAAAUGCAUGCAAGAGGUGAAGAGAACAGACCUGGAGACGAAGAAGCUACAGCAACAUUGAAAGCAUGAUGGUUGCUUGGUCUGUUUUCGUCUGUUUCAAACCUUUUCCUUUCUGUUCUGUAUUUGCAUCUGUUUCUUGCUUUUUCUUUCCUCUGCGUCUUCGUCACUCUCUCUACUGGUUCCUGCACUUUCUUCUCCCAUGUUCUGCAGAUUUUAUUUGCAGAAAAAAUGGACCAAAGAUCGAAAGUCAGUCUCUGCUUCUUCCUUGUUUCUCCUCUUUUUUUUCAUCUUUUCUUUUCUCAUCUCUCUCUUCUAUUGCCUGCCUUCCUGAUCUCACAGCAAUGCAAGGAUGAAGGAAGAAACCCUUUGUUCUCUGCAUUUUUUCUCUCCUAACUGGCUACCUCUCUUACAUUUAAAAUUUCAUUUAAUGUUUUUUUGAACAAUUUCAUUUUGUAAUGACUAUUAUUUAUCUUAUAUUUUUUGUUUUUGAUGCUUAAUAUAAAUUUUAUUUUUUGUUCUCUGCAUUUUUUAUGCACAGGAGGCGUGGGAAAGCUACAGUGCUUUCCCCACGCGUUUUAGAGUUCUACUAGCUUUGAUACCCGCGCGAUGUCGCGGGUUAUUUUUUUUGUAUAAAAAAUAUUUUAAAAAAUAAAAAUUAAAAAAUCUUGGGUUUUUCUGCAAAGUGAUAUCCAAGAAUCUUGGGUUUGGCUGUAACGUCUGACCUAAAAAUAAUAUUUAUAAUAUUAAUAAUAAAAUUAAACUUGCAUGACCCAAGUUUAAGUGAGUCUGGCUGUAACACCAGACCCAAGAAUAUUGGAUGUGAGUCUGUCAUAAAAGCGUGAUAAUUAAAAAAAUCAACAAAAAAAAUCAACAAAAAGGAAAAAACUAAUGAAUAAAGAGAAAAAGAAAUUGAAUUAAUUGGGUUAACCCUUUAAACCAGGUUAUCCCGUAAAACCUGAGAUUUGUGUCAUGAAAGUUUGAUAACUAAAUAGAAAAAAAAAUAACGGGUUUACCUAGAAUUAACCGGGUUAACCCAUCAAACCAAGUUAACCCGUCAAGCCCAGGAUACGUGUCAUGAAAAUCUGAUAAUUAAAUAGAAAGAAAAUUAAUUUUAACAAACUAAACUAAAUGAAAAAAAUAACUUGUCAAAUCAGGUUAACCCAUCAAACCCGAGAUUCGUAUCAUAAAAAUAUAAUAACUAAAUAAAAAAAAUUUAACAUUAACAAAAUAAAUCAAACAAAAAAAAUUCAUUAAAAAAAUUAAAAAAAAACAGUCAUAUAAUAUAAUAAUAAUUAUAAUGAAAAAACAUGGGGAAAGCUAAAACUAAAGCUAAAUUCUCAACCAACUCAAUAUUAAAAAAAUAAAUUUAACAAAGAUAAUUUAAAAAAUAAACAUGUAGGAGAAACACUGCAGCUAAACAAAAAUCAUGCAAGGGAAACAUUGUAGUAAUCCAUAGUGUUUUUUUUUCUUUUUGAAAAAAGCUACAAAGCUAAGUUCUCAACCAGCUUAAUAUAGAAAAAAAACCGAGAUCCAUGUAAUGAAAGUAUGAUAACUAAAUUAAUUUUUUUUUUCACAUUAACAAACUAAAUUAAACAAAAAAAAAAGUCAAGUGUUUCAUUGUGUGCACAGUAAUACAUUAUAUGUAAAAAACAGAAGAAACAAAAGCGAGGAAAAAAAAAACAAAGCUACUACAGUUAAAAAAAAAAGGAAAAGAAAAAAAAAAGGAAAAAAUGCUACAAAAAAAAACCACAAACGAAAAAAAAAUGCCACAGAAGAAAAAACGAAAAAAAAAACAGCUUUAGCUACAGUAAAAAAACAUGACCCGCGCGAUGCUGUAAGUCAAUUUUUUUUGCAUAAAAUUGACGGGUUAACAUGUCAAGCUUGGAAUACGUGUCAUGAAAGUAUGAUAAUUAAAUAGAAAGAAAUUUAACAUUAACAAACUAAACUAAAUGAAAAAAAUUAAUUAAAAAGAAAAAGCAAAAAAAAUAAAAUGUAUAGUUAACCCGUCAAACCAGGUUAACCCGUCAAACUCGGGAUCAAUUAACAAACUAAAUCAAACAAAAAAAAAUUAAAAGAAAAAAAACUAAGAAAGAAGAAAAAAAACCCAUAAAAGCAUAAAAAACCAAAAAAAUACAGAAAAAAAUGAAAACGAAAGUAAUAUAUAUUAUAAUAUAAUACAAUGCUUUCCCCUGCCUUUUAGAGUUCUUUAAUAAUAAUUGGCACUAUAAAAUACAUCCACCAUUCCUCUCAAACACAACUUCUAUAACCAGUACCAUCAAGACCUGCUUAAUAUAGAAAUUAGCUAUUUCUAUUUCUGUUUAUUUCUUCGAGUAAUAUUUUGUUUCUGUGAUUAUGGCUACUGGGCAAGCACCAGGCAACCCCCUUCCAGCUGUGAGAACAUACCCGCCGGUGGAGCAUCCAGUGGUGGUAAUAGGGCCACAGUACCUGGCACAGUACCCUGUUGAACUCGCCGUCUCUACAAAGCUAUGGACUCUUGGAGAGAAUGAUUUUAAAGUGUCUGACAUUAAUGGCACCCUCAUCUUCCAGGUCAAGAGUAAACUCU